rnacentral:lncRNA from 1 species
CAUGGUUCAGUGUUCUUCUACUUCAAAUGCAAGAGACUAAAAUCUGGAUUCUGAUAAGGAAAAAUCAUAUAAACAAUUGGUCUUACAUCAUUAAAAACCCAUUUUCAAUAGAAAAAUAGAUUUUUAUAAAGAUUUUGAAGAAAAAAAUGCUAAAAUAGAGCAUCAUCUAACAUGGUGUUCGAAUCACUGAAACCUGUUUUGGAAUUGAAUUCAUUUUAAAAGAACUAAGAGAAAAUGCAAGAACAAAAGAGAAGAAAAAAAUGAGCAAAGAAGAAGAACCUAAAUAAAUUACUUUGGAGCUCAAAACCUCACACAACAUAAAACUAAAAAUUGUUUCACCUACUAACUAAGUUUCUAAGUUUGUCCUAAGUGUUACUUCUACUCUAUUUAUAUAUUUUAUAAUCUUUACAAAAUGAAUGAGAUUUUAAAUCUGGUCCAAAAACCGAUUUUAAAAGUAACUAACUUCCACUUCCCCUUCCAAGCAUAAUGUUGGUCGUCUAGUGCAUGUUGACUUGGAAUUAUUGAUCGUAUGCAUAAUUUUUUCUCUUUGAGUUCCGGUUUACUAAAACACGUGUUAGACAAUUCAAACAAAAUAAAAACUGUAAAAUAUUAUUUUUAUGACGUUUUUAUAAAAACUCUAUUAUUUUGAAAAAAAUACAAAUCUAAUAUAAAAGCAGUACUAAAAAAACUAGAAUUAUGACUCUGAAAGCAUCUAUGUAAUGAUAAAACUAUUCACGCAAACAUUCAAACAUUAGUCAAAAUAAAAAAUAUUCAAACAUUAAUCAUAAUCAAAGAAAGAUUUCGGGACUCAUGCCAAAUCAUUCAGAUCUUUAUUGAAACUAUUAAUUUUUUUUGGUCAUGUAUUAAAUGUUGACUGUAAUAUAUGUCAACAUUAAUUGUUGAUUCUUGGGGUAGGUAUUAAAACACUAGAUAUUCUGAAAAAGUCGUAAUGGUUAAACAGAAUUCGUAAUUUCACUUGUUGAAUAAUGAAAUGACAAUGUGAAAAUGUUACUAAGUCAAUAAUUGGAACUUUCACAAAAUUCAAUCAUGGCAAUAAAGAAAAUAAAAUUCCACGAUUAUUUUUGUUUUCCAACGAGUGGACAAUAAUACAAGGAAAAGAAAAUAAGAAAUUCCUUUUCAAUCUUUUAUAUUCAAAGCAUAAUCCAUAUUUAUUUUUCAUAUUUUCUUAAUGUGUGUAUUUUAUAUUUUUAUUUUCUAAUAUUUUCAUUCUAAAACUGUUAAGAUUUUUAUUUUCUAAUAUUUCUAAAAUAUUAAAAAUAAUUAUUUUAACAUUAGUGUUCUGAAAUUGGCAUAAAAGUUACAGUUGAGUCAAAUUACAAAAAUAAAGGAUGAAAUUAAAAAAAUAAAAAAAUAAAAAUGACCACUAAAAUAUAUUUAACCAAAGGGGCGUGAGUGAAGUCACCAAAGUUUUAGUUUUUGAAAUAAAAUUAUCAAGAAUCACGACAUCUGAUAUUUUUUUUAAUUCCCUUUACAAUAUAUAUCUUUUUAAUCAUAUAUUUAAAUUUCAUUUUCAAUAACUUAUAUAAAAAAUUAAAAAUAGUCCUGUUUACUACGAAUUUUUAUUUUGAUAAUAUAAUUUACAUAUUCAAAGUAUUUGUUUUAGUCAUAUUAAAAAUUAAUUUAUUUUUUAAAUAUAAGGAAGAACGUUAAAACUUUCUGAAGAUCUUAAUUAAGGCAGGGAUAUAAUUUUAAACUUAUUUUCAAUAAUAUAAUUUAUUAAAGUAUUAAUAUAAAAUUAUAUAGCUUUUAAAACUAUAUUAAUAUUAUAAUUUGAUUUAUAGACUCGGGAGACUAUGAAUAGCACAACUUUUGUAGUCUAUAAAAGAGAAAAAGAAUGUUUCAAAUGAGAAAUAUCUCACAUCACACACUUCUCAUAAUACACUAUGAGAGGACACAUACUUCUGUGUUUUUUUCUUAUGCCAUUUUUCACAAUAAACCAUAGUGCGGUUUUUCCAGCCAAUGGCUAUGUGCUUGGCAACGAGUGUUCCAUGUUGCAUGGUUUGAAAAAUAACCUCAGAUUCAACCCUGCAAUAUCCAAAAAACUUACUCUUUGGAAUCAAGGUGAAGAUUGUUGUCAAUGGCAUGGGGUGACAUGCAAAGAAGGUGGUGUUAUAGCCCUUGAUCUCAGUGAAGAGUCUAUCUCAGGAGGACUUCUUAAUUCAAGCCUUCUUUUUGGUCUUCAACAUCUUCAAAGCUUGAAUUUGGCUUUCAAUAACUUCAGUUCUGUGAUUCCUUCUGAGCUAUACAAAUUGAAUAAUUUGAGGUAUUUGAACUUUUCAAAUGCUGGCUUUGAGGGGCAGAUUCCGCAUGAGAUUUUUCAUCUCAGAAGGUUAGUUACUCUUGACUUGUCUUCUUCAUUUUCCUCACCUCACAGCCUGAAAUUGGCGAAGCCAAACACAGCAAUGUUUUUGCAAAACCUUACAGAAAUUACAGAAUUAUAUCUAGAUGGUAUAGCAAUAUCUGGUAAAGGACAAGAAUGGUUUCAUGCUCUAUCUUCAUUGCACAACUUACGUGUUCUGAGCAUGUCAUCAUGCAAUCUCUCUGGACCUAUUGAUGCUUCCCUGGCUAAGCUUCUCUCACUCACUGUUCUGAGAUUAAGCUACAACAACAUCUCUAGCACAGUGCCAGAUUCCUUCACAAAUUUAUCCAAUCUAGUUGUACUACAACUCAAAAGUUGUGGCUUGAAUGGUUCUUUUCCCAAUGAUAUCUUCCAAAUACCAUCAUUGGAGGUCGUUGACAUCUCAGACAAUCAAGAUCUUAUGGGUUCUUUGCCAAACUUCAAACCAAGUGGUUCUCUUCGUCACAUGAAUCUUGGCCAGACAAGUUUCACAGGAAUGCUUCCGGGUGCAAUUUCUAACUUGAAAAAUUUAUCUACAAUUGAUCUAUCUUAUUGCCAAUUUAAUGGAACACUUCCUAGUUCAAUGUCAGAACUCACCCAACUAGUUUAUCUGGACUUGUCUUCCAAUAACUUUUCAGGUCCACUCCCUUCUUUUAAUAUGUCCAAGAAUAUCACAUAUUUAUCCCUCUUUCAUAAUAGUUUAACAGGGGUGUUACCAUCUAGUCAUUUUGAGGGCCUUCAAAAUCUUGUCAGCAUUGAUCUAGGGUUUAACUUUUUCAAAGGGAGUCUUCCCUCAUCUCUACUUAAACUUCCAUCUCUGCGAGAACUUAAACUUCCCUUUAAUAAACUCACCGGUGUCUUGGGUGAAUCAGUGAUGACCGCACCUACACUGGAGAUGCUUGAUUUGGGUAAUAAUAAUUUGGAAGGACCUAUUCCUUUGUCUAUUUUUAACCUUAGAACACUUCGUGUCAUUCAACUGAAUUCAAACAAGUUUAAUGGCACAGUAGAAUUGGACAUGAUUCGAAGGUUGAGUAAUCUAACUAGAUUAAGCCUCUCGCAUAACAAUUUGUCAGUUGAUAUAUUCUCUAGAUAUGAUCAUGAUCCAUCAUCCUUUCCUGUUCUAAGAAAUUUAAUGUUGGCAUCUUGCAAGUUGAGAGGAAUCCCUAGUUUUCUGAAAACUCAGUCAUCUUUGCUAUAUCUUGACCUUGCUGACAACCAGAUUGCAGGAACAAUACCUUUCUGGAUCUGGCAACUUGAAUAUGUUGUUCACUUGAACCUUUCCAAAAAUUUCCUAACAAAAUUGGAAGGAAAUGUCAGGAACUUCAGUUCAAACCUUUUGAUUGUUGAUCUUAGUUCCAACCAACUAGAAGGGCCAUUGCCUUUCCUUCCACCGUUUGUAAAUUAUUUGGACUACUCAAACAAUAGUUUUAACUCGGUCAUUCCAGCGGACAUUGGAAAUCGUAUCCCUUUCAUAAUAGUGUUGUCUCUUUCAAACAACAAUUUUGAGGGAAAAAUCCCUGAAUCCCUUCUCAAUGCUUCAGGUCUUCGUCUGCUGGAUCUUUCUCGCAAUAACUUUGUUGGAACGAUUCCCAAGUGUUUUGUCAAGUUGAGUAGCACUCUUCGGGUGUUGAACUUAGGUGGAAACAAACUUGAAGGAUAUAUUCCUGAUACUUUGCCAACCUCAUGUACUCUAAAGUUUUUGGACCUAAAUGACAAUCUCUUGGAGGGUACCAUCCCAACAUCCUUGGUUUAUUGCCAGCGACUACAAGUCCUGAACCUUCGAAGAAAUUCUUUAACCGACAAAUUUCCUUGUUUCUUAAGUAAUAUUUCCACUUUACGAAUCAUGGAUUUACGGUUAAACAAACUUCACGGGUCAAUUGGAUGCCCAAAAAGUAGUGGUGAUUGGGAAAUGCUCCAUAUUGUUGAUGUAGCCUCCAAUAAUUUCAAUGGUACAAUACCAGGAACCCUAUUGAAGAGUUGGAAAGCAAUGAUGCGAGACAAUGUUAAUGUCGGACCAGAAUUUGGCCACUUAUUCACUGAUAUCAUUGAUCACUAUGAUCCCAAGAAUUAUAAGGAUUUAGUGUCACACUUAGACAAAAGAAUUGUAGCAAUGUUGGCUAAACUUGUUACAAACGUAUCUCGAUCUUUCCUUGACCAGGGAUCCUUAGAUUUUAAUGAAAUUGACGGUUCUCGAUAUCAAAAUUCGAUUAUUAUAACAAAUAAAGGUCAACAAAUAAAAUUGGACAAAAUCCAGAGAGCCUUCACUUACAUGGAUAUGUCAAGCAACAAGUUUGAGGGUCCAAUACCAGGUGAGUUAAUGCAGUUCAAGGCAAUGAUUGCUCUUAACUUGUCAAAUAAUGCCCUCUCAGGUCAUAUCCCAUCAUCGAUUGAAAAUUUGAAGAAUCUUGAAUCCCUAGAUUUGUCACACAAUUCUUUGAAUGGAGAAAUCCCUGGAGAGCUUGCUAGUCUAACUUUUCUUGCAUAUCUGAAUCUCUCAAAUAAUCACUUGGUGGGUGAAAUUCCAAAGGGUACCCAGAUUCAAUCAUUUGAUGGAGAUUCCUUUGAAGGAAAUGAAAAGUUAUGUGGACCUCCACUGACCCGUAAUUGCAGCAAUAAUGGAAUGCCCACACCUGAAACACCUAAAUCUCAUACUCAGAGUUCAAUUGAUUGGAAUUUAUUAAGCGCAGAGUUGGGAUUUGUUUUUGGCUUUGGAGUUUUCAUUCUGCCUCUUCUUUUCUGGAAGAGAUGGAGGUUGUGGUAUUCCAAACAGGUGGAAGAGAUGCUUCACAAGAUCAUUCCCAUGCUAGAUUUUGCGUAUGAACACCAACGUGGGAAGACAUAUAGAACUCUAAGGAGGUACUGAAAUCUAAGGUAAAAUACUUCUAUUCACUUAGUUUCUACACUAAGGAACUUUAUAUAUUCUACAUAAAAUUUCAAUGUUAUAUUUCUGAAUCAAUUUUUCUUUGGUUAUGAGCAGUGUCAAAAUAAGGAUGUUGUCCAUUAUCCAUGUUGGUGAGAAUGAUGAAGUAGUAAGUAAUUUUUAUGAAUUUAGUGGUUGUUUCAUAGUUCCUUCCAUUUAAUUUACUUUCAGAUGUAAAAUGGAGAGAUUCCUCCUAUGUUUACAAUCCAAAAUUAUUGAAAUCUGGAUAUGUCAAGUAAUCAAGAAAUUUUGUAAAGUUGGUUGUAAACUACUAUCUUUGAUUAUACAGUUAUCAAAAAGUAAUACUUCGGUGUUAAAUUAAAUUUUUUAAUUAAAUAUCGUACACAAUACAAUCUAAUAUAGCACAAUAUAAUAUAAUAUUAAAGCACUAAAUAAAUGACAACAACGAUAAUUAUAAAGAAUCUUUUAUGAGUCACAUUUAUAUCUCCAACAAAUCAGCUAAAUACUGAUUAAUUGAAAUAUGAUACAGAUAUUCUUCAGAUAUACGAACAUACCUAUAUACUAGUAUAUUUCCCUAUAAAUCCGGGAUCACGAUACACAUCACUGAACAACUGAUAUUCAACCCAUCACAAUGAGUACCCAUGACCAACACUAUAAAUCAACCAUUUGCAGAGGUGUAAGGUACGCUUUAACGAGUUUACAAAUAUAUACUCUUUACACAGAGUACUACCUUGAUCUCAGAGUACUUUUUUUAGGUCUACCCUGACCGAGCACCAACAAUUGAGGAAAGAGACUGGAAGGAAAGAGCGAGGGGAUCACCGACACAUCAACAAUUGUAGAAUCAGUUCCAGGUACUAUAUAGCCUCCUUUUGCCUAUACAUGUACAAUUGGCGCCCACCAUGGGACCAAGAUAACAGUCAAUUCCAGUUUAGCAACAAUGGUGUCAACAAGGAACGCAACCAACCACAAUCGGGUCACUGAAGAACAAAUCACAAUAAUUCAAACACACCAGGCGCAAGUAGAGGAGAUUCCUCAAAAAGGCAUCGAAGAUCAACGAAGGAAUAAAAAGGAGGUGCGCCUUCUCAAAAAGCAGAAUAAAGAGUUAAAGCAACAACUCGAUGGAACUGAACAAGAGGAAAAAUCUUGGUUAGGUAAUUGUUAGAAUGAGAGGCCUUAAACAAGAGGGGGGUGAAUCGUUUAAUGAAAGAUUUUCAAAAAUUUUGGACAAGAAUGAAUAUUAGUGCAGUUAAGUGAAAAGAGCAUACUUAUUUUUUCGAUGAGUGGACGGUGGUGUUCAAUGGCGUGAAGGAGGAGACGAAGAGUUCGUAAGAGGCUAGGGUAGAAGGAAGUGGACUGGGAAAGUGAGGAGUGAGUGAACAAAGGGGGUGUUUUGAAAAGUGAAGAAGUUGAAGCAGUAGUAUCCACCGUUUAUACAAAGCCACAUGGACGCUCCAGAUUUAGUAUAGUGAGGUGUCAUAUCAAGAAAUGCUUCGGCAACCGCGCCUCACCUACCCUAUGCGAAAAACGUCAUGUCAGCUGCCAAUACUGAAAGAUCUCUUUGCCUAACCUAGCUCGGCUCGAGCCUGGGAGGCUUGUGUACAGGCCAGAUGUACUCGGGACCUCGGUCCAAGUGUUUAGGUAUGGCCAGGUCGAUUGUGCGAGUUGUGCUCAGCUCAGUCUAGGCCAAGUAUGGGCCUACAUGUGUGUUGAGAGGUGAGCCUAGAUUUUCUAGUAAGUGUACAUGGAAAAGAUAAUUAAAAAUAACAAAAGAAAUAAUUGAAUUGGUUGAUGUAUACAAGAAUAACUAAAUUGGUUAAAGUAUAUUAUUAAAUGCAAGUAAAAGUAGUUAAGAAUGUUUGUACCUGAAAAUAACAGGUACACGGCAAACAGAUUAUUGUUAUUGUUGACUGAUAUUAUUGAUGUUGAGAUUAUAUUCUCAUUUAUGAAAAUUGUUGAAGGAAUGUCUAUAAAAGGGGUUUGAGACCCUAGGUAAAGGUACGCUUUCUGAAUACUCUAGACUUAAACAAAUUUUAUAGUUUGAAUGCUCUCACUGACUCGAUUGUCAAAGUGUAAUCAACAGGUAGAGCCCUCUUUGUCCUAGUGGACCAGUGUUUCAGAGCACCAAGUGAAGGCCAGUCAAAGCGAAACUCAACUCGGGGAUCGACCAAAGUAUGCCGGCAAGAACAAGCGCAUAUAAAAAUUUUCAAUAUCACAUGCUUGGAAGUCCAUUCUUCCCACCAAUUCAAAAAAUGUAUCCAAAUAUGUGUAUGGAUCCUCAUGGUCCAUUGCUGUAAAUUGGUGGGUACUGGUGAGACUAAGGAAAGCGAGUUUCAUCUCUAAGGCCCUACUGGUAGCAGGUAUUGCAAUACUAGAAAAAUGCCUUGACACCUGAUACACAACAUAAUCUCGAGGUGGUUCUUGCUCUUUUGUCAUGUUGCUUUCCUCCUAAAAACUAUUAGUGGGAAAAGAAGAAGUGUUUGAGGAUUCCUCUCUAGUAUCUCCUUGUCUUUCUUUUGUCUUUGUCUUUCUGUUUCUUUUGGCUGCCCUUUCAAUCUCUACUUCGAAUAAUAAUUGGUCUUUGAGAAUUUGACCUCUCGAUAUCAUAUAAGACAACUAAUUCAAUGGUUAACACAAGGAUUCACUAGUAAGAGAAUAAUGUUUAAAAAAAUAAAUUAAAAUUGAAACAAAUAAAAGAGAAUAAAUUCAAAUAAUCUGAAAUCAAAUAAAUUCAAAGAUCUGUACUAAAUUAAAAACAUAAUAAAUCUGAAAUUAAAUAGAAACAAAUAAAAGCAAAUAAACUCCAAAUAAAAAUUAAAACAAUAAAAGAAAAUCUGUAGAUUUAAAGAAAAUAAAAUAAAACAAUUAUGUAAAUAACGUAGAUUAAAAACAGUAACAAAUUUAAACACAAUAAUAAAAAAUAAAAACAAUUAAAAUAUUCACAAUAUUUAGGAAAUUAUACUAAAAAAUAAAAUUGUUUCCCGACAAUUGCACAAAAAACUUGAUGACUUUUUACAGCAAGUAUCACGCGUUGUCAGAAGUAAUAAUGUGUCCCUAAGGACUAAUAUCGAAACCACAAGGAACAAAUGAAUAAUAAAGUAAAAUAUUCACUAAAUAUAAAAUAGAAUAAUAAAAGUUUGUUGGAAUUUGUUGUGAUGACAAUGAUUAACAAGAAAACAAGAAAAAUAGUUGUUGCUUUAAUUGCAAAAAUAGGAAUUGGGUUUCAUCUUUCUCACUCUUUUGUAUUUAAAUUAACCUCAUAAUAUUAUGUCCUUUGAUUGAUCUUGAUGUCCAUAUAAAAAUCAUUUAUAUUGAUUCCUCGCAUAUAAAAUUAUUAAGGUGUUUCCUAAAUAUUGAUUUCUCGCAUAUUUAUAAAAACAACUUAGCAUUUUGAUUAGACGUUGAUAGUAAUUAACAUUUCAAGUCUAUUCUUACCACUCAAAUAUGUUAAGCAUUAUUGAUUAGGUCAGAACCUAAAAAUACUUUCCAAUCAAAUUUAAGAUUCUAGAUUAAGAAUUAGAAUCAAAACAAUAAUACCAAUAAUCAAUCAAGAACAAAAUGUUAUGUUUAGAGAUCACCUCAAUACAUAAGAGUUUGAACAAAUUACUCAUAAUCCUAAAGGGUAGACUUAGCCACAUAUCUUAUAACACCUUCUAUUCUCCCAAUUGGGUUACAAAUCAUUCAACGGUGUUUUCCUCUCAAUCUUGCACACCAGGGUUGUGCCUCAAGCCCCCUAUUUAACCUAAAUUUUAUUGGGCUUAAGUGGAUUCUCGCUCAAGUGAGAAUGGACUCGCUUGAGCAAGCAAAAUGAUGUCCAACCCAACUUCACUAGUGCUAUCUCGCUCAAGUGAGAUAUAGUUCGCUUAAGCGAGCUCCCCUGGUGGUGAGAUGGUUCUUUUGCACUUUUUGGUAGCUUGGUGAGUUUUUAUGCAUUUCAACUUUUCCUUUUUAGCUUUGUAUAUUCUCCUUCUGCCCAAUCAUCUCCAUUCUCCCCUUGGAUCCUGAAAUUAACACCAAAUUUGGAAAUAAAUCGUUCCUAUUCUAAUUAAAAUCAUAAAAUAUGUAAAAAGGUAUAAAUUCAUAAAUUUAGAGUUAUUUUAUGCUUAUUUUAGGAAUUAAUACUCAUAAGUGCCUAUAUUUUAAUAUGAAAUAUUACUGAAAUUUGGCACUUAUCUACCACUGUGGUCGAAGUGUUUCAAGCAUUCAUAGCCUAGCCUAGACACCUUGUUCAAAUUAUAUCAGAACCCCCGAUAAUAAUCUCAUUUCAUUAUAUUAAUUUAUAUUUAUGUAUUACAUCUAAUUUAAUACAAAUAUUCUUUAUUUUGUAGAAACGUCAUCAGAAACCAAGUCCAAAAAAGAAGCAUGAGAUUCCCAUUGACGAUCACGUAGAUUCCUUAAAAGUAGCUACUAGUCAAGAUCCUAUGGAGAUUCUGUAAGGUGGUACUUUUUUUGGAAGAAACACUUACAUGUCGUUGUACAUAUACAUGUCAGAUUUGUUAGAAUUUGCAAUUGGACAACAGGAACUCAAUAUAAAUAUAAUUUUUUUUUAUGAUGUAUGUAUCUUUACCUAUAUUUCAAUUUACUUUAAGUUAAAUUAUUAUUGAUUAUGCUUUAACUAAUAACUUGUAGGUAUUUGUCUGGAGUUUCUAUUAAUGAUGGGAAUCAAGAUGUUUAUGGAUUCUUGGAUCCCUAUUAUAUUAAUCCAAUUGGAACAAAGAAAUCGGAAAUCCAGUCAUACAUCACUAACACUAUUAGUUUAGAGGGAAAAUAAAUUUAUUUGUGCCCUUAUAUUAAUGAGUAAGUUCAAUUAUAAGUCGUCAAUUAAUACUAUUUCAUGUUUCAAAUAUUUACUAACUCUUUUCAUGGAUGAUAUAGGGGCCAUUAACUGUUACUUGUCUUAUCCACGGUUGAUAAGAAUGUUGUGUAGUUUUGUUCCCUGCACAAGAACCCAUCCACACAUCUGAAGAAUAUAAUUGAUGUGUAAUUACACUAUAAACUUAACUGCAUAUGUUACUAAAACUACUUAAACAAUAUAAUAAGGCUAUUAUAAACGUCAUACUAUACCGUAUUAAAUAUUUUUAAAAUCGUCAUUAUUUACAUUGAAAUUGGUUACCCAAUUUGAAAAUUACAACAUUUAUAACUGACAUAAAUUACACACUUAAAACCGUCACUUUAUACAAUAUAUUAUAUGACGUGUGCUAUGACAAUUCAGAAUAGAUUGCCACACGUAUAUUGUGGUGGUUAUAAACACCACUUUAUAAAGAAAGAACCAUCACCACAUACACAUUUUUUUAUAGUGAAUUAUCCUAAAAAAAGGUUUAUCCCUUGUGAUGCAAAACUUCCAUGCUUCAAGCCUCACCUUGUUCAUAUCUUGGUUGGUCAUGUCUCUUAUGGUUUUUUUUGUUGACUUUUUAAGUCCAAAUCAAUAUCCAAAGGAAAUCCUUUUAUGUCUUUACAAAAUUCUAAAAAAAUAAAAUAACAAGAGAAAUAAAUACUUAUAUAAUUUGUAUAAAGACGAAAAAAAAAGAAAAUCCUAGUGUUCCCUACUUUUCACAUAUAGAGUCUUCUUUAAAAUUUUAUCAUCUUCUAUCUUCUUAGCCAAUAAUUUUUUGCUCGAAUGAUGUUUAUUACCUUCUCUCUUUCCCUUUCCAAAGUGCAUUAGUUUUCCAUUAACUCUUUCACGUCAUUUUAAUUAUGUAAAUUAGGUUUUUUUGUGCCGAUGAAUGUUAAUAAAAGUUAUAAAUUAAAGGACAUGAAUGAGUUUGUAAUUAAUUUCAUGAUCAUUGUCAUAAGUUGUCACAUUACGAAAAAUAACAAAGAGUACAGUUGUUAUUGGCAGGGAGGAUUUGUCUGAUCAAGUUUGUACUUAUAUUUAUCCCGCUUUUCGUUUUGUCUCUAUUCAAAAUGCCCUCCGUAGUGACUACCGAGUUAGCGAGGAUUCAAAGGAAUUUCUUAUGGGGUUGGGAUGCUGACGAGAUCGCUUGGUCUUCCUGGAGUAAGGUUUGUGACCCUUGUGAGGCUAGCGAUCUAGGGAUUCUAGACUUGCGGGUCUUUAACACAACUUUAUUAGGUAAAUGGAUUUGGAGGUUGGGGUCGGAUAAGGGCGGUAUGUGGAAGGAGAUACUUGAUUCUAAAUAUGGUGGAUGGAGAAGCCUGCGAGAGGGAGUGAACAUUGGUAGGACCUCUCUAUGGUGGAAAGAUUUGAUGGAGGUUUGGUGGUCAGAAGGAUGGGGAAGGAAUUUCGAAGAUGCUUUCAAGUGGAAGAUUGGCAAUGGAGAUAGUGUUUUAUUCUGGGAGGAUUGUUGGGCGGGUAAUGGGGUUGUAAAGCGUGUUUAUCCGAGGUUGUUCUCCCCGAGUUCUUACAAAGAUGCUAAGGUGGUUGAGCUUGGGAAAUGGAUUAAUGGUUCUUGGGAGUGGCAACUAACUUGGAGGAGGAGUCUAUUUGAAUGGGAAAAGCCUUUGGUGAGUAUUUUUUCCAGGGUCUUUAAGGGUUGAGUUUUGACAUGGAAGAGAAGGAUAGUUGAGUUUGGAAAGAUGGGGAAUUCCCUGUUUAUAUGGUGAAUUCUACUUACAAUUGUUUAACGAGGGCACACGAAGGGGAUAGUGUCUUUGUGUACAAAAAGUUUUGGAAGAGUAAAGUCAUGCCUUCUGCACUUGUCUCUGCUUGGAGGGUGCUAGAAAAUAAGAUUGCAACUAGGACCAAUUUAGAAAGGCACGGGAUUGCGGUUGAAAGCCUUUUAUGUAGUCUUUAUGGGGUAGAGGAAGAGACUUGUCGUCAUUUGUUUUUUGAAUGUAGAAUUGCUUAGACUGUAUGGAGUCAUUGCUUGACUUGACUUGGUGUAAUGUUAGUGAGUUACAAUGAUCCACUGUUAAAUUUGUUUCAGUUUAGGUUGUGUAACGCUUCUGAUUCUGUUAAUGAUGUUUGCGGAGCAAUUUGGAUUGCAGUAGUUUGCGAGAUUUGGAAGCACAGGAAUAAUGUCAUUUUCAAAGGGGGGUGGUUGAUUGUUUAGAAAUGUUUGUUAUAAUUCAAUUAAAGGUUUGGUCUUGGAUUACUUCUAAGUCAUCACAUUCUGUUUUUUUUCUACUCUGACUAGUGUCUUGAUCCAUUGGUUUGUAUGAGAUUGGUUAAGUGAUGUAAUUUUGUCGGAUAUUUCUAGAGUUGGUGUUAUGAGGAUUGUUAGGAUCUAUAUAAAGGUUAAAUCAUUCAUGAAGUAAUCCAUAUUUAAUUUAUUGUUUAUUAAUGAUAAAAAAAACAAACAGUUGUUGUCGGGAAAUAACACAUCAUCAAAGAAACUAAAGAAGUUAUAUAAAAGUUUUAAAUCAGUGUAAAAAUAUGUUUACAUUAUUUAUUACAUAACUAAUAGGUUGCCUUUAAUUGCAAAAACUAUCAUGCUACUUUAUUCAUAUUUAUAAAGAAUAGAUGUUCAAAUUAAAAACUACUUUUAUAUAAAUAAUAAUAAUAAUAAAUAUCUAAUGGAAUAAAUUAUGUAAUAUAUAUAUAUAUAUAUUACUUAAAAAUUAUCACAUCUUUUAUUUAAUUUAAUAUUAUUUCUAUUAAUUAAUUAUAAUUAAUUUUCUAAAAUAUUACAUGUGCAUAACAUAAUAUAAUUUACCAUAUUAUAUAAUAUUAUAUUAUGUUGUGUUAUAUUAGAUUGUGUUGUGUACGUGGAAAUAUAAAUUCAUUAAUAAAAAUAUAUUUUAAGUAAUAUAUUUAUAUUAAACAUAUAUUGUAUAUAAGAAUUCUUAUAUUAUUUCGUUUUGCAUGCUGACACUUUAAACAAACACAUUUUUUUUUAUCAAAAAUACAUUUAAGUAAAAAAAUAUUUAAGAUACUCUAACCCCUUAUAAAAAAAAUCAAUCCUACAAACAGAAAAAAAAAAAUGAUGAAAGACCAUAGCACCAUAAGCACCACAACAUGAUAAAAACAUGAUAAAAAAAAACAUUAAGCCAUAAUCAAACCAUAGCACCAAAACCAAACCUAAUUAAAAGCAAAAGAACAUGUAAAAGACCAUCAGAGUUGUGCCUUUUGCUCCAUAUGUAACCACGAACAGAACUGGUUUUGGUGGACAUGAAACUGCUGUCACUUUUCAGAAGGUACUGAGUUCAGCAUUCUCCUUCUACCACCUACAUCACCCAACUACCGUAUCCCUUUUACAGCUGAAAGUAAGUUCAACGGAAGGAACUAUGAAACAACCACUAAUUCAUAAAAAUUACUUACUACUUCAUCAUUCUCACCAACAUGGAUAAUGGGAAACAUCCUUAUUUCGACACUGCUCAUAAGCAAAGAUAAAUAGAUUCAGAAAUAUAGCAUUGAAAUUUUAUGUAGAAUAUGUAAAGUUCCUUACUGUAGAAACUAAAUGAAUAGAAGUAUUUUACCUUAGAUUUCAGUUCCUCCUCCUUAGAGUUCUAUAUGUCUUCCCACGUUGGUGUUCAUACGAAAAAUCAAGCAUGGGAACGAUCUUGUGAAGCAUCUCUUCCACCUGUUUGGAAUACCACAACCUCCAUCUCUUCCAGAAAAGAAGAGGGAGAAAGAAAAUUCCAAAGCCAAAAACAAAUCCCAACUCUGCGCUUAAUAAAUUCCAAUCAAUUGAACUCUGAGUAUGAGAUUGAGAUGUUUCAGGUGUUGGCAUUCCAUUGCUGCAAUUAGGGGUCAGUGGGGGUCCACAUAACUUUUCAUUUCCUUCAAAGGAAUCUCCAUCAAAUGAUUGAAUCUGGGUGCCCUUUGGAAUUUCACCCACCAAGUGAUUGUUUGAGAGAUUCAGAUAUGCAAGAAAAGUUAGACUACCAAGCUCUCCAGGGAUUUCUCCAUUCAAAGAAUUGUUUGACAAAUCUAGGGAUUCAAGAUUCUUCAAAUUUUCAAUCGAUGAUGGGAUAUGACCUGAGAGGGCAUUAUUUGACAAGUUAAGAGCAAGCAUUGCCUUGAACUGCAUUAACUCAAUUGGUAUUGGACCCUCAAACUUGUUGCUUGACAUAUCCACGUAAGUAAAAGCUCUCUGGAUUUUGUCCAAUUUUAUUUGCUGACCUUUAUUUGUAAUAAUAAUUGAAUUUUGAUAUCGAGAACCAUCAAUUUCAUUAAAAUCUGACGACCCCUGGUCAAGAACAGAUCGAGAUAUGUUUGUAACAAGUUUAGUCAACAUUGCUACAAUUCUUUUGUCUAAGUGUGACACUAAAUCCUUAUAAUUCUUGGGAUCAUAGUGAUCAACGAUAUCAGUGAAUAAGUGGCCAAACUCUGGUCCAACAUUAACAUUGUCUCGCAUCAUUGCUUUCCAACUCUUCAAUAGGGCUCCUGGUAUUGUACCAUUGAAAUUAUUGGAGGCUACAUCAACAAUAUGGAGCAUUUCCCAAUCACCACUACUUUUUGGGCAUCCAAUUGACCCGUGAAGUUUGUUUAACCGUAAAUCCAUGAUUCUUAAGGUGGAAAUAUUACUUAAGAAACAAGGAAAUUUGUCGGUUAAUGAAUUUCUUCGAAGGUUCAGGACUUGUAGUUGCUGGCAAUAAGCUAACGUCGUUGGGAUAGUACCCUCCAAGAGAUUGUCAUUUAGGUCCAAUAACUUUAGAGUACAUGAAGUUGGCAAAGUAUUAGGAAUAUAUCCUUCAAGUCUGUUUCCACCUAAGUUCAACACCCGAAGAGUGCUACUCAACUUAACAAAACACUUGGGAAUCGUUCCAACAAAGUUAUUGCGAGAAAGAUCGAGCAGACGAAGACUUGAAGCAUUGAGAAAGGAUUCAGGGAUUUUUCCCUCAAAAUUGUUGUUUGAAAGAGACAACACUAUUAUGAAAGGGAUACGAUUUCCAAUGUCUGCUGGAAUGGAGUUAAAACUAUUGUUUGAGUAGUCCAAAUAAUUUACAAACGGUGGAAGGAAAGGCAAUGGCCCUUCUAGUUGGUUGGAACUUAGAUCAACAAUCAAAAGGUUUGAACUGAAGUUCCAGACAUUUCCUUCCAAUUUUGUUAUGAAAUUUUUGGAAAGGUUCAAGUGAACAACAUAUUCAAGUUGCCAGAUCCAGUAAGGUAUUGUUCCUUCAAUCUGGUUGUCAGCAAGGUCAAGAUAUAAUAACGAUGACUGAGUUUUCACAAAACUAGGGAUUCCUCUCAACUUGCAAGAUGCCAACAUUAUAUUUCUUAGAGCAGGAAAGGGUGAUGGAUCAUGAUCAUAUCUAGAGAAUAUAUCAACUGACAAAUUGUUAUGCGAGAGGCUUAAUGUAGUUAGAUUACUAAACCUUCGAAUCCUGUCCAAUUCUACUGUGCCAUUAAACUUGUUUGAAUUGAGUUGAAUGUCACGAAGUGUUCUAAGGUUAAAAAUAGACAAAGGAAAAGGUCCUUCCAAAUUAUUACUACCCAAAUCAAGCAUCUCUAGUGUAGGUGAGGUUAUCACAAAUUCAUCCAAGACACCGGUGAGUUGAUUAAAGGGAAGUUUAAGUUCUCGCAGACAUUGAAGUUUAAGUAGAGAUGAAGGAAGACUUCCUUUGAAAAAGUUAAACCCUAGAUCAAUGUUGACAAGAUUUUGAAGGCCCUCAAAAUGACUAGAUGGUAACAACCCUGUUAAACUAUUAUGAAAGAGGGAUAAAUAUGUGAGAUUCUUGGACAUAUUAAAAGAAGGUAGUUGACCUGAAAAGUUAUUGGAAGACAAGUCCAGAUAAACUAGUUGGGUGAGUUCUGACAUUGAACUAGGAAGUGUUCCAUUAAAUUGGCAAUAAGAUAGAUCAAUUGUAGAUAAAUUUUUCAAGUUAGAAAUUGCACCCGGAAGCAUUCCUGUGAAACUUGUCUGCCUAAGAUUCAUGUCACGAAGAGAACCACUUGGUUUGAAGUUUGGCAAAGAACCCGUAAGAUCUUGAUUGUCUGAGAUGUCAAGGACCUUCAAUGAUGGUAUUUGGAAGAUAUCUUUGGGAAAAGAACCAUUCAAGCCACAACUUCUGAGUUGUAGUACAACUAGAUUGGAAAAAUUUGUGAAGGAAUCUGGCACUGUGCUAGACAUGUUGUUGUAGCUUAAUCUCAGAACAGUGAGUGAGAGAAGCUUAGCCAGGGAAGCAUCAAUAGGUCCAGAGAGAUUGCAUGAUGACAUGCUCAGAACACGUAAGUUGUGCAAUGAAGAUAGAGCAUGAAACCAUUCUUGUCCUUUGCCAGAUAUUGCUAUACCAUCUAGAUAUAAUUCUGUGAUUUCUGUAAGGUUUUGCAAAAGCAUUGCUGUAUUUGGCUUCGCCAGUUUCAGGCUGUGAGGUGAGGAAAAUGAAGAAGACAAGUCAAGAGUAACUAACCUUCUGAGAUGAAAAAUCUCAUGCGGAAUCUGCCCCUCAAAGCCAGCAUUUGAAAAGUUCAAAUACCUCAAAUUAUUCAAUUUGUAUAGCUCAGAAGGAAGCACAGAACUGAAGUUAUUGAAAGCCAAAUUCAAGCUUUGAAGAUCUUGAAGAGCAAAAAGAAGGCUUGAAUUAAGAAGUCCUCCUGAGAUAGACUCUUCACUGAGAUCAAGGGCUAUAACACCACCUUCUUUGCAUGUCACCCCAUGCCAUUGGCAACAAUCUUCACCUUCAUUCCAAAGAGUAAGUUUUUUGGAUAUUGCAGGGUUGAAUUUGAGGUUAUUUUUCAAACCAUGCAACAUGGAACACUCGUUGCCAAGCACAUAGCCAUUGGCUGGAAAAACGUUGGCACUAUGGUUUAUUGUGAAAAAUGGCAUAAGAAAAAAGCACAGAAGUAUGUGUCCUCUCAUAGUGUAUUAUGAGAAGUGUGUGAUGUGAGAUAUUUCUCAUUUGAAACAUCUUUUUCUCUUUUAUAGACUACAAAAGUUGUGCUAUUCAUAGUCUCCCGAGUCUAUCACGCAAUUAAGUCUCACUUUGGAAGUAAAAAUCACUUCUUACCUAAACCCUAAACCAACUUAUAAUAUUGAUACCAAUUUUAAAAGCCAUAUAAUUUUAUAUUAAUACUUUAAUUAAUUAGUUAUAUUAAUGAAAAUAAGUUUAAAAUUAUAUCCCUGCUUUAAUUAAGAUCUUAAGAAAGGUUUAACGUGCUUCCAUAAAUUUAUGUAUUAAUUACUGUUGGAAAAAAUAAAUUAUUUUUUAAUAUGACUAAAACAAAUACUUUGAAUAUGUAAAUUAUAUUAUCAAAAUAAAAUUCGUAGUAAACAGGACUAUUUUUAAUUUUUUAUUAAGUUGUUGAAAAAUAAAUUUAAAGAGAUAUAUUGUAAAAGGGAAUUAAAAAAAAAAAUCAGAUCUCUUGAUUCUUGAGAAUUUUAUUUCCAAAACUAAAACUUUGGUGACUUCACUCACGGGCCUUUGGUUAAAUAUAUUUUAGUGAUCAUUUUUCUUUUAUAAUUUUUUUAAGUCCAUCCUUAUUUUUGUAAUUUGAGUCAACUGUAACUUUCAUGCCAAUUUCAGAACACUAAUGUUAAAAUAAUUAUUUUUAAUAUUUUAAAAACAUUAGAAAAUAAAAAUCUUAACAAUUUUAGAAUGAAAAUAUUAGAAAAUAAAAAUAUAAAAUACACACAUUAAAUAAUAUGAAAAAUAAAUAUGGAUUAUACUUUGAAUAUAAAAGAUUGAAAAGGAAUUUCUUAUUUUCUUUUCCUUGUAUUAUUGUUGGAAAACAAAAAUAAUCGUUGAAUUUUAUUUUCUUUACUGCCAUGAUUGAAUUUUGUGAAAUUUCCAAUUAUUGACUUAGUCAUAAGAUAUGAGUGUCUGAGAGUCCAUCACGCAAUUGUGGACAUAGCAAGCAAGUAGGUGCAUCCUUCAUUAUUGUCACAUUGUCAUUUCAUUAUUCAACUAUAAGUGAAAUUAGGAAUUCUGUUUAACCACACGAUUUUUCAGAAUAUUUAAAGUGCUUUAGUACCUAUCCCUAAGAAUCAACAAUGUUGACAUAGAUUACAGUCAACAUCUUAUACAUGACAACAACAAAAAAAAAAAGUUUCAAUGAAGAUCUGAAUGAUUUGGAAUGUCCUAAAUGUUUGUUUAGUCUGAAGUCAUUGUGAAUAUUCAAUCAUUAAGGCUUGAAUCAUCUUUGAUUACUCACUAAUUGGAUGUGUUUUUUAAUAGUUUUAUUAUUAGAUGCUUUGUCAGUGAUAACUCAGUUUUUCAGUAUUUUUCUAGACAAAUUACAGUUCCUUGAGUGUUUUUUUUUUCUUAUUUUCUUCUUUUCUAUUAAAUUUGUAUUUUCUUCAAAAAUAAUAGAAUUUUUACAAAAAUAUCAUAAAAAUAAUAUUUUACAGCUUUUAUUUUGUUUGAAUCAUCUAACAUGUGCUUUAGUAAUUUUGUUUAUGAUCAAUAAUUUCAAGUCAACCUGUACUAGACGACCAACAUUAUGCUUGGAAGGAGAAGUUGAAGUUAAUUACUUUUAGAACUGGAUUUUGAGUCAGAGUGAUAUUUUUUUAGUGAUUUCCUUUAUGGACGUGUCUCCUUACCAGGUUGCAAACAAUAUAUAAAUGUAUUUGUGUGAAUUUUUUCAGCGUAAUACGGACGUAAAAUAAAAUUGUAAAAAGUAGGGAGAAAUUUCACAAGUUUUGGUAGAGGCCUUGGUUGCGUGAAAAAUUUUGAAAAAUUCUCCCGAAAUAGUUUUUUCCUGAAAUUCCACAUAAGAAUCUCCACUGAAUUCGGGACAAAACGUGACAAAUUUCAGGUUAAAAGGAUGCGUAUUCACAAACGAACCUUCCUUUCAGUUCUAGCACUGAUCAAUAAAAAGUUUAUUGUCAGUCUUGUGGGACAAAUCUGGGGCUCAAAUCUAAGCGAAAACUGAAAGACACAAUGACGAACGUUUGGUAAAAUUUUCAUACCAAAACAAACAAGGAGUAAAGCGUAAUAAGUCCAAUCUCGAGAGUGAACAAAACUGGUUUUCCGAAAACAAAACGUCCUGGCUUUUCUUCCCCAUAUAUUCUUUAUGGACGUGCCUCCUUUCCUGGGCGCAAACAACAUAUGAAAGUACUUGUGUGAAUUUUUUCAGCGCAAUACGGACACAUAAUAAAAAUUGCAGAAAGUAGAGCAAAAUUUCAUAAGUUUUGGUAGAGAUAGCCUUGGUUUGCGUGAAAAAUUCUCCCAAAAUAGUUUUUUCUUGAAAUUCCACGUAAGAAUCUCCUCUUAAUUCGGGACAAAACACGACAAAUUUCAGGUCAAACGAAUGAGUAUUCACCCUCGAAAAAAAUCAAAUUGUUUCACAACGAACCUUCCUUUCUGCCCUAGCAGUGAUCAAUAAAAAGUUUAUUGUUAGUCUUGUGGGACGAAUCUGGGGCUCAAAUCUCAGCCAAAACUCAAUAGACACAGUGACGGACGUCUAGUAAAAAUUUCAGACCAAAACACCCAACGAAUAAGGCGUAGUAAGUCCCAGCCCGAGAGUGAACAAAACUUGUUUUCCGAAAACAAAACAUCCUGGCUUUUCUUCCCCGUAUAUUCUUUUAGUGAUUCCUUUAUGGACGUGCCUCCUUGCCUAGGCGCAAAAAACAUAUGAAAGUAUUUGUGUGAGUUUUUUCAGCGCAAUACAAACGCAGAAUAAAAAUUGCAGAAAGUAGGGCAAAAUUUCACAAGUUUUGGUAGAGGAUAGCCUUGGGUUGCGUGAAAAAUUUUGAAUAAAUAUUCCGAUAUAGUUUUUUCCUGAAAUUCCACAUAAGAAUCUCCAUUGAAUUUGGGACAAAACACGAUAAAUUUCAUGUCAAACGGAUGAGUAUUCACCCACGAAAAAAAUGAAACAGUUCCACACAAACGAAACUUCCUUUCAGCCCUGACAGUGAUCAAUAAAAAGUUUAUUGCCAAUCUUGUGGGACGAAUUUGGGGCUCAAAUCUCAAACAAAACACAAUAGACACAGUGACGAACUUCUGGUAAAAAUUUCAGACCAAAACACCCAAGGACUAAGGCGUAGUAAGUCUCAUCCCGAGAGUGAACAAAACUGGUUUUUCGAAUACAAAACGUCGUGGUUUUUCUACCCCGUAUAUUAUUUUAGUGAUUCCUUCAUGGACAUGCCUCCUUACAUGGGCGCAAAAAAAAAUAUGAAAGUAGUUGUGUGAAUUUUUUUCAGCGCAAAACGGACGCAAAAUAAAAAUUGCACAAAGUAGGGCGAAAUUUCACAAGUUUUGGUAUAGGAUAACCUUGGUUUGAUUGAAAAAUUCUCCCAAAAUAGUUUUUUUUCCUGAAAUUCCACGUAAGAAUCUCCAUUGAAUUCGGGACAAAACCCGAUAAAUUUCAAGUCAAACGGAUGAGUAUUCACUCUCGAAAAAAAUCAAACAAUCACACAAACGAACCCUCCUCUCAGCCCUGACAGUGAUUUGUAAGAGAGAUAGUAGGCAAUCCAAGAUUAUCUACUACUCUUGUACUAGCCACAUUUGCUCAACUACCCCCAUCCACUAUCAAAGAGCAAAUGUUGUUUUGAAUAAGACAUCUUGUGUGGAAAAUAUUUUCCCUUUGACUUUCUUCAAAAGGUUGUGAAACUUGUCCAAGAAGUCUUCUCACAACUAACAAAUCCCCUUCAAGUGGACACUCACUCUCUUCCUCACUAGAUGCACUAGAAUGCAAUGAAUGCUUAGGAGAAUCCGAAUCAUGCUCACUCACUACAAUGCCUUCAUGCAUGUACAUACUUCGUUUGGAAGGACAAUUAGCAGCUAUAUGACCAUAACCCAUACAUUUAAAACAUUUAGUAUUAGACGUUCUAGUGGGUGAUUUAGGCGUAGAGGUAGAUGGCUUAGUUUCCUUGGGUUUGAAAGAAGAAUCUUUGGAAGGAAAUUUAGAAAAAGACUUUUUGUUCCUCCAAGACUUGUUGUAGUAACCAUCAUUGGGAGCAUUUUUGAAAGAAUUUUUCUUAGCAAGUUGGGCUUCCACCUUCAUUGCAAGAUGAACUAAAGAACCCAAUGAUGAAUACUCUUGUAACUCAACAAUGUCUUGAAUAUCCUUCCUAAGACCACUCACAAACCUAGCAAUCAUAGCUUCCUCACUUUCUUCUAAUUCAAUUUUAAGCACAAGCGUCUCUAGCUCCUUAUAAUAUUCAUCCACAUUUAGUGUGCCUUGUUGAAACCAUUGGAGUCUCAACAUGAGGUCUUUCCUAAAAUGUGGGGGCACAAAUCUAGUGCGAAUGUGAUCCUUUAAAGAGUUCCAAGAGUCCACGGGAGGACCCUUGUGAUAGAUAAUGUCCUUUACAACACCAUACCACCAUUUCAUGGCAUAAUCACUAAACUCUAGGGUGGCUAGCUUAAGCUUAUGCUCAUCUUGGAUCUCAUGGAUCUCAAAUAUUUGUUCACACUUAGCCUCCCAAUCUAAAUAUACAUUAGGAUCACUAGAGCCAUUAAAACAAGGAAGCUUGACCGAAGGAAGCCUAGACUUUGCAUCUUGAUAGAAGCCAUUGUCGUAGUGAUGUCUUUCCCCUUGGUUAUGGUGUCUUUGUCCAUGAAAUUAUGGUGGAGUUCUCCUUCUCCUAUGCUCUUCUUCACGGCCAAAAUCAUUUGAAGAGGCUCUUGUUGAAUGUCUAUGUGAAUGAUGCUCAUCAUGGAUGGAAAGAGAUGGUCUAGCUUGUUGCACCUCCAUCUUUUGCAAUUUCUCUUCCAAGCGUCUAAUGGAUCUUUGUGCUUCAUGUAAUUCACCAAGGAUUGAAGCUUUGGAAGGAGAAUGCUGCUUGUAGGAUGCAUCACUUGAAAAUCCAGCCAUUUGAAAUUAAAAACAGCAAACACACAAAACAGCAAACAAGUCAAGAAACAAAAUUAGCAAAAACAGUGAGCUUGGCAAUUGCCGAAGUGAAUUGAGGCAGAAAAAUAGGUCACUCUCAAAGAAAUAAUGUCCUUGCACCAAUCUGAUCUUGAGGUCUUGGAAUCUUCAAAUGAAAGAUGUCAAAGCAAGCACACCAAUCUCAAAGCCAACCACAACAAAACCAAUGAAGCAAUAAGGACAAACGAGAAAAGUAUAAGCAAAGAAAAGGCUAGAACAAAAGGAAUACUAGAUGUUUGACAAACUCAAAGAUUAAUGAACAAAAGACAAGCAAGAAAAUUAAAGAACUCAAUGAGAAAGUAGGCACACAAAAGAAUACUUAAAGAAAAGUACUAGAGUAGAUGAAGAAAACAAAAAAUUUAGCUACUGGAAAAUAUUUUUUUAUGCAAACUGUGCUUGAUGUUCACUGAUUUAACUGGAAUGAUAUAAAGCGAACUGGAUUUUGAAAUUUAAACCACAGAAACUUCNNNNNNNNNNNNNNNNNNNNNNNNNNNNNNNNNNNNNNNNNNNNNNNNNNNNNNNNNNNNNNNNNNNNNNNNNNNNNNNNNNNNNNNNNNNNNNNNNNNNNNNNNNNNNNNNNNNNNNNNNNNNNNNNNNNNNNNNNNNNNNNNNNNNNNNNNNNNNNNNNNNNNNNNNNNNNNNNNNNNNNNNNNNNNNNNNNNNNNNNNNNNNNNNNNNNNNNNNNNNNNNNNNNNNGUGAGUAAAUCAAUUGCAAUAAGGAAAAACAGUAAGCACUUUUUCAGAAAACAGAGGAAUCCUAAUAGGAAUGAAAAACAGAAUUAUGAACUAGUAAAGACAUAAUGGAAAAUGAUGUAUAGGAACUUGUAUAGGUCUAGAAUACAAGUAUGAACUCAAUCUAAAACAGAAAAUGCACAAAGGAUCAAUAUCAAACUUCAGAAAAUAAAAUAAAAUUAUGACACUAAAGCAAGAAACAACAAAAGCAAUAAAAGUACUACAAGAAGUGAUGACAAUUAUGGAAAAACAAGACUAAGACAAAACUUGUAUAGAUUCAAAAAAAAGAAAAUACUCAAACAUAUGAUAGGCACAAAAAUUAAAACAGCAAGCAAACUCAAAUAAGCCUAAAACAGAAACUUAAAUUGCAAGAAAUUAAAAGAGCUCUUGAAAUAAAGUGCUACAUAACUCAACAAUUAAACAAGAACACACCUAAACUCUUGAUACCACAUGAUGUGAUUCCAAUAGCAAAGAAGAGAAUGAUUCUUGACAUUCUUAGGAAUCAACUUCAGUUGGACAAUAGUUAGGCACUUUAUCUUAGAAUUGGAUCAAUGUUCUAAGUCAAGAACUCACCAAAACUAGCACCUAAUCCAAACUCAUAUGGAAGUUCCAAUUAUAGUCAAAUUGAACCGAUUAAAAUGAAAGAAGAAGCAAUUGCACCGAAUAGAAUUAGCUAAAAACUGAAAUGAACUGAAUAUAAAGGAUGGAAAAGCAAAGGAACAAGAUGAAUGGACAGAAAUAUAAAAAGACCGAACCAAAAAACCACAAAACAGCAAGAACACCGAACAGAAUUUCAAGGAAUCAAGCUAAAACAAGAACAAUUGAAAGAGAAGGAAGGAAAGAGAAGAGAAAGCUCAUGAAGAUGGAUGUAUGGUUGGAUGAUCACGCCACUAGAAGGAUGGAGACUCCUAGAUGAGUGUGCAAGCCGCCACUUGAGGUAACCAAGGAACCAUCAAGAUAAGACUAGUGAAGAAGGCACAAAGCUCUCCAAUGCUCUCUCAAAAAUUGAGUAUAGUUUCUUUAGUCUAAAUUCCAAUCUGAAAUGUACAAGGGCAGCACCUAUAUUUAUAGCCUAGAGGUGCUGAAAAUCAAACUAAAAGAAUUCAAAAUUCCCUCCUAAAAGCUACUAGAACCGGCGCCUAAACCAAGCAUGAGGAAGGUGUGACCUCUUCCCUCACUUUGGCACCUCCUUAUUUACUCCUACACCUAUCUACUAACGCACCCCCCCUCAUAAGACUCCUAACUAAAGACUAAAAGAUGCUUUAACAAUAGAGGUUUCUAAUGUUUCCCUCUAAGCACCUUCAACCAAAGAAAUUACAAAAAGAGUAAAUAAACGUCCCCUAGCUCCUAAAGCUUUGAACAUGCUUCUUGUAAGCCUUUGAGGUGGGCUUUGACCUCCAUGGGCGUCCUCCAUUUGAGCCUCUACCUCUUCUUGAUCUUGGUGAUUGGCCUCCAUGUCCACUUGAGCUUGAUCUCCAUCAUUACCUGGGCGUAAACAACAUAUAAAAGUACUUGUGUGAAUUUUUUAAGCGCAAUACGGACGCAGAAUAAAAAUUGCAGAAAGUAGGGCGAAAUUUCACAAGUUUUGGUAGAGGAUAACCAUGGUUUGCGUGAAAUUUUUUGAAAAAUUGUCCCAAAACAGUUUUUUCCUAAAAUUCCACGUAGGAAUCUUCACUGAAUUCGGGACAAAAACACGACAAAUUUAAGGUCAAACGGAUGAGUAUUCACCCACGAAAAAAAUCAAACAAUUUCGCACAAGCGAACCUUCCUUUCAGCCCCGGCAGUAAUCAAUAAAAAGAUUAUUGCCAGUCUUGUAGGACGAAUCUGGGACUCAAAUCUCAGCCAAAACUCAAUAGACACAGUGACGAACGUCAGGUAAAAAUUGUUGAAGAUGGUUGCUGCCCCUUCAAGAUUGUGUUUGAUGAAGGCUUAUAUGUUGUGUUUGAUGAAGACCUAUAUGUACUUUUCAUUUGUUUUUUGCUUUGCUUUAAGUAUGUCUUAGGUAGUGCUUAGAGGUUGUCUAAGAGUGGGCUUUUUGCUGAGUAACUCACCUCAUAACCACUGGCCAUGUGAUAAGAACAAGCAUAAGUUUUCUUAAAAUGUUUUUCACAUGUUUUACAAAAAACACGUUUACUGCAUAAAAAUAAAUCUGUUCUUUUCUAACUAAACAGAUUCAUUUUUACACUAUUGCCUUGGCUAAGUCUUGUAAAAAUUAGAUUUUGUGCAUCAGGUAUUUUGACUAAGUCUUCUUCUUUUCAAAACGACUGAGUUUUAAAUAGUUAAACUUUCUCUGUUUCGUUUUGUAAAAUAAAUCUGUUCAUCUGUAAAUGAAUAGAUUCUUUUUGUCUCUGGUGCCAUGUCAAGCUUAAACGAUUUUCAGUUUUAUCUCAGCACCAGAAUGGUUGACUAAGUCUCCUCACUUAACAAAUUCUCUAACUGCUUUUGAAAAUAAAUCUGUUCAUUUUAUUUUAUAACAAAUUUUGAAAAUAACAAAUUCAUUUUAUAACAGCUUUAACUGUUUUUCAAAAAUCUGUUAUAAGUUGGCUUUCUAUAAAAUGCAAACUUGUUUCUGAGUUUAAAUACUGAUUCAUACAUUUGCAAAAACAAGUUUUGACAGCAGAGAGUUAAGUGUUUACAAAGGAUUAGCAUUUGUUCUUCAAAGAUUUCAAAAAUCACAAAGUUCUUGUUCUUUGUUUGGUUCCAAAAGCUUGGUGUGAGGUGUUGCUACUGUUCUAGCAAUCUUGCCUACUGGUUUAAGGCAGAUCUUUGUAUCCUCAAUCAGGUGUAGUCGUUUCACUUCUCAUUUCUUGUAAUAGUUUGGUUGAACACUCUUCUUGAUAGGCGUUCUUGAAGAGUGGGUGUGUGUGUGCUGAAAUAGGUUUUUUUCAGCAAGAGUACCUAAGUUCUUGUAGGUUUCAAGAACAGUGGGAAUUGUACUUGGUUGUACUGUGUUUUAGUGAUUUCCACCUGUUGUGGGUGAAGACUGGAUGUAGCUCAGUUGAGUGAACCAGUAUAACUGCUUGUGUUCAUUCUCUCUCACUCUCUGCAAUUUCGUUUCUGCAUAAUUGAUUAAACAGCAAAGAAAUAAAUCUGUUCAAUUGAAAAUAAAUCUGUUCUUUCUGGGCACUGUGCAUAAUGUUCUUGAUUUCUGAAAAAGUUGUUUGAAUCUGAUAAGAACAUAUAUAAUCUGCUAAAAGCCAUUGGAACAGAUUGACUGUGAUAGGUUGCUCAAGAAACUGUCAAAGCUAUUAAUUGAACCUUAAACAAUUGCUUAAAGUUGAAGCUUGUUGUUCUGUGAUUCAAUGUUCUUAAUUUCUGGAAAAUUGCUUGACAUCAAGAAGAACACUCAUAGUCUGUUAAAAGCCACUGGAACAGGUUGUUUGCAAAGGUCACUCAAUUAAUUAGCAUGCUAUCAAUUGAACCUUAAUCACUUGCUUGAAAUUGAAGCUUACUAUUUUGUGUUUCACUGCUUUUCAAUCUGAUAUCUGUGUGUGUGCAUCUGGAAAAUCUAUCUGCAUAGUCUUGUGAUUAACCUUGCUGUAUUAAAAACGUUUCAAACAAAAACAGUGCUGAAAUAAAUCUGUUCAUUUUCACAUAAAUCGAUUUAUUUUCUGUAAAACUGGGUUAAACAUUGUUUCUGCGAGAAAGUUUUAAAAGGUCAAUUCACCCCCCCUCUUGAACUUUGGCACUAUUAAACCCAACAAAAAUUUCAUACCAAAACACCCAAGCAGUAAGGCUUAGUAAGUCCCAUCCCGAGAGUGAACAAAACUGGUUUUCUGAAAACAAAACGCCCUGGCUUUUCUUCCCCGUAUAUUCUUUUAGUGAUACCUUUAUGGACGUGCCUCCUUACCUAGGCGCAAAAAACAUAUGAAAGUACUUGAGUGAAUUUUUUUCAGCGCAAUACGGACGCAGAAUAAAAAUUGUAGAAAGUAGGGCGAAAUUUGACAAAUUUUGGUAGAGGAUAGCCUUGGUUUGCGUGAAAAAUUCUCCCAAAAUAGUUUUUUCCUGAAAUUCCACGAAAGAAUCUCCACUAAAUUCGAGAAAAACGCGACAAAUUUCAGGUUAAAAGGAUGAGUAUUCACCCACGAAAAAAAUCAAACAGUUUCAGACAAACGAACCUUGCUUUCAGCUUUGGCAGAGAUCAAUAAAAUGUUUAUUGCUAGCCUUGUGGGACGAAUUUGGGGCUCAAAUCCCAGCCAAAACUCAAUAGACACACUGACGGACGCCUGGUAAAGAUUUCAGACCAAAACACCGAAGGAGUAAAGUGUAGUAAGUCCUAGACCGAGAGUGAGUGAAACUGGUUUCCAAAAAAAAACGUUCUGGCUUUUCUUCCCCGUAUAUUCUUGUAGUGAUUCAUUUUCGGACGUGCCUCCUUACCUGGGCGCAAACAACAUAUGAAAGUACUUGUGUGAAUUUUUUCAAUGCAAUACAAACGUAGAAUAAAUAUUGCACAAAGUAGGGAGAAAUUUCACAAGUUUUGGUAGAGGAUAGCUUUGGUUUGCGUGAAAAAUUCUCCCAAAAUAGUUUUUUCCUGAAAUUCCACGUAAGAAUCUCCACUGAAUCGGGAGAAAACGCGGCAAAUUUCAGGUCAAACGGAUGAGUAUUCACCCACGAAAAAAAUCAAACAGUUUCACACAAACGAAACUUCCUUUCAGCUCUGGCACUAAUGAAUAAAAUGUUUAUUGCCAGUCUUGUGGGACGAAUUUGGGGCUCAAAUCUCAGCAAAAACUGAAAGACACAAUGACGAACGUCUGGUAAAAAUUUUAGUCCAAAACACCAAAGGAGUAAGGCGUAGUAAGUCCGAGACCCAGAGUGAACAAAACUGGUUUUUCGAAAACAAAACGUCCUGACCUUUCUUCCUCGUAUAUUCUUUUAGUGAUUUCUUUAUGGAUGUGCGUCCUUACUUGGGCGCAAAAAACAUAUGAAAGUACUUGUGUGUAUUUUUUCAGUGCAAUACGAACGUAGAAUAGAAAUUGCAGAAAGUAGGGCGAAAUUUCACAAGUUUUGGUUGAGGAUAACCUUAAUUUGGUGAAAAUUUCUGAAAAAUUCUCUCGAAAUAGUUUUUUCCUGAAAUUCCACGUAAGAAUCACCAUUGAAUUCGGGACAAAACGCGACAAAUUUCAGGUCCAACGGAUGAGUAUUCAACCACGAAAAAAAUCAAACAGUUUCACACAAACGAACCUUCAUUUCAGCCCUGACAAUGAUCAAUAAAAAGUUUAUUGCCAGUCUUGUGGAACGAAUCUGAGGCUCAAAUCUAAGCCAAAACUCUAUAGACACUGUGACGAACGUCUGGUAAAAAUUUCAUACCAAAAGACCAAAGGAGUAAGGUGUAGUAAGUCCCAGACCAAGAAUGAACAAAACUGGUUUUCCGAAAACAAAACGUUCUGCUUUUCUUCCCCGUAUAUUCUUUUAGUGAUUCCUUUAUCGGCGUGCCUCCUUACCUGGGCAUAAACAACAUAUGAAAGUACUUGUGUGAAUUUUUUCAGCGCAAUACGGACGGAGAAUAAAAAUUGCACAAAGUAGGGCAAAAUGUCACAAGUUUUAGUAAAGGAUAGCCUUGGUUUGCGUGAAAAAUUUUCCCGAAAUAGUUUUUUCCUGAAAUUCCACGUAUGAAUAUCCACUGAAUUUGGGACAAAACACGACAAAUUACCGAUAAACAGAUUAGUAUUCACCCAGGAAAAAAAACAAAAGGUUUCACACAAACGAACCUUCCUUUCAACUCUGGCAAUGAUCAAUAAAAAGUUCAUUGCCAGUCUUGUGUGACGAAUCUGGGACUCAAAUAUCAGCCAAAACUUAAUAGACACUAUGACGGACGUCUGGUAAUAAUUUCAGACCAAAACACCCAAGGAGUAAGGCGUAGUAAGUCCCAGACCGAGAGUGAACAAAACUGCUUUUCAGAAAACAAAACGUCCUGACUUUUCUUCCCUAUAUAUUCCUUUAGUGAUUCCUCUAUGGAUGUGCCUCCUUACCUGGGCGCAAACAACAUAUGAAAUUACUUGUGUGAUUUUUUUCAGCGCAAUAGAAACACAGAAAAAAAAUUGCAAAAAGUAGAGCGAAAUUUCACAAGUUUCGGCAGAGGAUAGCCUUGGUUUGCGUGAAAAUUUCUGAAAAAUUCUCCCGAAAUAGUUUUUUCCUGAAAUUCCACGUAAGAAUCUCCACUGAAUUCAGGACAAAACGCAACAAGUUUCAGGUCCAACGGAUGAAUAUUCACCAACGAAAAAAAUCAAACAGUUUCACACAAACGAACCUCCCUUUCAGCCCUUGCAGUGAUCAUUAAAAAGUUUAUUGCCAGUCUUGUGGGACGAAUCUGGGGUCAAAUCUCGGCCAAAACUCAAUAGACAUUGUAACGGAAGUCUGGUAAAAAUUUCAGACGAAAACACUCAAGGAGUAAGGGGUAGUAAUUCGCAGACUGAGAGUGAAAAAACUGGUUUUCCGAAAACAAAAAGUCCUAGCUUUUCUUCCCCGUAAAUUCUUUUAGUGAUUCCUUUAUGGACGUUCCUCCUUACCUGGGUGCAAGCAACAUAUGAAAGUACUUGUGUGAAUCUUUUUCAAUGCAAUACGAACGCAGAAUAAAAAUUGCAAAAAGUCGGGCGAACUUUCACAAGUUCUGGUUGAGGAUAGCCUUGGUUUGCGUGAAAAUUUCUGAAAAAUUCUCCCAAAAUAGUUUUUUUCUGAAAUUCCACGUAAGAAUCUCCACUGAAUUCAGGACAAAACACGACAAAUUUCAGGUCCAACAGAUGAGUAUUCACCAACGAAAAAAAUCAAACAGUUUCACACAAACGAACCUCUCUUUCAGCCCUCGUUGUGAUCAAUAAAAAGUUUAUUGUCAGUCUUGUGGGACGAAUCUGGGGCUCAAAUCUCAGCCAAAACUCAAUAGACACAGUGACGAACGUCUUGGAAAAAUUUCAGACGAAAACACUCAAGGAGUAAGGCGUAAUAAUUCCCAGAUUGAGAGUGAACAAAACUAGUUUUCCUAAAACAAAAAGUCAUGGCCUUUCAUCCCCGUAAAUUCUUUUAGUGAUUCCUUUAUGAACGUGCCUCCUUACCUAGGCGCAAACAACAUAUGAAAGUACUUCUGUUAAUUUUUUCAACGCAAUAAAGAUGCAAAAUAAAAAUUGCAGAAAGUAGGGCAAAAUUUCACAUGUUUUGGUAGAGGAUAGCCUUGAUUUCCGAGAAGAUUUCUGAAAAAUUCUCUGGAAAUAGUUUUUUCUGAAAUUCCACAUAAGAAUCUGCACUGAAUUCGGGACAAAAAGCGAAAAAUUUCAGGUCAAACGGAUGAGUAUUCACCCACGAUAAAAAUCAAAAAGUUUCACACAAACCAACCUUCCUUUCAGCCGUGGCAGUGAUCAAUAAAAAGUUUAUAGCGAGUCUUGUGGGACGAAUCUGGGCUCAAAUUUCAUCAAAAACUCAAUAGACACUCUGACGGACGUCAAGUAAAAAUUUUACACCAAAACACCCAAUGACUAAGGCGUAGUAAGUCCCAGACCGAGUGUGAACAAAACUGGUUUUCCGAAAACAAAACGUCCUGGCUUUUCUUCCCCAUAUAUUCUUUUAGUGAUUCCUUUAUGGACGUGCCUCCUUACCUGGGCACAAACAACAUAUGAAAGUACUUGUGUAAAUUUUUUCAGCGCAAUACGAACGCAGAAUAAAAAUUGGAGAAAGUAGGGCAAAAUUUCACAAGUUUUUGUAGAGGAUAGCCUUGGUUUGUGUGAAAAAUUCUGAAAAAUUCAACCGAAAUAGUUUUUUCCUGAAAUUCCAUGUAAGAGUCUCCAUUGAAUUCGAGACAAAACGCGAAAAAUUUCAGGUCCAACGGAUGAGUAUUCACGCACGAAAAAAUCAAACAUUUUCACACAAACGAACCUUCCUUUCAACCCUGGCAGUGAUCAAUAAAAAGUUUAUUGCAUGUCUUGUGGGAGGAAUCUGGGGCUCAAAUCUAAUCCAAAACUCAAUAAACACUGUGACGGACGUCUGGUAAAUAUUUCAGACCAAAACACUCAAGGAGUAAGGCGUAGUAAGUCCCAGACUGAGAGUGAACAAAACUGGUUUUCCGAAAACAAAACGUCUUUGCUUUUCAAUCCCGUAUAUUCUUUUAGCGCUUCCUUUAUGGACGUGCGUCUUUAUUUGGGCGCAACCAACAUAUGAAAGUACUUGUGUGAUUUUUUUUCAGCACAAUACGAACACAGAAUAAAAAUUGCAGAACGUAGUGCGAAAUUUCACAAGUUUUGGUAGUGGAUAGCCUUGGUUUGCAUGAAAAUUUCUGAAAAAUUCUUCCGAAAUAAUUUUUUCCUGAAAUAUCACGUAAGAAUCUCCACUGAAUUUGGGACAAAACACGACAAAUUUCAAAUCAAAAGGAUGCUUAUUCACCCACAAAAAAAUAAAAAAGAUUCACCUAAACGAACCUUACUUUCGGCCCUAGCAAUGAUCAAUAAAGAGUUUACUGCCAGUCCUUUGGGACGAACAUUGGGCUCAAAUCUCAGCCAAAAAUCAAUAGACACAGUGAUGGACAUCUGGUAAUAAUUUCAGACGAAAACACCCAAGCAGUAAGGCAUAGUAAGUCCCAGAACGAUAGUGAACAAAACUGAUUUUCCGAAAACAAAACGUUCUGCCUUUUCUACACCAUAUAUUCUUUUAGUGAUUCCUUUAUGGAAGUGUCUCUUUACUUGGGCACAACCAACAUAUGAAAGUACUUGUGUGAAUUUUUUUAGCGCAAUACGGAUGCAGAAUAAAAAUUGCAGAAAGUAGUGCGAAAUUUCUGAAAAAUUCUCUUGAAAUAGUUUUUUCCUGAUAUUCCACAUAAGAAUCUCCACUGAAUUUGGGACAAAACGCGACAAAUUUAAAGUCAAAGGGAUACUUUUUCACCCACGAAAAAAACAAAAAAGUAUCAUCCAAACGAACCUUCUUUUCAGCCCUGGCCAUGAUCAAUAAAAAGUUUAUUGCCAGUCUUGUGGGACGAAUCUGGGGCUCAAAUCUUAGCAAAAACUCAAUAGACACACUGACGGACGUCUGGUAAAAGUUUCAGACCAAAAGACCCAAGGAGUAAGGCGUAGUAAGUCCCAGACCGAGAGUGAACAAAACUGGUUUUCCGAAAACAAAACGUCCUGGUUUUUCUUCCCCGUAUAUUCUUUUAGUGAUUCCUUUAUGGACGUGCCUCCUUACUUGGGAGAAAAAACCAUAUGAAACUACUUAUGUGAAUUUUUUCGGCGCAAUACGGAUUUAGAAUAAAAUUUGCAGAAUGUAUGGCGAAAUUUAACAACUUUUGGUAGAGGAUAGUCUUGGUUUACAUAACAAAGUCGGAAAAAUUAUUCUCCCGAAAUAGUUUUUUCCAAAAAUUCCACGCAAGAAUCUGCACUGAAUUCGGGACAAAACGCGACAAAUCUCAGGUCAAACGGAUGAGUAUUCACCCAAGAAAAAAUUCAAACACUUUCACACAAACGAAUCUUCCUUUCAACUCUGGCAGUGAUCAAUAAAAGGUUUAUUGCCAGUGUUGUGAGACGAAUCUGGGGCUCAAAUCUCAUCCAAAACUCAAUAGACACAGUGACGGACGACCGGUAAAAAUUUUAGACUAAAACACCCAAGAAGUAAGGCGUAGUAAGUCCCAGACCGAGAGUGAACAAAACUGGUUUUCCGAAAACAAAACGUCCUGGCUUUUCUUCCUUGUAUAUUCUUUAAGUGAUUCCUUUAUUCACAUGCCUCCUUAUAUAGGCGCAAACAAUAUAUGAAAGUACUUGUGUGAAUAUUUUCAAUGCAAAAUGAACGCAUAAUAAAAUUUGCAGAAAGUAGGGCGAAAUUUCACAAGUUUUAGUAGAGGAUAACCUUGGUUUGCGUGAAAAUUUUUGAAAAAUUGUCCCGGAACAGUUUUUUCUUGAAAUUCCACGUAAGAAUUUUCACUGAAUUCGGGACAAAACGCGGCAAAUUUCAGGUCAAACGGAUGAGUAUUCACCCACGAAAAAAAUCAAACAAUUUCACACAAGCGAACCUUCCUUUCGGCCCCAGCAGUAAUCAAUAAAAAGAUUAUUGCCAGUCUUGUGGGACGAAUCUGGGACUCAAAUCUCGGCCAAAACUCAAUAGACACAGUGACGAACGUCUGGUAAAAAUUUCAUACCAAAACACCCAAGGAGUAAGGCGUAGUAAGUCCCAUCCCGAGACUGAACAAAACUGGUUUUCUGAAAACAAAACGCCCUGGCUUUUCUUCCCCGUAUAUUCUUUUAGUGAUUCCUUUCUGGACAUGCCUCCUUACCUGGGCGCAAACAACAUAUGGAAGUACUUGUGUGAAUUUUUUCAAUGCAAUACUGACGCAGAAAAAAUAUUGCAGAAAGUAUGGCGAAAUUUCAAAAGUUUUGGUAGAGGAUAGCCUUUGUUUGCGUGAAAAUUUCUGAAAAAUUAUCCCGAAAUAGUUUUUUCGUGAAAUUCCACGUAAGAAUCUCCACUGAAUUCUAAUCAAAACGUGACAAAUUUCAGGUCAAACGGAUGAGUAUUCACUCACGAAAAAAAUCAAACAGUUUCAAACAAACGAACCUUCCUUUUACCCCUGGCAAUGAUCAAUAAAAAUUUUAUUGCCAGGCUUGAGAGAUGAAUCUGGGGUUCAAAUCUCAGCCAAAACUCAAUAGAUACAGUGACAAACGUCUGGUAAAAAUUUUAGACCAAAACACCAAAGCAGUAAGGCGUAAUAAGUCACAGACCGAGAGUGAACAAAACUAGUUUUUCGAAAACAAAAAAUCCUGGCUUUUCUUCCCCGUAUAUUCUUUUAGUGAUUACUUUAUGGACGCGCCUACUUACCUGGGCGCAAACAACAUAUGAAAGUACUUGUGUAAAUUUUUUCAGCGCAAUACGGACGCAAUAUAAAAAUUACAGAAAGUAGGGCAAAAUUUCACAAGUUUUGGUAGAGGAUAGCCUUGGUUUACGUGAAAAUUUCUGAAAAAUUCUCCCAAAAUCGUUUUUUUUCUGAAAUUCCUCGUAAGAAUCUCCACUGAAUUAGGGACAAAACGCGACAAAUUUCAGGUUAAACGGAUGAGUAUUCAACCACGAAAAAAUUCAAACAGUUUCACACAAACGAACCUUCCUUUCAGCCCUGGCAGUGAUCAACAAAAAUUUUAUUGCCAGUCUAGUGAGACGAAUUUGGGGUUCAAAUCUCAGCCAAAACUCAAUAAACAUAGUGACGAACGUCUGGUAAAAAUUUCAGACCAAAACACCAAAGCAGUAAGGCGUAAUAAGUCACAGACCUAGAGUGAACAAAACUGGUUUUUCGAAAACAAAACAUCCUGGCUUUUCUUCUCCGUAUAUUCUUUUAGUGAUUCCUUUAUGGACGUGUCUACUUACCCGGGCGCAAACAACAUAUGAAAGUACUUGUGUGAAUUUUUUUCAGCGCAAUACGAACGCAGUAUAAAAAUUGCAGAAAGUAUGGCAAAAUUUCAAAACUUCACGCCUUAGUUUGCGUGAAAAAUUCCCCCGAAAUAGUUUUUUCCUGAAAUUCUACAUAAGAAUCUCCACUAAAUUCGGUAGAAAACGCGAAUAAUUUCAGGUCAAACGGAUGAGUAUUCACCCACGAAAAAAAUCAAACAGUUUCACAUAAACGAACCUUCCUUUCAGCCCAGGCAGUGAUCAAUAAAAAGUUUAUUGUCAGUAUUGUGGGAUGAAUCUGGGUCACAAAUCUCAUCCAAAACUCAAUAGACACAGUGACGAACUUCUGGUAAAAAUUUCAUACCAAAACACCGACGGAGUAAGGCAUUUAAGUCCCACACUGAGAGUGAACAAAACUGGUUUUCCGAAAACAAAACAUCCUGGCCUUUCUUCCCCGUAUAUUCUUUUAGUGAUUCCAUUAUGGAUGUGCCACCUUACCUGGGCGCAAAAAACAUAUGAAAGCACUUGUGUGUAUUUUUUCUGCUUUGGUUUGCGUGAAAAUUUCUGAAAAAUUCUACCGAAAUAGUUUUUUCCUGAAAUUUCUCGUAAGAAUCUCCACUGAAUUAGGGACAAAACGAGACAAAUUUCAGGUGAAACGGAUGAGUAUUCACCCUCGAAAAAAAUCAAACAGUUUCACACAAACGAACCUUCCUUUUAACCCUGGCAGUGAUCAAUAAAAAGUUUAUUGCCAGUCCUGUGGGACGACUCUGGGGCUCAAAUCUCAGCCAAAACUCAAUAGACACAGUGACAAACGUCUGGUAAAAAUUUCAGACCAAAACACCCAAGGAGUAAGGCGUAGUAAGUCUCAGACCGAGAGUGAAAAAACUGGUUUUUCGAAAACAAAACGUCCUAAAUUUUCUUCCCAGUAUGUUCUUUUAUUCAUUGCUUUAUAGACGUCACUCGUUACCUGGGCGCAAACAACAUCUGAAAGUACUUGUGCGAAUUUUUUCAGCGCAAUCCGGACGCAGAAUAAAAAUUGCAAAAAGUAAUGCGAAAUUUCACAAGUUUUGGUAGAGGAUAACCUUGGUUUGCGUGAAAAUUUCUGUAAAAUUCUCCCGAAAUAGUUUUUUCCUAAAACUCCAUGUAAGAAUCUCCACUGAAUUCGGGGAAAAAUGCGACAAAUUUCAAGUUAAACGGAUCAAUAUUCACGCACGAAAAGAAUCAAACAGUUUCACACAAACGAAAUUUCCUAUCAGCCUUGGCAGUGAUCAAUAAAAUGUUUAUUGUCAGUCCUGUGGGACGAAUCUAGGGCUCAAAUCUCAGCCAAAACUCAAUAGGCACAGUGACGGAUGUCUGGUAAAAAUUUUAAACCAAAACACCCAUGGAGUAAGGCGUAGUAAGUUCUAGACCGAAAGUGAACAAAACUGGUUUUCCGAAAACAAAACGUACUGGCAUUUCUUCCUCGUAUAUUCUUUUAGUGAUUGUUUUAUGGACGUGGCUCCUUAGCUGGGCACAAAAAACAUGUGAAAGUACUUCUGUGAGUAAAUUGCAUAAAGUACGACGAAAUUUCAAAGUUUUGGUAGAGGAUAACCUUGGUUGGCGUGAAAAUUUAUGAAAAAUUCUCCCAAAAUAGUUUUUUCCUAAAAUUCCACAUAAGAAUCUCCACUGAAUUAGGGACAAAACGCAACAAAUGUCAGGUCAAACGGAUGAGUAUUCACUCUAAAAAAAAAUCAAACAGUUUCACACAAACGAACCUUCCUUUCAGCCCUGGCAGUGAUCAAUAAAAUGUUUAUUGCCAGUCCUGUGGGACGAAUCUGGGGCUCAAACUCAGCCAAAACUCAAUAGACACAGUGACGAUCGUCUGGUAAAUAUUUCAGACCAAAACACCCAAGGAGUAAGGCGUAGUAAGUCUCAGACCAAGAGUGAAAAAAACUGGUUUUUCGAAAACAAAACGUCCUAAAUUUUCUUCCCAGUAUGUUCUUUUAGUCAUUGCUUUAUGGACGUCACUCGAUACUUGGGCGCAAACAACAUCUGAAAGUACUUGUGUGAAUUUUUUUCAGCGCAAUCCGGACGUAGAAUAAAAAUUUCAAAAAGUAAAUCGAAAUUUCACAAGUUUUGGUAGAGGAUACCUUUAGUUUGCAUGAAAUUUUCUGAAAAUUUCUCCCGAAAUAGUUUUUUACUGAAAUUCCAUGUAAGAAUCUCCACUGAUUUCAGGACAAAACGCGACAAAUUUCAGGUCAAACGGAUGAGUAUUAACACACAAAAAGAAUCAAACAGUUUCACACAAACGGACCUUCCUUUCAGUCAUGGCAGUGAUAAAUAAAAAGUUUAUUGCUAGUUUUGUGGGACGAAUAUGGGGCUCAAAUCUCAGCCAAAACUCAAUAGACACAGUGACGAACGUCUGCUAAAAAUUUCAUACCAAAACACCGAAGGAGUAAGGCGUAGUAAGUCCUAAACCGAGAGUGAACAAAACUGGUUUUUCGAAAACAAAACGUCCUGGCUUUUCUUCCCCCUAUAUUCAUUUAGUUAUUGCUUUAUGGACGUGCCUCCUUACCUGGGCGCAUACAACAUAUGAAAGUAAUUGUAUGAAUUUUUUCAGCGUAAUACGGACGCAGAAUAAAAAUUGCUGAAAGUAGGGCGAAAUUUCACAAGUUUUGGUAGAAGAUAGCCUUGGUUUGCGUGAAAUUUUCUGAAAAAUUCUCCCGAAAUAGUUUUUACCUGAAAUUCCACGUAAGAAUCUCCACUGAAUUCAGGACAAAACGCGACAAAUUUCAAGUCUAACGGAUGAGUAUUCACCCACGAAAAAAAUCAAACAAUUUCACACAAACAAACCUUCCUUUCAGCCCUGACAGUGAUCAAUAAAAAGUUUAUUGCCAGUCUCGUGGGAUGAAUCUGGGGCUUAAAUCUCAAUUAAAGUCAAUAAACACAAUGAAGAACGUCUGGUAAAAAUUUCAGACCAAAACACCCAAGGAAUAAGGCGUAGUAAGUCCGACACCGAGAGUGAACAAAUCUAGUUUUUCGAAAACAAAACGUCCUUGUUUUUCUUCCCCCUAUAUUCAUUUAGUGAUUCCUUUAUGGACGUGGCCCCUUACCUGGAUGCAAAAAACAUAUGAAAGUACUUAUGUGAAUUUUUUCAGCGCAAUACGGACACAGAAUAAAAAUUGCAAAAAGUAGGGCAAAAUUUCACAAGUUUUGGUAGAGGAUAGCCUUGGUUUGCGUGAAAAUUUAUGAAAAAUUCUCCCGAAAUAGUUUUUUCCUGAAAUUCCACGUAAAAGUCUCCACUGAAUUCGGGACAAAACGUGACAAAUUUCAAGUCAAACGGAUGAGUAUUCAACCACGAAAAAAAAUCAAACAGUUUCACACAGACGAACCUUCCUUUCAGCUCUGACAGUGAUCAAUAAAAAGUUUACCUUGUGGGACAAAUAUGGGGCUCAAAUCUCAGCCAAAACCCAAUAGACAUAGUGACGAACGUCUGGUAAAAAUUUCAGACCAAAACACUCAAGGAGUAAGGUGUAGUAUGUCCCAGACCAAGAGUGAACAAAACUGAUUUUUCGAAAACAAAACGUCCUGGCUUUUCUUCCCCGUAUAUUCUUUUAGUGAUUGCUUUAUGGAUGUGCCUCCUUACUUGGGCGCAAACAACAUAUGAAAGUACUUGUGUGAAUUUUUUCAGCGCAAUACGGACGCAGAAUAAAAAUUGCAAAAAGUAGGGCGAAGUUUCACAAGUUUUGGUAGAGGAUAGCCUUGGUUUGCGUGAAAAUUUCUGAAAAAUUCUCCCGAAAUUGUUUUUUCCUAAAAUUCCAUGUAAGAAUAUCCACUGAAUUCCGGAUACAACGCAACAAAUUUUAGGUCAAACGGAUGAGUAUUCACGCAUGAAAAGAAUCAAACAGUUUCACACAAACGAACCUUCCUAGCCCUGGCAGUGAACAAUAAAAACUUUAUUGCCAGUUUAGUGGGACGAAUAUGGGGCUCAAAUCUCAACCAAAACUCAAUAAACACAGUGGCGAAUGUCUGGUAAAAAUUUCAGACCAAAAAACUCAAGGAGUAAGGCGUAGUAAAUCCCAGACCGAGAGUGAACAACACUGGUUUUUCGAAAACAAAACGUCCUGGCUUUUCUUCCCCGUAUACUCUUUUAGUGAUUGCUUUAUGGACGUGCCUCCUUACCUGGGCGCAAACAACAUAUGAAAGUACUUAUGUGAAUUUUUUUUCAGCGCAAUACGGACGCAGAAUUAAAAUUGCAGAAAGUAUGGCGAAAUUUCAGAAGUUUUGGUAGAGCUUGGUUUACAUGAAAUUUUCUGAAAAAUUCUCCCGAAAUAGUUUUUUCCUAAAAUUCCACAUAAGAAUCUCCACUGAAUUCAGGACAAAACGCGACAAAUUUCAAGUCAAACGGAUGAGUAUUAACACACGAAAAGAAUCAAACAGUUUCACACAAACGAACCUUCCUUUCAGCCCUUGCAGUUAUCAAUAAAAAGUUUAUUGUCAGUCCCGUGGGACGAAUCUGGAGCUCAAAUCUAAGCCAAAACUCAAUAAACACAAUGGCGAACGUCUGGUAAAAAUUUCAGACCAAAAGAUCCAAGGAGUAAGGCAUAGUAAGUCCCAGUUGAGAGUGAACAAAACUGGUUUUCCGAAAACAAAACGUCCUGACUUUUCUGCCCUGUAUAUUCUUUUAGUGAUUCCUUUAUGGACGUGCCUCCUUACCUGGGAGCAAAAACCAUAUGAAACUACUUGUGUGAAUUUUUUCGGCGCAAUACGGACUUAAAAUAAAAAUUGCAGAAAGUAUGGCGAAAUUUCACAAGUUUUGGUAGAGGAUAGUCUUGAUUUGCAUGACAAAGUCGGAAAAAUUAUUCUCUCGAAAUAGUUUUUUCCUGAAAUUCCACGUAAGAAUCUGCACUGAAUUCGGGACAAAACGCGACAAAUUUCAGGUCAAACGGAUGAGUAUUCAUCCACGAAAAAAAUCAAACAGUUUCACACAAACGAAGUUGUGAUCAAUAAAAACGUUAUUUCCAGGCUUGUGGGAAAAAUCUGGGGCUCAAAUCUCAUCCAAAACUCAAUAGACAAAAUGACGAACGUCUGGUAAAAAUUUCAGACCAAAACACCCAAGGAGUAAGGCGUAGUAAGUCCCAGACCGAGAGUGAACAAAACUGGUUUUUCGAAAACAAACCGUCUUGGGUUUUCUUCCCCGUAUAUUCUUUUAGUGAUUCCUUUAUCGACGUGCCUCCUUACUAGGGUGCAAACAACAUAUGAAAGUACUUGUGUGAAUUUUUUCCGCGCAAUACGGACGCAGAAUAAAAAUUGAAGAAAGUAGGGCGAAAUGAGUAUUCACACACGAAUAAAUUAAACAGUUUCACAUAAACGAACCUUCCUUUCAGCGCUAACAUUGAUCAAUAAAAAGUUUAUUGUCAAUCGUGUGGGACGAAUCUGGGGCUCAAAUAUCAGCCAAAACUCAAUAGACACAGUGACGGACGUAUUGUAAAAAUUUCAGACCAAAACACCCAAGGAGUAAGGUGUAGUAAGUCCCAGACCGAGAGUGAACUAGUAAGGCGUAGUAAUUAAAAACUAUAAAAUAAAUAUUUAACUUUUAUUUAACUUUAUAAGGAAUAAUUUAAAAUGCUUAUAUAAAUCAUUUUUUUUUAUUUUAAAUUGCUGUGGAUUUCUACUUGCUUUUUUGACGGGAUCAUAGAAAAUCUAGGCAUAAUUUUGAAAAUAAAAUUUAACCCUUUUUUGCAUAAACAUGCGAACUUAUAAAAAAGUAUGAUAAUGAAAAAAUGUUUUGUUAAUGCAAUAGCAAAACAUAAUAAUAAUAUCAUUUCAGAAAACUUUGGCACCAAUUCCCAUUCUACUGCUAGACGAAUAAAAACCAUCGACUCUGAAUGUGAAACCAUUGACCAUCCAUUUACAGAUAUACAGAACCACUAAGAAGUCAACCACUACACUUUUAGUGGUAAUAUUGGAGUUGCUUUUCAAGUAUACGAGUAUAUAUGUGAUAAUUAAGUAUAGCGUUUUAAUUGUCAUAAUAAUUUUUUUCUUAACAUUUUUUUUUUAUCAACAAAGAAUAAAUUAAUCAAUUAUGUGGAUACUAAGGGUGUGCCUAAAUUCUUAUAAAAAAAUGCUAAAAUUGCAACAGCAUAAACAAACACAGUCUACGAUUUUCUGUUAUUUCUUAGUCUACGUUUUAUAUAUACAGAAAUUAUUAUAUGUAUAGAUGAAAUUCUGUAUUUUGUACUAGAUUCUGUGUAUAUAGAACCUUUUAGUUUCAGACAACAUCAACAAGAAAGUUAAGAAGUUGAUAUUACAAUAAAAAUCAAAAUUUUCCAAUGAUCAAAAUUUGUGGAAAAUUCUCUAAAUCCACGCACGCGUAAUAAUGGUUUUGCCACAGAUUUUCCACGAUCAAAAAUCCCUGGGUAAUUUGCUAGUAGGAACCACAUGACAAUAUCAAGCCAAAGCAAUAAGAAUAGGAACAGUUUGAGGGACCAACUUGUAGAACCACAUAGCCACAUACCAACAACAUAAACCAAACCAAAUCCUCUAAUAGAGUCACAACCACACCAUGGAAAUCAAAUCAAGUUCAGCACUAAAGGAAUCACUUCAAUCAAGCACAACACAACACAACAGGAUCCUAAGCCAACAUGCAAAACGUAAUAAUCUCUUUUCCUUUUUCAGGUAACAAAAAUGCUAAAAGGCAAAUAGAGAGAGGCUACCCAAUUUCAAGGCUCAAAUCAUAUUUAAAAAACAUCAAGGGAUAAAAGUAUUACUUACAAAUAACAAUUCAAAAUUACUGCCAAACCAAACUUUCUAUACUAGCUAAUUUUAUCAUACUAGCUAAUUUCUAUGUACUGAGAAACAGGAAGUAAACUUGUACAUGCCACUUGAACCUACAAUACAUGAUCAUCUUUUCGAGUUUGAAAUAUAAUAAUAUUUCUUAUAAUUUGGGUAUGAACUAAUGUCAAUUCAACAAUACUUGUUAUUCCAGGAUAGUAGCACCAACAAAACCUAUUGUAUUACAAUACUUAGCCAUGAACUAAAACCAAAUGUAGUCCUAAACUAGCAGAAAACAUAAUGUGACAACAUACCAGCAAGAAUCGUAAGAAUAUCAAUAAGGAAAAACUGGUGUAAGUUACUUGUUCUCACAUUGAUAUGUUUGUUGAGCUUGUUGUUCAAUCUAGUACAAACAACCAUUAAAAAUGAAUUAUAUCAUAUCAAAACUGAAUUAUAGUAACUAAUACAAGAAACUUAAGUUCAAAACCUUUAAAAAUAAAAAGAGGGUCAAUCAAACCAUGAAAAGUAAUCAAACUACAUGUUUGGCACUUCAAAAAAAUGGAAAUGAAAAAUAGAAAGGGUUAAAAGAGAUAAUCGAUUCCAGGGAACAGCAAUCCACUUCCAUAUAUAUACAUCUUCAAUACAAGUAAUAGAACAACCUUCAUAUAUUUCUCUAAUGUCAUAAACACUCUAGGGUACCCCAAAACAAAUAGAAAUAUUUCUACAUACCUAUUCUAUCUAUGAAUAUUAGUAUUGUUUGUUCGAGAGAAACACAAUAGGGUGGUGGGGGAUAAUGAGGUCUAGGGAUAAUAAUAUUGUUAGAGUUGUAUCUAUUGGAUCUAAAGAUUCUAAAAAAACUAGUAGAAGGAAUUGUAGAAGCCACUUGGAUUGGAUAAUAACAAAUUAUGUUGAUAAGUGUCUUCUUUGCCCAAAUCUAAGCUAGAAAAGGAAAAUAAUGCAACUAAUACUAAGACAUCGAUGAAAAGGACUAAAAGAUUGUAAGAACCAAAAUUGGGCACAUGAAACUUCAUUAGACUUCAUUAGUUUAACUACAUGAAACUUGAACAAUAUGAAAGGAUAAAGCAUUUUAUGGACCCUAAGUCAGAAUAUUAUUCAAAUACAAGGAGUGUAUCUUAUUUAACAUUUAAAUCGCAACACAAUGUUACACAUGAGUAACAUUAGCAAUACUCUAAGAUUAUUUGCAUUGAUAAAAAAAAGGCAUUGAAACUAGAGACAUAAGGUAAUAAAAUGAGAUAGUGCAUUGUCAUACCUAAUUUUUUUCUUCCCAAAGUUCCUCUAGCUCUUAUGCCUACGCAAUGACACGAGGGCUUGAGGGCUUAAUGACUUGAGGCCUCAACAGCGUAAGACUUUAAUGAUGUGAGGCCUCGACAACAUGAUUGGUAACUUUUUUACACACUCCGUUGUUAGAAGUAAUAAUUUGUCUCUAAAAACGGAUAUUAAACUCACAAAGAAUAAUUGAAUAAUCAAGUAAAAGAUUUAAAACAAAAUAAUAAAAAUUUGUUGAUAGUUGUUAUGAUGACAAUAUUAAUAAGAAAACAAGUCAAAGUGUUUUUUGUUUCAAUUGGAAAAAUAGAAAUUAGAUUUCAUAUUUAUCACUCUUUUGUAUUUUGAUUAAAAAUAAAUUUUUUUAUAAUUAAUAAAGUUAAGUUUGUGAAAAAAAAAUUCUUAUUCGAACUGGCCCAUAUAUGUUACUUCUUAUGCAAGACAAAAAUAAGCCCACACUCCUAAUGCAAAACAGCCAACCCAACCCACAUUUCGCAGAUCAAGCGCAGGACUGGGUUUACACCAACCCAGACGUUAGAUUAUUAGUUAAUUAGUUAACUUGUUUGGUUGUUAGCUAGAAGUAUAAAAAUCGAAUUCUCUAACACAUUGUAAAAGUCUUCAUAUCAUUUGUGUUGCAAUUAGGUUUGUUAAUAAAAAUUCUUACUCGGAAUCACAGUUUCUCAAAAGAAUUUAUAUUUUGCAAAGAUUUCCCAACUUUAAAUGCUGGGUUUAGAAUACCAAACAUCUGGUUACGGUCAUAAUCAAAAACAUAUAAUGUGAAGUGCAAAACAGUGAUACAGAACAAAAAUACAUUCCGAACACAUAACAUCAAUUAAAAGCCACAGAAAAUUUACUUACAUAUUGAAACUCAACUUAAACAGUGAGAAUAGAAGCAUGCACAGAAUUUAUACAAUCACCUGACAGGGUGACAAGUCAAGCACAUCUUAUAAAUGCAGUAAAAAUUUGCGAUUCACGUUAAAAAAAAGGUGGGUGUUGAUCCACUGGACUCGAAUCAGGAACAACCAAAACAUCUUCUAAAAGAAAAAAAACUAGAUGGUUGCGGAUCUGCAUCAGCUUCUGGUUUCUUUUGAGGAAGCUGCUUAAAAAAUGCCUUCACCGCUCCUGCCACUCCAUCCUCACUUUCCAUGGCCUUAGCAAGAUCAAUUGCACGUUUCUUUACCUGAAAUUAUAUUAAGCAAAUGUAAAGGCUAUCUUUAGCUAUAACACACCCAAGAACAAAAAAUUCCACUAAGUUUGCAUUGCUUGGAAGAACACCUAAAAAGUUAAAGUUUCCUUCAUUUGCAGCCUAACUUUAAACCCGAUUACGAUUACCCCUUCCGAGGAAUAUAAAACAAAUAAGUUAAGCAUAAAACGGAGUUUGACAUAAACUUAAGAUGCACUGCGGUCCCAAGUUUUCUAAGGCAUUCAAGAGCAGUAAGCUGUGCGGGAGUCACAUGACGAGAGAAGGCACGUGCCCGCCCAAACACUUGCGGUGGCUUCAGGCAGAUCAGUUGCCAAUGCAGGGUGUGCCAAAGAUUUGGUGGGGAUGCGCAGUACUUAUCACUAACGAAGAAAGGAAGAGAGGACUGAAUUGUCAUCUUCUAAAUUUAGGGAUUACGUUAGUUGUAUUAUUAUUCUUGUUUAUAAACAGAGUAUCAUAUACGUGCUCAUAACACCAAUUCCUAUAAAUCUUUCUAUAUGCUUGGGUUCUUCGAGUAGUCAUGCUGAUACGUAACCAGAGAUACCAUAUAAUAGGACCUGCUACCAUCUCUAACUCACCUUUAAAUCAUUAAGUUUGUGAGUAUUUUUUUCUUAUAUAUUAUUCAUUUCACUCAUCUCUAUCCAAUAACUCCACACUUAAAUUCCUCAUAAUCUCCCCUCGAAAGUAAGAGUUUCUCAACAGACAGCAGUAAUUGUAAUUGUUGAGUUCUUGAGGAGAUAACAAGUAGAAAUGGUAUAUAUCAUAAAAAUGUUCAUAGGUAUUUUGUAUAUGUUGACGUCAAUUUAUUUGAUUUUGCUCCAUACCAUAAAAAUGUUCAUUCUAAUGACUCCCAAAUGCACCUUGUGAAACACCCAGGCAACACUACAUAUUGCCUUUAAUUCUGUCUUUCGUGAGAGGACUCAAUAUACUGAGGUGGAUUGUCAUUUCAUAAAAGAAAAACUGGAAUUUGGAGACAUCACCACUAGAUUUGUCAACUCUAGUGAACAAUUGGUUGAUAUAUUAACCAAGUCUCUUAGAAGACCAAUGAUUGACUAUAUUUGCAAAAUGUUGAGUACAUACGAUCUAUAUGCUCCAGCUUGAGGAGUGUUAUAAUUAUAGAAAAAAGAAGCUAAUCCUAUAUAUCCAGAAAAAUUGCUAUAGUUAUAGAAAUAAAAAGUUGAUCCUACAAUAUCAGGAAAAUCUAGAUUACAUGUAUUAAUAGGAACUUUUUUAUCUCUUCCCAUAUGUGAUAUAUUUGUCAUUAUUUCUUGUAUUAAUUUUUUUUUUCUGAAUAUAAAUAAAGCACAUGUGUUGCCUUAGAAACAUAUAGUUUCAACUUAAUGUUUCUAUCCUCCCUAGAUUUUAAUAGUCACCAACAUCAGUCAAAAAGUACUUCCAAUGGAGAUAUAGGAAUAGUGAAAAAACAUUGGAUGAGGGAGGCAAAUGAUGAUAACUAGGGAAGUUAUAGAUUGAAAGAGGGAUCAAAAAUAAAAUACAUAGUUUUACAAACAACAAUGGGAAAAUCAUAUGCAGACUCAAGUGGGGUGAAAAUUAGUACAAAAGGCUAGAGCAGAACACUAGUUACCUAAACUUUUUGUAAGGUGCACAUCAUUUGGUACAAAACGCAAAUGGAGUUAUUAAGUGUUAGAGAUUCUACAUUGACUAGAAAUAUGGCUAAAUUAUAAUAUAUAAGUGAGUGCAAACCUUACAUUAGAUGUAAGUCGAUUUUAUGAGGUUAAAUUAAAUUUAAAGUUCACUUUCUAAGAAUAAGUAAAAGAGGACAAGGAUUGGGUGGCUUGACUGGAAGACAACUUAAAAAACCAACCCACAACAUAGAAGAAAGGAGAAACACAUGCGAAAGCAAUGGAGAAACACAUUAGCCACAAUAGCCCUUCUUUUGAAGAGUGGGGGAACUAUGAAACAUUUAUUGCAUGAGUAAAAUAUUUAACAAGAUCUAAGUAACACAGACGAGACUGGUGGUGCCAAAAACACAGGGACUAGAUGGUGAGACUACAAGGAGUUUCAAACUUUAUCUAAUCAAAUGAAUAUGAUUCAUUUACCAACUUGAAACAGAGCACAGCUGAAUAUCUGGAUAUGAUUGGCUUGAUACAAAGCCCGAAAUGGUACAUGUAUUGAGGUACAAGUAACAAGAAAAAUAGGAAAAAGUUAUCCUAAAUGUAGGAAUUAGAUAUUCUAUAAUACAACAAGCUUUCCUAAAUAUAGCAAUCCUUAUACACAAGCAUUAUAGGAAAUAAAAACAGAACAUAAUCUACACUAAUCUCCAAAAAUCUCUAAAGUUGUAUACUAUUUUGUAUUUACUAAAAAGCAUACAGUUCAACAAUAUAAAUACCAUUUUAAACUUGUUUUAGAGGUCCAAAAGUUAAUCGAGAUAUCAAUUUUGAGUAUUUCUCACGGUAGACAUUAGGAGAACAUUUCAUAUAUUAUACAUAAACUAUACUUUCAUAUUGCUUGUUGAGUUUAGCAUCAAUAUUUACUUUUAUAACUUGUGUAGAAAACUUACAAGAGUAAAUAUUUGUGCAUAUAUUUUUGUUAUGUCAUGAAACUUAUAUUUACCUUAGGAUCUAGCAUAAAUUUUAUUGCACCAACCAACUUGGGAAGCGAAAACUCAUCAACUGGGAUAGGUGGAGGACCAACUCCUCUGGCAUGUACUCUAUCACCCCAAAAUGGUUGAUCACCAAAAAAAGGAACUAUCGUUGUUGGGCACUACCAAAAAAAUACCCAUAUAAAAAACAUUAUCAGAAGACAUGAUAAUAUUACAAAGCAACUAAUUUCUUACAGCAGCUUUAAGCCCUGCAGCUGUUGUUCCAGCACCCCCGUGAUGAACCUGCAAAAAAUGGGUAAAACUACAAGAAUAAUAAUUUGCAAAUAGAUAAUUCACACAAGAUUUUAUUGAUAAAUAUACUGAUGUAACCUGACCCUCUACAUACAUGCAGCCCUAAAAUCAGUAACAUUCUCCCAAAUUUUGGAAUUCAAUGAAUUACUCAAGUUAAGAAUCAUUCAGCAUGUCCUAUCUUUAAUCAAAAGCAAGAAUGCUAGAGUGUAAUUGUACUAACUGCAAUCAUAGCUAGGUUAGCACCACAGUCAGUAUCAAUCAUCUGCAACAUUCGCAAUAUAUUAUCAAAAAGAAUAAACAAAAACAAGAUGUGGGACCAAACUAAACCCAUCAACAAGAACCUAAACAAAGAUUUCAUAGCCAAGCAUAUGACAAGAGGUAAUUAUGGAGAUUGGGCAAUCAAAUGAUGUGCAAAUAAUAACUAUUGGAGAUCUCAUUUCGACUAGAGAUAAAGACAUUUUAUAGUAUAUAAAUGGGUGCAAACCUCACCUUAUAAGUCGGUUUUAUAAGGUUGAGUUAGGGUUAAAGUCCACUUCUUAUUAUGGUAAGAGUUUAUUUAGAGUCUUUGUUGAGCUUAUCAGUCCACCCGCUAUUGGGCCGCUUUCGAAUCACCCAUAAAUAUAUAGUCACAACACGAGUGGUCAGGUCUCGAUGUGAGGGUAUGUGUUGAAGAUCCUACAUCGACUAGAGAUAAGAACAUUUCAUGGUAUAUAAGUGGGUACAAACCUCACCUUAUAAGCCAGUUUUAUAAAGUUGACUUGGCUUAAAGUCCACUUCUUAAUAGUAACAAAUAAUGCAAUUGUUAGUAAAGCAGUAGUUUUAAUGAUUGAAACUGAAUUUCUAUCUAUGUGUUGUUUACCAAGUCUAUCCUUGGAUUACCUAAACUGUGGAAGAUGUAACAUUUAUUAAAAUUUUCAUCUUGAGUCACACAAUGAGAUUGUCCAUUUUCAAUUCAUUGAAUUGCUUUCCUUGAUCCAACAAGAUUUUCCUCCACUAUUGUAAUGCUCAAAAGAUUUAAGCAAUUGAAGAAAGGAUUCCAAAAGAUGGUGAUUAGUGAUCAAUGGUCUUCUUACAAGGAAGAUGACGUUGGAAACACAAAAUUUGGAAAGGAUACUUUAUUAGAUAAUAAUUGGUGGGAUAAGGUGGAUUAUGUAGAUGUUCCUAGAAGAACCAAUAUGAAAGUUUCUUCUCUUAAUCUAUUGUACGGAAUGUGGGGUUCAACUAUAGAAAAGGUGAAAAAGGUCAUAUAUGAUUGAGGGAAAGGAAGGUCAUAUGUUAUGAAGUGGUUAAUUCCAUAUUAAUUGAUGGAUCGACUAAGAAUAUUACAGCACUUGAUUGUCUAGCUCAUUCUUUAAAUCCAAGUUAAAAUAUAAAAUAAAAAAAAUAUUUAAAUAUUUAUAAAUAUAUUUAUUAUAUUAUAAUAAAAUGAAAAAUUAAAACGAAAAUAUUAUAUGAUUAAUAAAAUAAAAUCAAAAUUAAUUUAAAUUAUGGUAAUAUGUGUUUUAUAUUAGAAAAACUAAAUAUUAAAAUAAAAUAAAUUAGUUUAAAUUCUUGUAAGUUAUUUUAAUAUAUUUUUAUUCUGAUUUUUUUUUUUGCUUACUAAAGUUUAUAAUAAUUUUUAUUUUAAUUUAAAAAUUAAAAUUAAUUUUUACUUUAAUUUACACUUUCUAGAAAGUUAUUCUUUCCAUUUAAUUUUUAUUAAAAUUAUUUUCCAAACAAAAGCAUAUACAACUACAUCUAUUCUAUCACAUCAAUCAACUCUGCUACAAAUUUUUCACUUAUUUUCUCUCAGUUCAAACAAUCUCACUUUUUUUCUUUUCUUUUCUACUCUCCCCUCAAUCCAAACAACAGUUUAAAAUUUCAGUAGAACUAUGACCUUUUAUUCUAAUAAUUCAAUGUGACUUUUACUACUAGGAAAUAUUUAGUUUUUCGAGAAUUUAAAGUUUGAAAAGUAUGUUUAUCGUGCUUAACUUACCUUUUAAAAGAUAAGAUUCUUAAGAAUGGUUUAGCCAGUUUUCCUGCAAACCGCAUUCUCAUGUGGGGUGGGAAUCAAACAAUGGUAAAUUAAAAUAAAAGUAUUACAGAAAAAAAAAAAAUCAUAUAACUCUAUUUCAAUAAUUUAAUGCACAACAAAUUAAGGAUUUUAGUAAAGAUAGCAUAUUACUCUCUGAUCUUCAAAAAAAUCAUAUAAAUAUUCCUAAAAAUAUUUCCAACCAACCCAACAAAAUUUAGUCAUCCCUAAGAAUCAUAAUUCACAGGGUUCAUGGGAAUAAUAAUUUUCGAGUAUCAAAAAAUUUCCCUGGUACCAAACACCCUCUAAGAAUAACUAGAUAGUCUUACCACUGCCUUGCAAUGCAAGAAAAGCCAAUCAUGAGGGCAAUUAUCCAAUAAGUAUAUUGAGUCCUUUGGUUCUGCCACUGGAAAGAAAAAUAUGUUGUUGAAAAAAACAUAAAACUAUCAAACUAUUCCAACAAAAAAACAAAAACUAGAAAUAUUCUUACAAUUCCCAAGACCUCCCCAUCCUUUAUUGAUUAUGCCUCUCUGUCCAGUGGACUCCAAUGCAUCUACAAUUACUUGUGUCAUCUUUUUUGGUUCUUGAACAGGCUGUUAUAGGAAAUGAGAGAGUAGAAAUCAGAUUAAAAUAAUUAUUGAUUUUUUUAGAAAAAAAAAAUUGAUAAGGAGAAGGAUAAAAAUGGGGAUAAGAUAUCCUCCACAAGAAAAUAAUGAAAGAUGUAACAGAAUUUUGAAUUGUGAGUUCAUCCACCACAAAUUCGGCUUUAACUAUAAUCACAAUUAAUUACACAAGGAUACAAUCAUUAAGAAUUCCUCAAUACUAAUAGCCAUACAAGAUUUUUAACUUUCCCUAUUUAAUGUUACAAUCUUUAAUGAUAUAAAAUUAUAACAAAACAAAACAUAGAAACGAGGUUAAGAUAUCCUCACAGUAAAACUAUUAAACGAGAAACUUACGCCAAAAAACACGAAGCUAAAAGAAGUUAGAUUAGAAAACAAAAAAGGAAGACUCUUACUGAAUAGUUAAUGGCUUUGUUUCCUGCACCCACUUAAUUGCUACCAGCACCCCCACAACUUUUAAAAAAAUGUCCGUUCUACCCUUGGUGUUUUAUUUGAAUGUUGGAUCCUCCUUCCUUAUGUUUUCUUCUGUGGUGGCUGGUGUUGGAAGCGAUUUGAAGUUGGAUAGACUCCACUGGGUGGAAAAGGUAAGAAUGAGUAUGAUAAAUGGAGUUUUCAUUUAUUUUAAUGGCUGUUCCACAUGUUUCCGGAUCAUCAAUUCUGAAAUAGAGGUUUCCUAUUGAAGGAAAAGAUACUCUGUCUGCGGAUUGGUGUUUCCAAAACGUGAAUUUUUAUUUCCAAGUAGAACAUUUCAGAGUAGUGAAAGUAGUGUUCUAGAAUGACUAUUCUGGAAACUUUUCAGAACAACCUUUCCGGAGCAAGUACGCCUAAUCCAGAACAUUCAGAAUGCAUUCCAGAUUGGUAAAUCAAAAUGUAAGUACGUAAUCCAGAAAGUGUAUUUGAAAACCCAUUUUUUAUGUUCUGGAACACGUAUUCCUAAAGUCAAAAAUAUGUAUUCUGAAUUGGACAUUCUGGAAAACAGAUAUUGUAUACCAGAGUACCUUUUUUUUACUUCCAGACUACAUGUUCGGACAUAAAAAUAUUUAGUUCUAUUUUAUAUUUCUUCACACUUAACAUUUGAUUUUGUCAAAUUUAGUAUGGAUGAAGACUUUGACACGAGUAUAUUAGACAAAGUUAACAUGUUCCCAAAUGUUGAAAUGGACUAUGAUUUCUCUUUUAAUACAAUGCAUAAUGAAUGUAUGCAACAAAAUUGUAGUAAUGCAUUAACAAUGCAUCAAGUAAAUGCAAUGCUCUUAAAAUCGAUAGUAAAAUCGCAAACUCAUGCAAGUAUGGAGGAGGAACAAAGGUGGAUCGCAAGCAAGACGGAUCAUAGCAAGUAUGCGAUGUUGCUCGCUUAAUCGGGGAUCAUGGGUCUUGUCGAUCCUUCUUGUCUUCUGAUGCUAGGGUUUGACAGCCCAUUACUAAUUAAAAACAACCGACCCAACCGAUGAUAAGGCCCAAUACUCAUUACCUUUUUUCAUCGCAAAUUGGAACCCACGAGGCACAUGUGGAGUUUCACGAGUCACAACCAUCGCUCCCAGCCUUCCCAAUCCCCAACUCUCACCUCUUUUAUUAUCCUUCUUGCUUCUUUUUGUUUUGCUCAUCACUUUGCUCCUUUUGCUAUCGUGCUUGCCAAUCUAUUCCUUUGAAUGUUCUUAUGCUCGAUGCUCAAUUUUGCUUAGAUUUAAAAGGGAUAAAAAUGGCAUCAAGUGGUUUAGGUGAGAGUCUUAGAAGAGGAACUGGAAUUAGAGCAUCCUGCAUUUAGUCAUUGUUUUUCUAUUGAUAGGAAAGCAGAAAAUGUGAAAUAUAAAUAUUGUGAGAAAGUAUUAAAAAGUGGGAUUUAUUGAUUAAAGCAUCAUCUAGCAGGGAUUUCAAAGGAUGUUGGAGCAUGUAUAACAAUUCCUGAAGAUGUUAAAAAACUAAUGUUAGAUGUGGUUUUUGUGUUGCAACAAAAUUUGAUUACAAGUUCAAUAUCUAGAGAAGGCUUAUGGGAUAGUAGUAUGGGUGAUUCAAAAAAGGCUAGAAAAAGACUAAGUCAAGAAGAGAGUUAAGAGUCAUCAAGUAUUUUCAAGAUAAGGGGCACUCAAACUACUAUCAAUGUUAUUUUCAAGAAACAUGGGAGGGAGGAUGCAUGCCAAGAAAUUGUUUUUCUUUUUUUCUUGCAACAAUAUUAUUCCGUUUAAUAUAAGAAAGAGUGGAGAGUUUAGGAGGAUGCUUGAGUUGGUUGUCAAACAUGAUAUCGGAUUUUAGCCAUCAUCAUACCAUGAAAUUAGGGUGAAAUAUUUGAAGCAACAAGUUGAAAGACCAAUCUAAUCUUGGAAGAACAUAAACUAUUUUUGAAGAAAAAUUGGUGCGCAAUAACGACAAAUGGAUAAAUUGAUAGGAGUAGAAGGACUGUACAUAAUUUUCUGGUAAAUAGUCCAAAGGAGAAUGACGUUUUGAAGUCUCCUGACGUUUCUGACAUAUGCAAGAAAACUAAAAAAGAAAUUGGAUGAUGGAGUUGAGGAGGUUGGGGAAGAUAAUGUCAUCGAAAUUGUAAUCGAUAAUGCAGCAAAUUACAAAGAAAUUGAAGAAUUUAAUGUUGCAAGAUUUUGACAAGAAAAUACCACUCCGUCGUGACACAACAGCCAAUGGUAAGAAAAUUACAAUUUAAAUCUAUUCAAGAAUUGGGCUUAUUUCUUUAUCGCACAAAUAUACUAGACGGGUAGAUUUGAUAAGACCGGUCAAUACUCAUUUUGCCACUUGUUAUUUGACUUAGGGAUGCUUGAAUAAAAAUAAAGGAUCACUUAUUGGAUGUUCGCAUCCAAGGAGUGGCAAUCUAGUCAAUUUGUAAAGACUAGUGAUGGGUUUGUGGAAAAUUUGAUAUUUGAAAAAUAUUUCGAAUUGCAUGACGCGUGUUUUCCCCUAAUUAAGGUGUUGUACAUGGUGGAUUCAAAUGAGAAUGGGAUUUAUUUAUGAAGAAAUGGAUAUUGCUAAAGGGAAUAAACAAAGUUUUUUUGAUGGAGUUAGUAAAAGGUAAUAUAAUAACUAAUUACCUUUCACUUAUAUUUGAUUUUCUAAUUUAUUUUUUUAGAAUAAUAAACUUGAUUAGAGAUUAAUUUAUUUAUUUUUAUCUUACUUAGCUACACUCCCCUUUUGGGAAAUCAUUGAUCAAUGUGCAUUCAAAACCAAAACUCCAUCAUAAUGGUGGGAAUCGUAUGGUGAUGAACAUCCAGAAAUACAAAGAUUUGCAAUUAGAGUAUUGAGUUUAACUUCUAGUUCAUCCAGUAGUAAGCAUAACUCGAAUGUUAUUUUAUAAAAUUGAUUUUAUAACUAUUUUUUAGAAGCUAGUAUGAUGUGUUAAUUAAUUUUAUAAUUAUUUAGGUCCACAUCAAUAAAAAAAUCGUUUAUAGCAAAAGACCAUGAAUGAUGUGGUGUUUGUGAUGGCUAAUUCAAGACAAUGAUUUUGGACAAUUCCAUGCACCUUAAAGGCGAGAGGAAAAUGUCCCUUGAGAUUAAGGUGCAUGGAAUUGUCCAAAAUCAUGUGACUUGGUGCUUUAUGAGUGCAUACUUGGUUAAACACCUCCCAAUGCCUUGCACUUACAACACAGUACCAAAAUUAUGUCAAACCAAAAGUUGCAACUUCACAUUGUCAUUAACAAACUCAUGAAACCUUCUUCGCCUCCUACCAUUAAAAACCUCCUUGCCAUGGUUUUCCUAAUGUUGUUCGCCUCCUACCUUUAAAAACCUCCUUGCCAUGGUUUUCCUAAUGUUGUCCAUUUGGUGAGUGUCCUAUCUUUCUAAAGCUUUGUGUUGUACAUUUAGCUUAACUUUCUCUAUUUGAUUAUGUAAACAUGCUAACAGCUAGGCCUUUUGGAGGAAGGUCUUAACAUAUUGCUUUGCACAGUUCGUUCCGUUUAGUGCAUAUUUUCAUAAGGCACACUUUGUGUGGGGGUUCACCAAGUAACAACUUUUUUGCCAUCUACCCAACAUGUGAAGCCUUUAAAUUGCAAUUGUGUUCGCUAAUGUUUAGGAGUCAUGUAUUCUUUUCUUCAUCAUAUAAUAUAUAUGAUUGAUGGCUUUGACAUGUAAUGGUCUAACAUAAAAGAUUAUGCUUGCAAGCACAAUCAAUUAUGUGUGCCUCACAUAAUCAUGAUUAUGUCAAGGCACAUAAUAAAUUAUAAUUAUGUGUCUCACAUAGUCAUGAUUAUGUGCCUUAGCAUAAUUGAUUAUGUUGAGUCAUAUCCUAUACCUCCUUAUUUCUCUACAAAAUAUGAGAAUUUUGUUAUUUAAAAUGACUACAUGUCACAAUCACAUGGGAUGCAUCUAUCCUUGGUCAUGACUAAUCUUACCAAAGAAAAAAAUUAAUUUGAAUGAGCGUACAAAUUUGACAUAUAUUUUGGACACACUUUGAUGUAGUGAAACUGGUGAAUUCCUUUAAGAAAGUGUUCAUGAUGGAUAGUACUCACAAAACUAACAGGUAUAGGAUGCCCUUACUUUAAAUUGUUGUUGUAACCUCCAUUAGGAUGACCUUUUUCAUUGCAUUUCUCUUAUUGGCAUCUGAAAGUGAAAAGAACUUUGUGUGGGCCCUUGAAACACAUAAAUGGUUGUUUUUUAGAGUUGAUUCCCCCCUAGGGUCUUAGUCAGUGAUAGAAAUAUUGUUCAAAUGAAUGUAAUAAAGAUUUUGUUUCGAUAAACUUUGAAUCUUGUCACUUUCACAUUAAAAAUAUUGUGAAAGCAAAGUGUAAAAUGUCAUUCAAUCCAAGAGAGGAGUGAGAUGAAGUCAUGGAUGCUUGGGGAAGUGUUAUGAUUUUCCCAAAAGUUGGAACAUGUUUCUAGAUUGGUCAUUUCGGAACACAUUUUCGGAAUUCUCAAUCCGCAACAUUUAUCUAGAAUCACCAAUCUGGGAGGUUUUCAAAAUAACGAAUUUGAAAUGUUAAAAGAAACUAUUCGCACCGGUAGUGUAGCGAUAGCUAUGAGGCGUCGAUCAACAUAUUUUUUUCCUUUUUUGAAGGAUUUGAUAAUUACAAAAGAUUUUAUUACUACAAAUAGACUUGAUGAAAAUGUAAAUGGUGUUAGAUAGUUGGCUUUGGAAGAAUGUAAGUGCAUGCUUAAAAGUUGUUGCCCCUCUUAUGGUGGUCCUUCGGUUGGUGGAUUCGGAUGCAAAACCCGCAAUGGGACUCAUAUGAGGAGAUGGAUAGCACAAAAGAGAAGAUUAAAUGCAACUUUAAUAAUAUCAAAAAAAAGGUAACAUUUCUAAACUUUUUUCAUUCUAAAUUUAAGUACUAGUUUAUGUAAUUAUUUCUAGUUAUGAACCUAUUUAGAAAAUCAUUGAUCAUAAAUGGGAUAAUCAGCUUCAAAGGCCCUUGCAUGCAAUUGCCUAUUACCUAAACCCCCACUUGCACUACGAACCAACUUUUAGAAAUGAUGAUGAUAAUAGUGGGAAAUGUUUGGGGAUGGAACACUAGAAUUAAAGAAUUUUGUUGUUCGAGUUGUGAGUUUGACUUGUAGUUUUUCAAGUGAGAAUAAGUGGAGCUCAUUUGAAAUGGUAAUUCAAUUUCAGGAAGUUAUUUAAGGUUUUUAAUUUUCUUGAUUUGAUUUAUAUAUUUACUUAAGUUUCAUAUUUAAAUAUAGGUUCAUACAAAAAGAAGAAAUUGUUUGCAUCCGAAAAAGAUUAAUGACUUGGUUUAAGUGAUGAAUAACUUGGAAGUUGAAAUACAAACAAAUUAGAAAAAUUGUUGCUCUCACAUUUGAUGACAUUGAGUCUGAUGAUGAAUGGAUAACUGAAGAAUGAGGAAGAAGAAUUUGAAGAUGGUGAUCAUGAUCUUAGGGACGAUUUCAUUAGAGGAUUAGAUGAAUGAUACUUAUAAACUUGAGAACAUUUGUGUUGUUUUAGUUAUUUAAUUAUUAUGUUAUCACUUUGAGAACUAACAUUUUGUUGGUGUAUUAUAUGAACUUACUUAUUUCAAUAUUGUGGAAUUUGUAUCCUGAAUAGUUAUGUUUUUUUUAUUGAAUUUUUAUAUAAAAUAAACUCAUAUGAGUCUAAGAUUCGAGUUUAAACCUCCCAUGAGUCUUCAUAGACUCUAGAUUCUGAUAACCUUGAUUGUUAUCAAUUAAAGAAUUUUUUUUUUUCCUUACAUAGUUAAAGUCUUCCUUUAUUGAAGAUUAAGCAUAUAGUGAUUUAUUGUCAAGAUAUAUAUAUACUACUAGUACAGAGUUAAAUACCCAUUCAAUCAUUCUUUAUUUAACCAAAUAUUCAACUCCAUUUAUAAUAACAUUUGGUGAUAAUUUGUAUUUCAUAUUUUGGUGUGAUAUAUCUUCUGGAACCUUCACAUAAUCACUACUAGAUGGAAGUUAUAAACACUACUUUUCGAGCAAUGACCUUCACAUCAACAAAGAUUCAAUUAUACACUUUAAAAUUGCUAGGCUAAAGAGUUGAUGCAUACUUCCAACAUUUACGUUUAGCAUUCAAAAAUAUGUGAAAAGAUAAUUAUAUAAUGAAAGGAAAAAAAGACUCACCAAGCUACCAAAUCCAAUGUAAAUAGGAUUGUCACCAUCUCCAAGCCAUUUUACAAGGGACUCGGGUGGUUCAUAGUUUGACGCAAGAUCAAGAAAGCAAAAUCCUACUACAUCAAUUUUGGGUCCCCAAUCUGUAAAGCGAAAAAAAUUAGAUUCUUUAAACAAGAAUCAAGUAACAAAAGAUAGUAUAGGUGUAUAUUUUAAGAUCCUUUUAUUGAUUAGACGAAUGAUAAAUCAGAAAAUAAAUUAUUGUGAUAAAUUAUGGAAAUAAGGUGCAAAUAUUUUAAAAUUAGGAAUAUCUACAUUGUAUGUGUUAUUAACAUGUUUAUUAUUCACGUAUCAUAUCUUUACUAUUAGAAGAUGCCAUAUCUACUUUACUUAGUGUAUUGAUUAUGUUUUCUCAAAUAUAAAUAAAGCACCUUUGCUAUAUAAAAAACACAUGGGUUCAAUUCAAUGUUUCUUUAUCUCUUAUAAUUUAGCAAGGUAUGUAAAGCCUUUCUAAAAAUAGUGUCGGCCCAAUAGACUCACUAUCUUAGAAGAAAUUCUUUCUAGCAAACUAUUCUACCAUGCUCUCUAGCACUAUUCUGGCAUCAUCACCAAAGACUUUCCGACGAGUUUUUGGCCAACCUACCUUUGCUCUGACAAGCAUGAGGUUAGGAUCAUGUCAAGUUGAUCUAUCCUAUCACACAAUCAUCAAAAUGAACCACCCAUUCGUGCACCCUUACGCAUGUCAUCUUUCUCAACUCCACAACUCCCACCAGUGUAGGAUGGCACAUGCAAUAAUGCCUAACAACUGGCCUACCAAUUGUUCAAAAACACAAACUUGUCGCAGUGGUACUACCCAACCCUUCCCAUCUGUUACUCUUGACUUUGUUCUUUAUGUCCAUAAUUGCCCAUUUAAUUUACUUUUGUCAAUAGAUUGACCAAAUCCUAUUACAUUAUCUUCACAUUCACUAAAAAUAAUAUUACCUUGCAAAAUUUAAUAUCAGGUAUCAUAUGUCAGUCACAUAGCCUUUACCAUCCCUCUUUAUCACUAUCAUGUGCAUUUUAAAUCUCUCUAAUGAUGAUUCACGCAUAAUUAGGACAUCCCAAGUUGACAAAUUUGCAGAAGAUGGUACCAAAGUUCAAACAUAUGUCAACUUUGAAUUCUAAGAAUGUCAGUUAGAGAAACAUAUUUUCUAGCCCUUUUCUAAUAGAUUAAACAAACAAGUUUUGUCUCCUUUUUCUUUAGUUCAUUUUGAUAUUUGGGAUCCUUCUCAUACUAUUACUCCUUAUGGUUCUAAAUAUUUUGCUACCUUUAUCGAUAACUAUUGUCGAUGUAGUUGGAUUUUAUUAAUGAAAAAUCGAUCCAAAGUGUUUUGUAUUUCUAAGUGUUUUGUAUUUCUAAAACUUUUUCUAAUGAAAUCAAAACACAAUGUGAUGCAAAUUAGGCAAGAUUACUAAUGUUCGAUACUCAACCACAGUGUAUUGUUUAUCGAACGGAGAAAAUAUUUCUUGGAAAAGCCAUAAACAAAGUGUAGUUAAUCGAUCUAGAGCUAGAGCAGAAUAACGAGCUAUGGCUUUGCUUGGUUUAUGCAACUUCAUCAAAGUUAUACUUUUGUGAGGUUUAGCAAGUAAAACUAUAUUCUGGUAACCAAGCAUUUCUUCACAUUGGCUCUAACCUAAUGUUCCAUAAGAUGACUAACCAUAUGGAAGUUCCAUGGUUAAAGUUAUAAAGUUCCCUUUAUUUUCACUUUGAUAACAUACAAUUCACUUCAUAAUUGAUGUGUAGUCACUUAUAUGGAGGCGCUUUCCAUCUUUAAGCAAAUACAUCGAAUAACUUUUCUUGCUGAAUGCCAUCUAUUAAGGCCAUUUCUUGCUUUAUAUCUAUGUAUUUGCUUAAAGAUAUAUUGGAGGUGCUUUCCAUCUUUAAGCAAAUAAAUCAAUGGAUAAAUCGUAAUUUAACUCCACCAUUAAGGUUGUCUGAAUUGUCUAGGUUGUUGAAUUUCUCACUUUCACUAAUUACCUCAACCAAUUAGGCACCCUACAUGUAAUUUUUCCUCUGCUCCACAAAAGUGGUAUUCUUGAGUGUAAGUAUAGUCAUAUUAUUGAGUUAGGACUUUCUCUCCUUUUUCAAGUGUCUCUUCUUCUCUCCUUUUAGGAUCAUGGCUUUUUGAUAGUGUGGGAUGCUUAGUGGAAUAUUUAAGCUUUGGUUCCUCCCCCCAUUAUUACUAGCUUUUGAGGGUGAGUCCCCCAAGUGCUUGGAUACUUAUCACUUGGCAUCAAAGCUAGUUGUUGAUGUCUUAGAAAGGGAUAAAAGGUUUUGAUAGAUGAAGGAUUUUAUCCAAGAGAAUUGAGUGAAGUGUCACCAAAGGAAAUGUUGUAGAGUGAAACUCGUCGAGAUGUAGGCUCUUAGGGGCAAUGUUAUGAUAGAAACUAAACUUGGGUAUCAUGGGGUUCCAUAAGUCCCAUAUUGAGUAGUAUGGGAUGCUCAAUGGAAUAUUUAAGUGUGUUUCUCUCUUCAUUUUAUAGCGAGCUUUUAUAGGGUGGGUUUUCCAUGUGCUUGGGUACUUGUCAAUUGGCAUCAAAACUGGUUGACGAUGUCUUGGAAAGGACUUCAAAGGUUUAUGAUCGGUGAAAAGUUCUCACCAACGAGGUAGUUCAGUGAAGUGUUGUAGAUCGAAAUUCGUUGAGACGUCAGUUCUUAAGGGGGAAAUUGCGUAUUAUAGGAUACGCAAAUCCCACAUUGGGUAGUAUGGGAUGCUUAGUGGAGUAUUUAAGUGUUUGGUUCCCACCCGCUCUUAAUUGCUAACUUUUGAGGUUGGGUUCCCCAAGUGCUUAGGUACUUGUCAAUUGCCAUCAUAAUUGGUUGUCGAUGUCUCAUAAAACAGCUACCUACGAAGGAUUCUGACCUACAAGGGAGUUGAGUGAAGUGUCACUGAGUAGCGUGUUGUAGAGUGAAAUUCGUCAAGAUGUAGGAACUUAGGUGUCAUGGGGUACCCAAGUCCCACAUCAAGUAGUGUGGGAUGCUUGGUGGAGUAUUUAAGUGUUUGGUUAUCCCCCCUUAUUAGCUAGAGGGUGGGUUACCAAUUUCUUUUUCUUAUCGCAUAUCUCAAACAAACUUCCCUAAGCUGCCAUUAAGCUUAGAUGUUUCUUGGACUAAGUCAUUUGAAAGCUUUUCAUUUGUGCUUGUUUUCCAUACCUUUGUCCACACCACUCACAUAAGCUUGAAUUAAGAUCUCAUGAGUAUUCAUUCUUUGGCUAUUCCACCUUCUUCAAAGGUUGGAAAUGUUUAUCUUCUUCUCAGGAAAUAUACAAAACUAAAUGAUGUAAACCUUAGAAGGUUGGAAGGAUCUUGAUCACCUCAAAAGUGUUGGAGAAAAAGAAGCUUGAGGAAGCAUGUAACCAUGGUGAUUUAAAUUCGUUUUCCACCAAAAACCCAUGAAAAACAUGUAGAUCAAGGAUAUUUUGCAAAGAAAUUAAAAAAUGGAUUGAAACUUGCAAAUGGACAAGAACAUGCCACCUUCAAUGAAGCAUAAGUGCAAAAAGAUUCACCACUUGAGAAAGCUUCUCAAGAUAAGAACCAAAAUAAAAGUAGAGAACUUUCAAAGUAAACUUACAAAGGAGAAUUUCAUUCAGUCUUCAAGGUGUGUUUACAAAUGGAGGAGACUCCUUUUUAGAAGUAGGAAUUCGUCCAAGGAAUGGAAAGGCAACAAAAAUUAGUUAAUUUUUACCAAUCAAGAGUUAACUCCACUAUUCUUGAUUAGCACAUGAUAAUCCCUUGAAAUUGGGGAGUGCACAUGGCUAGUUCCUUGAAUCUAGGGAGAUGAAAUGAUUACGUUUGGAAAAGCAAUGAUGACUCUUGGAGAAGUCAGAUGUGAGGCACCUAACUAGUCUCCAAUGGACACAAGACUCUUGAAAUGAAAGGGUCAAUUGGAAGAGUCAAACUACCUCUUGUGCACUUGAAAGUGACAUGUGGUAGUUUAGAAGCUCCAAAAGACACUUUAACUUCAAGAGUGCAUGAAUUUUGUCCAAGCUCUCUGUCAAAUUCAAAACAUGAGGUUCUAACUUCUCUCAAGUUCAUCUAAAGACAUGUCUUCUAAUCUCCUCUUCCAAGGCUUGGAGUCUUCCUCUCGUUAGCCUUCCUUGGAAUCUCAUUUGUAUUUCUUUUUCUUUAUUCUUCUUUCCCAUGCUUCUUGUCUUUAUUCUUCUCCUUUUCUCUUCCUUCAACAAACUCUUUCUCAUCCUUAUUUACACCACUAAAGACUUCAAGAGAAACUAGAUUCCACUUGAACUGUUUCCACCUUAUUCUUCUCUAAGUCCCCAUGUCCCUUCCAUCCCCAUCUCAUGCCAUCUCCCUCAAAUCCAUUAUAGUGUCCCCAUCAACUCAUUCCUCACCAACAUCUAACAACAAUUCUGACCCUUUACCCAACCUCUCGACUUCCUCAUCUAAUGUCACCUCUCGUCCUAGAGGUACUAACAUUUAUCCCAUGCAAACACAUUAUAAAUCUGGUAUUAUGAAACCUCAUUACACUCCCUUAAUUCUGUGAUAACAUUAAUGCAGUGCAUCAAUCACACAAGUGGGGUCCUUGAUGCAUGAAUUAGACAUGUGCAACUUUAUAUCUUUUUCUUCACGAAAGGUUCUGGCCUAGCAAAUUGGAGUUCUGUAUAUUCCAGAUGUUGACCAGUGGACUAAUCUUUUUACCAGGACUGCCUCCUUCUCAAUUUCAGUUUCUAAGGUUCAAACUCAAUCUAACUGAUAAUUUAUGUAAACAGAAGCUCAUCACUUGUACAAACUGAAUAUAAUAAAUACAAAGUGUUCCUUUCUCUCUAACUUUUCUCUCAGCAUUUCUUGUAAUAGUCAGAAAGAAAACCAUAACAACAAACACACAGAUGCACAGAGCAGAAACUGUAACUAUCAAGGGACUUAAUAUAACAAUACUAUAGAAAAAAAAAUGUGAAGAGUGGGAUCUAGAGCAUCCACCUUUUGGUUUAGGAACAAGAUGUGGACUCCAUAUAUAUGCAUGUGGAAUCUCAGUCUCAGAGCCUUGUGAGCCACUUAAAUAUGUGACUGGUCGUAGCUUCAACUUUUUCUUCCUAAGAUCAUUAAUCAUGUCCCGUAUUCCAAGCCAAAUUAAAGAGUCAACUAUUUGAUAUGAAAGCUGAAGAUAAAUAUGACCAAUGUUUAGAUAAACAUGAAGCCUAAAAUUAGGAGGGAUUAUAAGAUACAGCAAUCAAGAAAAAAUUCACCCUGUAACCAGCCUGUUGCUUUACACGUGACAGAGGAUGUGGAAAUUCAGUAGUUGGCCUGGGAAGAAAUGAGAAAGUACUCGCAUAAAAUGCAAAAUUGAAUCACCAAGAAAACUAAAAGAAACACAACCAAUAGUUGAAGAACUAAAACAACAAUAGAAGAGAACAAAAUUCUAAAGAUUACGAAAACAGGAUGAAACUUACGUCCAUGGCAUUGUGAAAAAAAUAUGAAUUGGAAUGUUAAGUGCCUCUGCCACAUGGGUAUGCCCUAAAGAUGUACCAAUAUUAAUAGCAUUGUACAAGAUAUUAAUUAAAGAGUAAUAUUUGCUAAUUUAGUUAGACAAGCAGAAACAAAGGAUCAAGUAGCAAGAAAGGAGAAAGAAAGACAACAUUAUCAAAAGGAGUAACCCAAAAUUGAGAGCGAAUGGAAAAUAUUAUGACAACAUACAAAAGCUAGUAUUCCUUUCAUGUAUAGCUUCUCUUGUAAUGUACAUGAAGAAAUGCAUUCUUAAUUUCAACAGAGAUGAACGGUUGAUGGCAGCCAUGGCUAGAAAUUGCUAGAUAUUAAAACAUACUGCUAAGAAGAUAUUCUGAUACUAACAGUCUAUCCUAGGCGGUACAGGAACCAAUGCGAUAUAAGGGGCAAUUCAUUACUGGAACCAACAAAGACAGGCCAAAGUCAACCAACAAAGAAAAUGAAAAAAAAAACAUCAUGUGGUCCGACAAUAUAUUUAGAUUGGAAGAUUGUUUUCUAGCAAUUAUGAAAAAAUGUAUUAAGGAUUUUUCAGAAUUAAUAUAUCAUUUGGUUUUUCCUUCCUUGGUUUUCUAUAAAACCAUAAAUUAGGUAUCAACAACCCUCUUACUAACUAUAAAUGUUGUUAGUUGUCUAUUCCUGGGACAUUGGGAAAUUAGCUACUCCUGACAACAGCCCACAAGUGUAAUCCUCUGUGUUGCCCCUAUUUAUCCAAGCAUAGACCUUGAUACGAGGUUGAUGCUUAUCAAAUGCUAAACCACAACAUUUGUCUUUCAAGUUUGGGAAGACAAAAUGAAAAGAAAAAAAAAACUAUGGUAUGUCCAACUAAGCUUAAGGGAAAGUUCAUAAACCUAAGCCAAAGGUUAAUAAAUAACUAAGUAAUACAAAGAAGGGUUUGCUCUUUAUUAUGAACUAUCUAUAGCUUAGAGGCUAAUUUGAUAUUGUUUUCCCAACGAUGAAUUUGAUUUCCCAAAUCUAUGAUCAUAGAGCCCUUCCAUGAGCUAGAUAACUUAGCAAAGGACAUUAGGGAUAUUGUGCCAAAUGAGCAUCCACCUUUAUAGUUCACACAGAUCAUAAACUAACUUUUUCAGGCUUGCUUAUGUAUGCUAACAAAAACACUAAUCCAACAUUAUUUCAUAAUUUAGAAACUCAUCAUAUUCACUAGAUGGUAAAAUAUAGAUGCACAAAUUCAGUUAACCAUAUUACCCACAUGUAACUAACAAGAAAGCAUACCAUAUGCAGGGGGAUUGGCAAUGAUUGCUUCUGCUUUAAAGGGGACACCAGAAUCAAUAUCAGGUUCUUUACAAGCAGGAAGCAGAGAAUUAAUGAUUUCUUUCAUUUGAUUUCGCUGAAUAGGUAUCUCGGAAGGUCCCGAUGGCAGAAAGCCCUUGUUUUUAACCAUAUCUGCUCCAGAAAGAAUUCAAAAGUAAAAAUAUAGAAAUAGCUGUAAAGGGGAGAAGUUUAUUAGUCUUAAAUAUUUAUUAGUCCCUCAAAUCUGGUACAAGUUUGUUUUUGGUCCUUCAAGUUCAAUAUUGAUCAUUUCCCUAUAAUUUCCACAAAAGAAACAUUUUAGUCCCUUUGUCCCUACAUCUUCGACAUAAACAAGAUGAAGUUUGUACUCACUUAAAUACUUUAUUUUAACUAUAUCUCUAGGCAGGUGGGAUCUUCAACAAUUUAGGUAGACAAAUUCCUUUUAAAAUAUUCAUUUCUAGUCAAAUAAAGAAAAUCUUUAUGGUAUUUGGGAUAGAAGGACUAAAACAAACUGAUGGGUUCAUUGUUGGGCUUAUUGGGCCGGCAGUUAGGAGCAAACAAAUAAAGAAGAAAAGUGGUAAGCAGGUGUGAAAUAAAAAACAGAAGGUAAGUGACUAGUGAAAAGAGAGAUGAAAAGAAUUAUACAUAGAGGAAAGGUAUGGUCUAGAGGGGGAUGAAGGAAUUAGUUAGAAGGAAUAUUUGGUGGAGAUGAGAAAAGAAGUGGUUCUUAUUCAGAAAAGGGUUCAAUAAUCUCUAUUAUUUGUUUGUCUUUUAUUGUUCAUUUUGUACCAAAGCUUAACACCAUGAUGUAUUUUUAAUGUAGUAUCGUCAAUAUCUUUCUUUUGUUUUAUUACUUUUACUUCGGUUCCUAUCAUAGACAUUUUUCAAAUUAUAAGGACUAAAAAGGAUCAUUUUGAAUAUGGGAGACCUGAAAAGUUAUCCUAAAUUUGAGGGACUAAAAUCAUAUUUAGACCUAUUUAUCAUGAAUAAUUAGGUUGCAAUCAUAAAUAUUGUUGAAAGGAUAGUAACAGAAACAAGUCCCAAAUGAUCGUAUCCCUCUGAUAACAUGUUGAAAAGAGAGAAACCAAUAAGGAAUAUAUGAAUUCGGUGUCUUGGGUACACACAUGAGUAUUCUUAUUUAUAAUGAAGGAUACAAUACUAAGAAGAAAAUCAUUACAUAAUAAUGGGAAAUAUUUGGCAAGUUAUUUCCUAAUCAACUUAUAUCAUAUCUCCCUAUCUAAUGUAAUCAGAACAUAUCUUUAACAUCAUCAACUUAUAUCUCUAACAAAUACGAAGGGGAUUAAUCAAAUCCCUAAUUUACAAUAACUAGCAUCUACAAAUAUUAACUUGUGUAAAACAUGUUAUUCAACAACAAAAAUCAAUUCUUGAAUCAGGCCUGAAAGGGCACACCCAUUCGCACAAAUGCAACAUCCAUGCCAAAAAAAUAAUAAAAAUUCAAAACAAGCUUGUAUAUCAAAAUACACCAAAACCAACAUAACAAAGUAGCACAUUAACAAGUCAAUGAUUUAAGAGUCAAGUGUUUCAGCAUUGAAUAACUUCCAAUUAUUGUCAAUCACUUGAUUAUCAAAAAUGAUAAAUGACUAGUUUAAGAGAAAAACUUAUUGAUUUGACUAGCCACUUGAGUAUUAAUUAUUUCUAAACUAAAAAAUAUAUAUUUUCAUUGAAAAUUCUUCUAUCAAAUUGCCAAAUAAAAAAAAAACCACAUUAGAAAGGAACGUGGGACGGAAGAAAUUAAGAAUAUCAUGCACCCAGCCAGUCAGUAGAAGAAGAAAUUAGUACAUGGGUAUAGAGUACAUACAACCAGCCAGAACUUUUGGAUCACCACCUAAUGGAUAAAACUCCAACCCAGCUGUCAAAACAAACUCCUUAAAAUUUGAAUGGGUUGCUAAUCUAACUCGGUGGCCAUAGUCCUGCACUUAAAUAAAGAAUUAAAAAGCAAUCAAUUUGAAUAUGUAAAUAACAUAAAUACAAAUUAUUCACUUCAUAUAUUUUCCUCAUUAAACUAAUACGGGUAGGAAUUCAAUGAUAAUAUUUUCACCAGAAAAUAGAAAAUUCCAAUUAGUAAAUAGAAAUGUGAAGACAAAAGAACAAAAUAUACAGCAUAAAUAUACCAGCCACAUACAUCAGAGCCAAGUGAAAGAGCAGUGCCAAAACAUGGAUUAUGUAUUUGAAAUAUUUCCUUUCUCUUGGCUUUUUUUUGGUUGAGCCAUAAAUAGUAAUAAAGUGACUCUAUGAAACAAUCAUUUGCCACCUAUUAAGAUCUUAAAAGAAGAGGGAGAGAGAGAGAAGAAAGAGAAACAGAAAAGAGGCAACUUUUAUUGUAAAACACCUAAUUACAACAGUCCUCUUUAUAUAUGUGUAUAUAUAUUGAGAGAGAGCGAGAGAGCUGAAAAGGCGCAGCUGAUGAACAACUACCAAAAAACAAACUACACAACAAGCUUAAAACAACAGUCACCUCCCAGCUAAACUCAAGGUGGGUUUGUCCCUAAUAAACAUGAAACCAGAAGGGGAUAGGGGUUUGAUAAGAACAACAGCCCAAUGCACUUGGGCUAAAAUAUGUUGAGCAUAGAGACAUUUGGAUAGAACCUUUAUACGUAGAAUAAAGAGACUGAUUUCCAUAUGCUUGGUUCUGGCAUGCAGAACAGGAUUGCAAGCUAGAGUCAUCACACUCUAAUUAUCACAAUAGAUGGCAAGACGACCACGUGAUAUGCUAAGUUCUUUAAGAAGAGUUUGAAUCCAUAGAAUUUCGGCAGCUAUUUGAGCAAGACUACGAUACUAUGCCUCUGUACUAGACCUUACCACGAGUUUGUUUCCAAGGCCACCACCAAAUGAGAUUUGGUCCAAGAAUGGAAGCACCAACUAUCGAUCAUCAGGAUCAGCAACCCAAUUUGCAUCAAAGAAAGCUUGAUGAAGAAAGGGAGAGACAUAGGUCAUAGGAGUAAGAUGAAUAUCAUGUAGAGGAGUCCCCUUAACAUAUCAAAGAAUCCUUUUUACAACGGUCCAAUGAGAUUCAACAAGUUGAGCUAUACAUUGAGACACUUUGUUCAUAGCAUUGCUUAUUUUGAGAUGAGUGAAAACAGCAUCCUAAAGAGCACCAACCACAGAUGUAUAUGAAGUGCAUCUCGACAAAAUUGUAAUAUUCUAUGAUAAUUUGCAAUUAAAGGCCAUAGGGGAAGAAAUAGAACUAGCUUCAAACAUUGGAUCAAUGAAGAAGAUCACAAAGAUAUUUGCUUUGGGUUAAAAUAAAAUGGACUUUAAGCAUAAUUUAACCUCACAAAAGAUGUUUGUAAGGUGAGGUUUGCACUCAUUUAUAUACUAUAAUUCGAUCAUAUCUUUAGUUGAUGUGAGAUCUCCAAUACAUUCUCACGUUGAAAACUCCCAAGAGUGGAACCAAACAUUUCGGGAGUCGCUAGGUACAAUAGAUCCAACAAACCUAGCUAGACUAGGCUCUGAUACCAACUUAAAAUAUGCUAGGAAAUAAAGAAUUGUUCAUUUAUAUACUAACAUCUCUAUUGGUAAUAAUCAAAACCUUUAAAUUAAGAAAAUAAAAAUAUGUUGAAAUGAAUAAGAUUCUGAAGAUACAUUUUACUAGGGAGAUAUUGAGAAUACUUUUAUCCUAAUUAUUUGUUAUUUACAACAAGAACCAUCCUAAAGAGUUUUGCCUUCUACUCCCAAGAUAUAAUCAACCUAACCUAGCUAAUUAAGAGUGAAGGCAUAAUUAAUUUGAUCGAUAAUCCUUUGAGCAAGACUAGAAGAGUUACCUGUUAUUAUUAUAUCAUUAACAAAAACUGAAAAUCAAAUUUAUUGUAUUCCUAUUUAUACAAGAAUAUUGGGCAAGGACCUGAGCAUACCACCCCAAUCAAUUUGAAUUGUAACAUGCAAAACUACAACAGUUCUCUAGAUAAACAACUACCAAAAGAACAAAGUACACGACAAACUUAAUACAGCACUCACACCAUCUUAACAAGGGCAGCAAAUCUCCUCGUGUGCAUGAAUGGUUCUAAUUUCUAACCAAUACACAAGAAACAGAAAACAUAAUAAAAUGUCUUUAUAGAUACAAUCAUUCACCUACCUUAACAAAAAUGCAAUAAAUCUCCACAUGUGCCUAUUUGUAUGCAUUAUUGAAGCAGGAAAAGAGAAAAUUAGGACAUAAGAAUAUGCCUCUAUACCUGCAAGCGUUUGCCUAUUGCAAUAAAUGGUUGCACAUCUCCUCGUGUACCAACUAUAAGCAUGACUAUAUUCAAUGGUGGGAUGUAAUGAAAGUCUGUUGCAUCAUGUGAAUCAUCAACAACAUGAUUUACUUCUUUGGAUUGAGCAACAAUUGUCUCAGGUUCAACAUCUACAGGAACUUCAAAUUCUACAGUUCCAUCAUCCUUGACAGUAGCUAUUCUGUUCAACAAUUUAAGCUGCACAGUUGUAAAAAUCAACUGAUGUACCAGUCAUACACGAUUAAAAACAAAAAUAAAGAUAAUGAUGAUAAUAAUGUUAAGAAAGUCAACCUUGUCUAUAUUUAGGUUCUGUAACUGUUACUCAUAAUUACAUUGUGUAGAGAGAAACAGUAUAGUCAUUUGUUAUGGAAUCCCCUUGUGUAUAUUACAUGGCAGAGAGACACAGACACGCGCAUAUAUAUAAUAUGUAGCAUAGCCUUGCAUAGAGAUGGGACUGAGGCCCAUGCAUAAGAUACAUUUAACACACUCAAACGGGAGCAUAUAAAUCAUAUGCACCAAACUUGUUACACACAAUCAAUUCUAGGAUCUGUUACGAGGGCAAAAUCGUCAUUACAUAGUCACAUGGGAAUGAUGAAGUGGUGAGAGAAGAACAUGGAAAAACCAUUGGAGGGCCAUGGAGGGCAGAGGAUGAGGAAGACAAGGUUAACAGAAAAAGUGAGUGCACAUGGAGGGCCAAUCAAACAUUAAGGGAUUGUGUGGUGAAUGAGAUCUUUAUAUAAGAAUUAGAGAAAAGGAGAGAGGAGGGGAAUUCUAUAGAAUCUUAUGUUCUCUCUGGCCCUUCACGGACAUCUUUUACUUUCUUCUUUGUAUUUUGUUUCACCCAUACAGUCUUCUUUCUUUCCAUUAUGUAAGACAUCCAAUAAUUAAAUACUUAAAAUACAAUACAGAGGUAUUUCAAUAAUUCUUGUUUUAUAUGCACUUCUAAGUUUCUAUUAACGUGAGGCUCAUAGAUUUGGUGCUUUCAAGUUGAGUGGCAUUACUCUUACCAUGAGCUCAGCAUAUCACCCUCAAAGUGAUGGACAAUCAAAGGCCCUCAAUGCAUAUUUAGAGAUGUAUUUGACAUGUUUCAUGGUGAAUAAUCCAAGGGAAUGGAGUAAGUUACUUCCAUGGGCUGAAUUUUGGUACAAUAGUUCCUUCGAUUCUAGCAUUGGCAUGACUCCCUUUCGAGUUGUGUAUGUUAGAGAUCCCCCGACUACUGCCAACUAUCAAUUGGAAUACACUAAUCCACCUUCCCAAAAAGAGUUAUUACAGUAAUGAGAUCUCACCAUCACUCAACUAAAAACUCAUUUGAGUAAGGCACAACAUCGAAUGAAGAAAUUUGUUGAUAAAAAAAGUAUACAGUGGAGUUUGAAGUAGCUGAAUUAGUGUUGAUCAAAUAUAACUAUACAAACAGCAUUUUGGGACUCCUAGAACUUUUGAGAAAUUACAUGGGAAAAACUAUCUAUCUUGGUCUGCCUCAGUUAAACUUCGGUUCCUUGGCCUAGGUUUUCAUGAUUAUUUAGAAGAGUAUGAGAGUAGAGUACCACCAAAUCAAGUUCAAUAGUAGGAAAAAAAACAUUGAUGUUCAACUUUGUGCUCUACUUUGGCAAUCAGUAAAGCUCAAUAUUUUUAGCACUCUUAGGUCAUUCAAAACCUUUAAUUCUUUUUGGAAAAAGGCCCAAAAUAUUUUUGCAAAUGAUAUCAGACACCUCUACAAUUCUGCUAAUCAAUUGGCUUCUCUCAAGCAAUCUGAUAAUGAUAUGAUGUCUUUUAUUGUUGAAACUCAAUUUGCAACUAAGGAAUUAAAGAUAUUCUUGGAAAUUGACUCAUUAGAUAAGAUAAAAGAGAAGUUGGAUAAGUUUUAUAUUAUUAUGAUCCUCUAUGCACUAAAGCCAGAUUUUGAUCAUGUUAGACAUCAAAUUUUAAUUGGUCUGAAAGUUCUUUUUAUGGAAAACCUGACAACAAGACUCCUUCGUGUUCAAUUAUUAAGAGUAGAAAUAUUCAGAAAAUUGUUGAGUCUUCUACCAUGAUUUCUAUUCAUGGAAAAGGAGGUCAUGCCACUAGAGGAGGGCAUGGUGGUAAAGGGUGUCCUCAAUGCCCAUAUUGUAAAAGAAUGGGUCACACCAAAACAGUUGUUACUCUUUACAUGGCUUUCUUGACAAGAAAGAAGAAAGCCAAUAUUUCCAAAUUUGCAGUUUUUUAGCCAAAGUUCUCUAAUAAAAAAUAUCAGGAAUAUUUGAGGUUGCAAUCUAACAACCUAGCACAAUCAUCUACAACUCCCAAUAUUUCACAAUCCAUGAAAAGUCAAAAUCCAUGAAUAAUUGACUUAGGUGCCUCUGGUCAUAUUUCUAGUAAUACCUCUUGGUUUUUUUCUCUCUCCUUUCCUAAAACACCUCAUUUCAUAACCCUUGCAAACGGAUCUAAAGUAGCUUCCUAAGAAAUUGGUCAAGUUUCCCUCAAUUUGUUCUUUUUGUUUCUGCUUAUCCCUUUAAUCUCAGUCCUUUAAGUCAAUUAACCAAAUCAUUGAAUUGUUCAGUUAUCUUUGAUGCCCACUCUUCAUAUACAAGAAUGUGGUAGGGUCAACUGAUUGGCGAAGGACAUGAUUAGGAAAACUUAUUAGGUCUACUUUUCCUAAACAUUCUGAAUUUAAAUAUAACUAGUUUUUCCUAUCAUCCAUUCUAAUAAUUGGGGGCCAAGUCGUGUUUCAUCUUAUGGUUUUAGAUAUUUUGUUACUUUAAUUGACGAGUUUUUUAAAUGCACUCGAAUGUAUCUAAUCAAAGAUCAUUCUAAAUUAUUUUUUCUAUUCUUAUGUCUUUCCUUAAUAAAAUCAUAAAUCAAUUUCGAAAAGUAAUCACAAAGCAAUAAUGGCAAAGAAUGUUUUUCGUAUGAUUUCUCUAAACUCUUGAGCUCACAUGGCAUUUUGCAUCAGUCUACUUGUACUUACACAGUUAUCCUAACUACCUGUUUACUCAAUAACAAAAUGUUUUCUUCAUCACUUGACCAUAUGUUCCCUACUACAUUUUAUUUUCAAAUGAACCUCUAUUUCAUAUUUCUCCAUGUGUUUUUGAUUGUAUAAGUUUUGUUAGAUAUUAUUAGAUAUAAUUAGAUAUUAUGAAAUAUUAUAGAUAUUGUUAGAUAUUUCAUAUUUAUGUAAUGGGUUUUUUUUCCUUUAAUAAACAUAACCCUAUGUGUUCACUAUACACAAGGGAUUUACCCUAUUCUUUGUUUUCCUUUAAUAUGGUAUCUAGAGCAUAAGGUUAGGGUUUAGGGUUCAAUUUUUAUUGGUGAACCCAUCACUGGCAUUUUCCAGCCACCGUCCCACUGCCUCGCCGGAGCCGCCACUGCCUUGCCGGAGCCGCUGUCGGAAUCUCGUUGGAGCCUCCGCCGGAGACGCUGUCGGAGCCUUCAUCUUUGUUGCUGCCGCCAAUUAACCGGUGACUGGAUUUGUCCUUGUCUUCUAUGGCUUCUUCCGCUUCCGCUGCCGCUACCACUGUGGCUUCUUCCGCAGUCAUUAUGUCUGAUCCAUCUAUUUAUACUAAUUACAUCAAUGUUCAUCUUUCCAUUGACAAAUUGGAUGGAACCAAUUAUGACACUUGGGCAUCAGAUAUUAAAUUAUGGCUUAAGAGUCAAGGUUAUGUUGAUCAUCUUACUCAUCCUACUGUUGUUGAAAAUAGGUUUCCCGUUGGUUCAAAAUUGAUGUUCAAUUAUGCAUUGUUAUCAAAUCUACCAUUCACUCAUCUUUAAAACAAAUUUUUCGUACCUAUGAGACAUGUUCAGAAGUUUGGGAACAAGCAAAAUUAUUAUACACCAAUGAUACUCAACGCCUUUAUGGUAUGUGUCAAAAUCUUCUCCCAAUUGUUGCUCCAAAAGGUCUUGAUGGUACAAUGGCGGAAUAUUUGGGUAAACUUCAUGCUCUUCUUCAUGAUUUUAAUGAGUUAUUACCUCCUGCCCCCACUCCUUCUCAAGAACUAUAACAAAGAUCCAAGUUUUUCAUGUUAUUGGAUUUACAUGGUCUUCCUGAUGAUUAUUCUCACAUUCGUGAUCAAAUUUUGGGAUCUCCUAUCGUAUCCAAUUUUACUUCCACUUGUUCUACCCUUUUGCGCGUCCCAGGUAAACACACCACUGAUAUAACGUCUCAUGUUGAUGACUCUUCUGCUUUAGUCUCUCAGCAUAGUGAUCGUACUCGCCCUCACAAGCCGGGCAAAGAGCGUCACAAGUGUGACCAUUGUGGCAAACUUGGCCACAAAAUUGACAGAUGUUAUGCCUUACAUGGUCGUCCUCCUAAAUUUGUUGGGGUUGCUCAAACUGCCCCUGUGCAACCUUCUACCAUGGACCAUACUUCAAUUGAUACCCUAGGCCAGCCUGCUAUUUUCAAUGAAUUUCUUAAAUGGUAUGAGGAUUGUCAGAACCCUAAUUCCACGGCUUCUGUUGCACAUUCAGGUACAUCUUUUGUUGGUCUCACUCACUCCACUUCCCUUGGCCCUUGGGUUCUAGAUUCAGGUGCCACUGUUCUAGAUUAGUUGGAAAAUUGAACUAUCUCAGUGUUAUUCGUCCUGAUAUUUCCUUUCCAGUCAGUGUGAUGAGUCAAUUUCUUAAUUCUCCAUGUGAAGAUCAUUGGAAUGCAGUCAUUCGUAUAGUGAAGUACAUUAAAGACUCUCCUGGAAAAGGUUUGUUAUAUGGUCAUAAUAACCAUACUAAAGUCGUUUGUUAUUCAGAUGUUGAUUGGGCAGGAUCUCCAUCUGAUAGAAGAUCAACUUCUGGUUAUUGUGUCUCCAUUAGUGAUAACUUGAUCUCUUGGAAGAGCGAGAAACAAAGUGUUGUGGCAAGAUCUAGUGCAGAAGCAUAAUAUAGAGCUAUGGCCUCGGCUACUUGUGAGCUUAUUUGGCUUAAACAGUUACUUAAAGAAUUGCAAUUUGGAGAGGUUACUCAAAUGACACUUAUAUGUGAUAAUCAGGUUGCUCUUCAUAUUAGCUCAAAUCCAGUUUUUCAUGAAAGGACAAAACAUAUUGAGAUUGAUUGUCAUUUCAUUGGAGAAAAUAUUAUAUCGGGAGAUAUCAAGACUGAGUUUGUUAAUUCAAAUAAUCAAUUAGCAUAUAUUUUUACUAAACCCUUACGAGGGCCUAGGAUUGAUUAUAUUUGUAACAAUCUGGGUACAUAUGAUCUAUAUGCACCAGCUUGAGGGACAGUGUUAGAUAUUAUUAGAUAUUAUUAGAUAUUAUUAGAUAUUAUUAGAUAUUAUUAGAUAUUAUUAGAUAUUAUUAGAUAUUAUUAGAUAUAAUUAGAUAUUAUGAGAUAUUAUAGAUAUUGUUAGAUAUCUCAUAUUUAUGUAAUGGGCUUAGCCCAUAUGUUUCUUUUCCUAUAUAAACAUAACCCUAUGUGUUCAAUAUACACAAGGGAUUUACCCUAUUCUUCCUUUUUCUUUAAUAUGUUGUAUCUAGUUUAUAGAUAUGACCUUUCAUAUUCUCUUAUCUUUCCUCUCAUUCAUUUUAUUUGAGAUCUCCAAUGUCAUUAUAAAUGAGAUUGUAAGAAAGGGAAUUCACUCUCUCAAAUUCAUUCUCUAUUGUCUUCUUUUUUUCUCAAGUCGAACAAACAAAGAAAAGUAAUCCUAAUUUUUUGGUUUACACAUUUCCAUAUUAGUAGAUAUCAAAUCACAUCUUUAAAAAAAUCAUCAAUUUUUCUAGUUUUAUUUUUCUUACCAAAUCCCCUAUCCAAACAAUGCAUAAGAAUUUACCAAAAUGUAUGAAAAAUUUAUCAAGUAUUUGGUAAAAGGGACAAAAACACAACAAUAUACCUUCUCCUGGACAGGAAUUUUGUUAUCAAAAAUUUGAGCUGCAUCUUCAGGACUCAAGUGUCUAAUCCUCUCUGUCUUUGACCUUUCAAUCCUAAACUUACUUGAACUUGACUCUAAUUUAUCUCCAUGUGAUAUGUCUAUUGGCAUCGUGGCCACUUUAGACAACGCCUUGCCAGGAAUGUCUGAAUAAGGAGCAAAAAUAAGAACAUUUACACAUAUAGUUCCAAGAUGAGCAUAAAAUUAAACAAAACGUUCUAGAAUAGAAAAUAAAAGGAAAAGACUUCCAAAAGAAAUUCAAGAGAUGUAUCAAGUAUGAUAUCACAAUGCUAAGAGCUCCUUGGCACAAUCAACUUUACGCAAUCAAGAAGGUUUCUUUGUUGAAAAUAUAAAGGCAUUGACAAUCUUUUCUACUUACUGGGUUUUCUUGUAUCUCUAGUUUCCACUUUUCUUUGGUUUUUCUAGGAGGAUAACUUUCCUAUUUAAAUAUUUUGUACAUUUUUCUUUCUCUAUUCUAAAGAUUUUUUUCUUGUGUAGAUACAAAGUGAAAACAUGAUAAAAUGAAUCAGUAUAGUAACAAUUAUCAAGUUUCUGGUUAAUCUCAUUCUUUAAACCCAAGAUCAUACAUUAUAUCCUUAAAUAUAAUUUAUUAAUUUUUUAUGUUUAUUUUUCACAUUAUUUGCACAAACUUCAUGUAUAUCAAGAUAUCAAACUUAUUGUUGAAAGAAAGAAUUACUUAAAAAGGUACCUUGUCGGUGCAAAUGUAAUGAUAUAAGUGAAGGUGAAGUUUGCAAUUUUUGUAGACUGAAGAGAAGGUUUUGAUGAUGUUGACAAGUGCAAAGAAGAUGUGGGAGACUCUAGCCUUAUCAUAUAAUCCAAAGAGGUCAAGAGAAACAAGCUUACUAUGUCUAGACACAAAUACGACAUGUUCACCAUGGACGAAUGAGAGCUCCAAUCCAUGAUUGCUAGGCUGCAGACUAUUCUUAAUAGUUUGAGAUCUCUUGGAACCAAUAUGAGAUUAAUGAUAAAGUGUUGAGGACCCUUCCCCCUCGCCUAGGAAAUUGCUCCAAGAACGUCUAAAGACCUGGAAGACAUGCCCAUGAAAGAACUGGUAGGUAUUCUUCUAUUUUGAUAAACAAGUUUUGCAGAGUGAUGCCAAGAUGGUUAGUGAAAGAUCUUGCAUUCAAGACUUCACACAAAGAGAAAAGGAUAGUGUCUGAUAGUUUGUAAAUAAGUAGAUAAUACAUUAGACAGUUCAAACAAAGGCAAUGAUGAGUUAUUCUUCCUCACCGACAAAUUUAAGAAGAUGGAGAAGAAGAAUGGGAAAAUAUUCAAGCACAUAUAGACCACAAGGAGAAGGUCAUUUGUUAUAAGUGUAAAAACCUGGACAUUACAAGUUAGAAUGUCCAUAUCUUGAGGACAAGGAAGGGGAGAAGGAGAAAGAGAAGAAGAAGAAAAAAAAAGGCAAUUCAAAGAAGGAUGAAUGUCUAGCUAGGAGGAUUUAGAUUCUUCUAACUUAAAAUUUGACUAGCAAAUCCAAAUUGGUCUCAUGGCAGGUACCUCUGCAUCAGAAGAGUUUGAUUAAGAAAUAGAUUUCUUGGAUAUAUAUUCGGCUAGAGAAACUCAUAAGAUAUUAUUAUUAGUCUUACUAAGCUUAUGAUAGUGUUUGCGUGCAUGAAGUUCUUUUGAGUGCGUAUACACAAGCCUAAACACCUGAGAGUUGGAAAGGUUUUCUAGUGUAAACUGUAUCACUUUAUUCAUUUCAUGAUUUUCAGCUACCUUCUUGUUAGAUAAAUCUUAAGGAAUUUCAUUCACAUCUUUCUUGAUUCCUUACUUUUUUUAAAAAUGUUUUUACUAAUUCUAUGAUCUCUAAAGAUCAAAUUGGUAGUGAAGAUUUCUUGUUUGAUUAUGUAAAAAAAGGAGAAAUAGAAGCAUCUCGCAAUGUGCAGCGUCUUGUAGCAUUAACUGCUUAUUGUUGGUGUUUGAAUUGAUUAUUGUUGUGUUUGAAUAAGUGUUUUUUUUUCAUCUUAAAAAGGGGGAGAUUGUUGAGACCUUGGACGAUUUGUUUAGACGGUUUAUUAAGCCUCGAGAUGAUCUAUUGAACCACUAGAUGGAUUAAUGAUCAAAAUAUUAUAUGUAGAGUUUAUGUUCUUAUGUUUUGAUGUGAACAAAAACUAACACAAGAUUUCGUUGAGACCUUGGACAGUCUAAGAACCUAUAGACGGUAUGUUGAAACACUAGACGAUCUAUGACCCACUAAAUGAUCUGAUGACUAAAAGAUCAUAUGAGGAAUUGUGUUUUGAGGAUAUCAAAAACAACUAGAAUCGUUUAUCUGGUUCUAACAAGGAUUUGUAUAGCUGCAAUAUACAGUAGACUUUCUAAGCGUCUUCUUCAUGCUAGACAAAUGAGCGUGUUUAUUGAGUAACAUUUUUUUUAGUAUAACAUUUAAACGAAAUCUUCUGAGCACAUAUAUCUACUAGAAAUGCAUUCAAUCAAAGGGAUAUUAUGCCCAAAAACGAAAAUAUUUCAAUUUGCAUAUUUUGUGAAAUGACUUUGUUUUUUGUAUAUCUUUAAAUAAAUCUUUUCCUAAACAGGUUUGUUCAAAUAAAUCUUGCGAAUAUCUUUUUUAAUAUAUUGUGAAUAUCUCUCAAGCUUUUUUAAACAAAAACAAUUUGAAUAAAUUGAAAAAUACUCUAUUUUAGUAUCAGACGUUUUUAAUUAUGUUCUGAUUUGUUCUUACUAACCCAUAUUGCAAAUACAUUCUAAUUAUUUUCUUAAACAAAUUUGAAGCAAAAACAAAUUGGAAGAUUACAAAUCCAAGCUUUCUAUUUUGAACGUCUAGCACGAAAAAAGGUGAAGAUAUGAAGAUAUUGCAAUAUCCAAAAUUAACCAAUUCAUAUAACAAAGGACAAAUAUAAAAAACUACAAAAAAAGAUUGCACGUGAAGAACAAAAGUAAGGCAAACCAAGCAACAAAAGUUAUACGGGUGAUCUUGUUGAAAAUACAGAAGUUGUAGUGAGCGUCCAAUCGAGCUGUUAGAGCAUCUAGUCUUUUGGGUUGAGUGUUAAACCAUUGUAAUUCUUCACAUUGUGAAGUUAUAUCCUUAUGAGUUUUCUUUGUGCUCUAUUUGAGAAUGUUCUCUGUUUUCUUGAGCAAUGUUGUUAAAAUCGCGAUUUAGAUCGUAAGAUCUUGCGAUUUUUUAGAAGAAAUUGUGCUGAAUCGCACGAUGGAUUGCUACCUGAAUGGAUCGAAGCGAUCCAGUGAGUCGGUAGCCGGAUCGAGGAGUCUCUCUGAUCCGUGACUCAGUCCAUUUAAAAAAACCCUGAAAAUGAAGCCCAAGAAUGAGGCCCAAAAGGAAACCCUAAAAAAAUCUAAUAUCAAACAUGUGCCUCCAUUGUCGUGCCUCUCUACCGCUCGUGCGUCCGGUGUCACAUUUUCUAUAUGUUCUAUUUCUUCUUUAUUUUUAUGUAUUAAUCUUGCAAAUUAUAAUAUAUGUUUGAUUGUUUUAUAUAAUGAAUAUUAUUUUUCAUAUUCACAUUAUUUUUUAUAUACCACUGACUCUUUACGAGUCGAGUUAUGAUCUCUCGAGUUACGAUAUUUUAUCUCCUUUCCGAUCCUCAAAUUUAACAACACUGUUCUUGAGAGUUCUUAAUCUCAGGGGGAGGUUAUGAAGGUGUAACCUGGAGAAGUAAAAAUACUUGUCAUAACCUAGAGAUGUGAGAAUAUGUGUUAUAACCUAGAGAGGUGAGAAUAUUCGUUGUAUCCUAAAGAGGUGAGAAUACUCAUGUAACUAAUUGGUUAGUGAAAACUCAUUAGCAAUUGCUUAAAGGGAUAGGACCCGGAUAAAUUUCUUGUGCUAAUAUCUCAUUACUCUUGCUGCUCUUUAUAUUUUCAUUUUUAUUGUUGACAGUCUACUUAUUUUGUCCACCGCAAAAAGAAGUCUAAGACUCCAUUCAAACCCCCCUUAUAUAGCCAACCGUACCUACACUUUAUAGCUAUUAUUAAAGCUUCAAUUCUUAGGUCUAUUGAGAAAUCCGUGUAUUGCAAGAUACAAAGAGGGUUCACAAUGUGGACAUCUAGAAUGGAGGGAUUGAAGAGUCAAAGCAGAGUCCACCUUCUGCAACCCCGUUGUUAAUUAAUUGAUAUCUUAUUCUAAACUCACUUGCUCUUAUAGUCAAAAGAGAGUCCACCUUCUGCAGCCGUACUCCAAGAGAAAGGGUUUAGAUUGUAUUCAAAUUCAAAAGACCUUACCUUGCAGAGACCACCUUAUGCAUGCCCUAAUCACUAAACAGAGCAUAUCUAGAUAUUAUUUUCUCUAAUCGAUAUCUCUGAACAGCAAAAUUCCGCUUAUCCUCCGCCUUCCCUAAACUAAAUACCGAUCAUUAACCCCGCCAAGCGUAAUUUUCACAUCUUUCAUCACAUAAUUUACACCCUAUAUUAUGGGUUCAAAUACAUUACCAAUAGCUUAUCCCAGCACCGAAAGGAAUCUGAUCCCAUAUUUUCGGUUCACACCAUUUCCCCAAAAAAAAAACAACUCGGCACAGCACAGCAACCUGAGCAACUUUAAAAAAAGAAAAAAAUAAUAAUCUGGCGAUCUAGCUUUCAUCAAAAAGAAAUUAACUCAAUCACUUAGUUUUCUCCCCUUUUUCUCUCUUCGUGUCCGUUACCACUCCUUUUUCCAAUUCCCGUUAACCACUACUUAACUAAACAAAACAGAAAUUCAAUGAAAAAAUACAAGUGUCGAGAGAGAGAGAGUUACAGUAACCUGAGGCUGAAGAGCUCUCUGUACCAUUGGCAGCAGAGUGCACACUCUCCUCCACGUCCUUGCGGUUUUCGGGAUCCUUUGAACUGUGAGAAGAGUUCCGGCAAUCUUCCGGCAAGUCCGCCAUUGCCGGCGAUCUAGAUCUGUCGCAAGCAGCGUUCAGAAUAAUUGCAGAAAUGAAAAGAAGAGAAGUUUCGAGAGAAGGGUAACGGUGCUGUCACGAAAUUGGAACAGGACCUCGUGUUUGUAGGGGAGGGAAGAGAACACGUGUGCGCCACACGCGUGUGGAAAGGAAAGCCACCGCAUAAGGAAUCAUUUUUGGUAAAAUCAUAACCCGUGAACUUGUAACCCUUACUUUUAAGGACUUUCGGUCCUAAAAAAGAAGAUUUUAUUAAUUUAUUUAGGAAUUUCAAAAAAACAUAAAGAGUUUUUAUCUUUUUUUUCUCUUUCCAGGUUCCCCUGACUUUACAGGCUGAAACGAUCGAUUCGAUUUGAUAUUUUUUAGAACAAAUUGCGAUAAAAAGGGAAAUGGGGUCCGCGUUGUUGGUGGCAAGAGAAUCUACGUAUUGCUACUCAUUUUCGUUUGCUUUAUACCAGGGAUUUUUUUUUUACCUCUAAUAAUUUUUUUUUGCAUUUCUGUAAAUAUAAAUUUUUUACUUUACCUUUUUUAUUUAUAACAAAAAUAAUAUUUAGAUGUGAAGUUACUUUUUCAUGAAAAAAAAUUGGUGAGUUGUAGAAACUUUUUCCUUUAGAUUGUACAACAUAACAUCUACUAGAUCUUGUAAGGCUUGUAUAUGGUGUAAUUCUUUGAUUUUUAACAUUACUUAUUGGUUUUGAGCAUUAUUUAUUGUGUACAAAAUUAUAUCCUAUUUGGAUAUAAUAGAGUCAAUCUCUAUAACAAUUGUUCCUUAGGUCUUACGUCAUGAUGUUAUAUUGGAGAAGGUAAUAAGCUUUUAUGAUAAGAUUUUAUGGAAGACUCAUGAACAAAUGAUCAAUCACUAGAAUUAUGGUUAGGAGAAUACAAGAAUGUGAGACUCAACUAAGUUCAUGUAUUGACCAGUUAUUGACUCCAGAGAAGACCUCAAACAUCGGACAUCGGUGUCCGACAGUAAUGGUGGGUCGUGUAAGGUGGGCCCCAAAAACAAUAUCAGUUACCCAAUAAAACACUCAGAUACUAGAACAUGAGUAGGGUUUCCAAUGGUAGGCUUCAUGUAUGGCAUGUGAAUACUUAGGGCACCCAUAGAAUAGAUGGCCCCACAGCAUUGGUGCAUGAGUUGGUACAUUGGCGGCCAUUUUGUUAGUCGUUGAACUCUAGUAAAGGGAAGUCAUAUGUGCCAGAUUAUGCUAAGAUUGUGUAAUAGCGGCAUAGGAACGUUCGCCAAGGAACCAUAGACAUGGGUAACAUAACAAAAGUAAAUCCUAGCUACAACUUAUAUAAAGGGUGGUAAAAACCCUAGCAAGGUACGUUGUUUCUAAGACUGAAACUACUUUAUACACUUAUUGUUUCUAAGACUAAAACUACUUUAUACACUUACUGUUUCUUUGCCCCAGUACUAACUUGAGCGUCAGAGUGCAAACGGCCGCCAAGGCGCCCUUUGUCUUUGUAGGUGAAAGGUUCUUCAACCCUAGGAAGCUUGAUUCAUAGGCGGAGACAGGUAGGCCAAAGACUGUCGUUCGAGUCAACCGGCGAGAACAAUUCAGUAUGGUCAAACUCUUAUCAAUUUGUGUCAGGCUCAGCGAGACUCAACAACAUAUACAAAUAUAUACAUUCUCUUUUAAUUUACUAUAUGAACACAACAUUGUUCUUUUACAAAAACUUUAAGGUUAGAUAAAAAAAUUGUAGCAUUUUAGCACUUUGUACUUGAUCACAUCUCUCUUCUUAAAAAGACAGUUUUUUAUAGAGCUUGGAAGAAGGAAUUGUUGUAAUUCCUUGUUUGAUUGUUGAGAGCUUUACAACUCAUAUAACUUCAUCUUCUUUGUCUACUGAGCGUGGAUGUAAAGAUGCAUUAAAUGUGUUUCAUACAACAUUAAAUUCAUUCCCCUUUCUAAAAAUAUUAUGAUAGGUGACAAUACUUAUCAAUGUUAGGUCAAAUAGUUUUUUACUUAAAACAAAGUAAAAGUAGAGACCGUAUAUGAAGAUAACUAGGCCAAAGUUGACUUCAAAUUGUGUUAGAAUGGUUCUUGAAACAAAACAACUUUAGCUUGUAUCCCAAGAGAUCUUGAUGUAGACGUGUGUUUUGCGAGGAUUGUCUCAAUAUAUACAAGAUGAAGACAUUCCCUACAACACAGUAAUAAAUUUAAAGUAUGUUCUUGUAUGUACAAUGUAAACUUAAAGCUUAUGUGCACUUAUCAACCAAUAAAUGUUUCAUUUAUUAGACAAAGUAAAAGUUGCAAGAUGUUGUAUUGCCUCUCAGAUGAAGUACUUGCAUCUUGCAUGAUAUGCUUGUUUUCAUAUUUCAACAUCUUUCAAACAAUUCUUCAUGUUUCUUACUUCGUUUUGACAAACACUUAAUCAAAACUAUGGGGUUGUUGAUCUUUUGUUCUAAUAAUUGGUUUUUCAUGCAAUUUAAAAGGAAAAUCACAUUUCCUUUUUCUAGAUAUAGUGAGUUUUAAAUCCUUUUUAUAACGCAUGUAUUUGUCACCCUUCCACAAUCUAAUAUGUAUGUCUUCCUUUCUUAUUAAGGCAUUUGUUAUAUUUGAUCUCAAUAUGAAAUGACAAACCCAAACUUAAAGACUACCCCUAUAGACAUAUUCAAGUAAGUCUUCUCAUCUACCAAACAUCAAACAAAUACAUUACAAUAUAAGUAUAAGUCACUUGCUCGUCUUUUGAGCAAAAAUAACAAAUACAUUUAACUAAUUCAUGUGUAGAUGAGUCAAUAUCAUAAUAUUACCAACUUCAUCCAUAUCAGUUAACAAUAUAGACUUUGUUUGAUAUUUUACUCCAAAAAUAUCAUUUAUUAUAGUUUUAUCAAACAAACUCAUUCUAAAACAAGAAAUCUUAAAGUGGCUUACAUAAUUCAUAACAGUUAGUAUACUCUUUCAAAUGAGUCAAUCUAAAAUUAUCAAAUCAGUUUAUGGAUAAGCUAUUUUGGUAGACAUAAAUCACCUUUUGCAGUAGGUGAUUCAAAAUAUCUUACGACUUACGUUAUCCAUAAUUAUCAAAUUAACUUAUAGAUUAACUAUUAUGAAAGUCAUAAAUCACCUUCCAAAUAGGUGAUUUGACAGUACCUUACAAAUGAACCUAUCUAAAAUUAUAAAAUGAACUUUCAAAUUGCACUAUUUAGAAUGAUUCCAAUGAGAUCCUUUCCCGAAAUAAUACAAUAUGAAACAUCUACCAUUAUAACUUCAAAUUCUAAUUUGCAAAAUGUAAUUUUUAUCUUUCAAAAAUUACAAUACAAAAUCCAAAAAUAAAUUUAGAAAUGUCAUAUUUAGAGAGCUUUAAUAUAAUACAAUCUAGCUAGAACUAGUAUUGGGAAUUGGAUUUAUUUCACCAAAUAUUUUUCAAACUAUAUUUUAAAAGUCAAAUUUCUCUACUAACAACUUUUUUUUAUUAGUAAUAACUACAUCAUGUACCAUGAGUUAUCAACCAUGGACAACAAUAAAGCCCAUUACAAAUAUAAAAGGCAAAGAAGUAAAGUGAUUUUUUGAAAUAUUGGGAGGUAUAUGAAAAACUUACGAGAAUGCAUGAAUUAGAAGCCAAAAACCUUAUGGGUAUUUCUUUUAGCAUCUCUAUACCUUCUUUUUCAUCUCCAUAAGUGUGUCCGAAAUCUAAAUUAUCCAUGAGUUGGAAACAUUUUGUACGGCAUAAUUUGAAAAUCUAAUAUGGAUUGUGCAAUUCGAACAAAGCUCAAAAAUGUGUUUUCGAUUGCAUAAUUUGGAAAUGCAUUUUUGAAUCCAAAAAUGUAUUUUGGAUUACACAAUCUAGAAAAAUAUUUCAAAUUAUAUAAUCUAGAAUAUGUUUUUGAUUUACGUAAUCUGAAAAUGCAUUGCAGGUUGUAUAAUCCGUAAUGUGUUUUUAAAUUGUGUAAUCUAAGUAUAUUUCAGAUUAGAUAAUAUACAAUAUAUUUCCAAAUUAGAGAAUCCAAAAAUGCAUUUCGAAUUGUGUAAUUUCGAAAUGUAUUCCAAAUUACAUAAUCAAUAAAUCUAGAAAUAAAUUAGAAUUAUGUAUUUAAAGCUUUAACGAUAGAAUCUCAAGUUGUAAUCAUGAAUAAAUUCACUAUUUUAAUUGAGUUUCGUUUGACUCGGUUUAUUUUGGCCUUGACUAUUUUUUUAAUCUUGUGUUCUAGACGUAGUUGGUGGUCUAAUAUUUCUCAUAAUAGAUGGUUUGUCUAGACGAUCAGGCAAAAAGUCUGAAGGAAGCGUUUAUCGUUGUGAGUGGUCCUGAUCAAGCAAAAGUCUAAGUUGUUUUUCUAAAUCAAAAUGGGAAACAAAAUAUGAGUAGAAGAAUUGCAUAAUUAAAUCUAUAAUAUCUCACAAACAAAAUUGGAAGGAAAUCAUUUUGCAAAAAUAUGAAGAAACAAAGUUUAUGAUAAAACUCGAAACAAAACCCAAGAUUUAUAAAAAGUUGGAAACUGAGCAAUUGUGAUUAAUAUUUGAACUAAAAUAUUAUUCCAAGAUCCUUGGAGCAAAUAAACUUAUAAAAAGAUGCAAGCUUCAAGGAGAAAUCAUUGAGCUUCACAACAAUGUUCAAGAAAACAAAGCAUUAGCAUUUUCUUAGUUUCCUUAUUUUCUUUUUUGCAAUUCUUUCGUUUUGCCUCUGCAUAGAAGAACAAACUCUUUUUCUGGUAAUUUCACAAUGAAUUGUGAAGUUCUAUGCAAUUGAAGUUUUCUUCUUCAAUAUCGGACUACAUUAAAUGGUAUGAUCUUUUGGAGUUUUAAUUUUUGUUUUGAAAAUUGUUCCUAAAUGAAUGUUGAUGAUUAAUUUCUUUCUUUAAUUGAAACUAUUGUUGGUUUAAUUUUGCAUUAUUCUGAACAAUCUUUUGGGUGCAUGAUUUAAAGAGGUAAAGUAUUUAAAAAAACUUAUGAGUAGAUACAUGGAAAUGAGUAAGAUAUUGAAUAAAUUAGUGGACGUAUGUUUUAUUAAUUAGGUACCAUUGUUUUGGUUGACGUAUGUUUAGUCAAUUCAAUUUUGUUUGGACGAUUGAAUGAAAGAUAUAUUUUUUAUGAACUGAUGAAGAAUUCAUUGUUGAAAAAGCUUAAGAAUUAACUUGCUUUAUUUACUAUUGUAUAAUUAUCUAUCUUAAUCCUCUCCUAAAACACACUUAAACCCCUUUUAAUUUUUAAUGUUAUCACACCUCAUUGUUUGUAUAUAGGUUUUGAAUAUUGAUCUAUUAAAAUUACUAUUGAAUUCGUUAAAAGACGACUUGAGGUCAUUAUGACCAUAUCUAUACUAUAAUCUCUUUAGUAUCAUUUUAAGUUGAUUACAAAACAACUAUUAUUAAUAUCUAAAUUCAAAAAUAUAUUUUAGAAUGUAUAAAAAAUUCUAUAAUCUAAAAAUUUAAAACAUAAAUAUCUUAUACCUUUCUUACCACUCCAUAGAUCAUAGGUGAAAAAGUAAUUGCAUACUCUGAUGUGCCACAGUCGUGAAGAUUGGGUAAAACUAACUGUAGAUAAAAAUUGUUACACCACUAAGUCCAAAUUCAAAUUUAUCCAAGUAAUAUUUUCUAUUAGAUUUGAUAAACAAAUAUAAGGAUAAAGAAACAUUUCUUAUACUUCAAGGAUAAAGACAGUAAUCAAACUAAAUAAAUUAACAGGUAUAAAAACUAAAAGGAAAAAAAAAAAAAACAAAGAAUACAUGGACUAAAGUUAUACAAGGCUUUGACCAAAAGUAUAUAUUAAAAGAACUUUAAAAAAAUGUUAUAUCGCGAUAUAUAUUAACAACCUUUCAAAUUAAAUGUUUAAUAAAUUAAAAAUUUCAGUUUAAAUAUCCCACCUUUUUUUUGUCAAUGCAUCUUAUAUACAUUAACUUUUAUGUGAUGCAAAAUAUCAAUUAUUAUAAUAAAAAUAAAUAAGAGAUCAUGAAAAAAAUUAAAGUUUUUUAGGAACUAGUUAAAAAAAUGAAUAUAAUAAUAAAACAUUUUUCUACAAAAUUAAACUGAAAAUUUAUAAUUUAUUAGAUAAUUUAAAAAAAUUAGACACUCCUAAAAUUUGAAAUGUAUUCAUAGAAUAUUAUACUUUGAUAAUCUUAAAAGUUAUAUAUAUAAUUUUUAUGUGAUAAAUUUAAAUAUAAAUAUAUAUAAUAAAAAAGAAAUUUAUAUUAUAAUAACUAGCGGAAAUACAGGUGCAUUGUGAUUGUGUAUUUGCAUUUUCCUCUUUUACUCAUUUUUUAUGAUAAUAGAAAUUUAAUAUACAUACAUAAAUAAUUUUUAGAUGAGUCAAAUUUGAAAAACAAAAAAUAAAGUGAAGAGAACGAUUAAAAAAUAGAAGCUAUUUUAUUUGAUAUGUGAGAUUUGGUGUAAAAAUGUAUGAAUACUCUCUCUUUUGUUAUGUUGUUGCCUUAAAAUAAAAAAUUAAGAAAAAAAUGAUAAGUCAUAUAAAAACUGUACAUUAAUAUUAAUUUAAAAAAUAAUUUUAUUUUUUAAAUAAUUUAUAUAAAAUGAUAAAAUACUUCAUUAUAUUAAUAAAAUGAGAUAUAUUAAAUAAGGAUAAAAUUAAAAUUAAAAUUGUAUAAAAAAAUAUUAAAAUAAAAAAUUUCAUUUAUAUAUAAAUAGAUAUAAAAAAAUAUUAAAAUAAUAGUAUUAAAAAUUCUAAUAACAAUUAAAUAAAAAACUUAGUUAUGAAUAUAUCAUUACUUUUUAAAGAUAGAAGUAAGGACAAUGUUAACACUUGCGUUGACAGAGACAUAAGAACGAGAAGCAGUAGCAGGUCUCCUUCACAAUUUGUCAGAAAAUCACACAAAUGAAUCCACGCUACCCCACCUAAUUCAAGCCCAAUUUCAACCAACGUUGGAGCCGACAAAAAACAUAACAACAAACCCAACAAAUAACAGCUAAGAAGCAUUGGAAACACCCAAAAACAUGAAACGAAACCAUAAUUCCCACAACCACCACCACUCCUACAGACCAAAAAAAUGGAUGAUGACGAUCGCCAUUGUAACAAUAUGCAUCACCCUCUUGCUUCUUACCCUCACCAAACCCUCUUCUUCUUCUUCUUCAUCUAAACCAUCUUCUUAUUCUUCUGCAACAUGGUCUUCUUCUUCGUUCAAUUUAACGGAAGAAGUUGGAGUGGGUCUUCCCAGAUUGGCGUACCUGUUGACGGGUACAAAAGGGGAGGAAGCGCAGCUGAAGAGGGUCCUUCAGGCAGUGUAUCAUCCCAGAAACUACUACCUGCUUCAUCUCGAUCUAGAAGCUUCUGAUGCGGAGAGGCUCGAGCUGGCCAAGUACGUCAAGUUCGAGACUGUGUUUGCGGCGUUUGGGAACGUCAUGGUCGUGGGUAAGUCUGAUUUGGUCACCUACAAGGGCCCCACCAUGGUUGCUUCUACUCUUCACGGCAUUGCCUUGUUGCUCAAGAGGGUUCCCCACUGGGACUGGUUUCUCAAUCUCAGUGCCUCUGAUUAUCCUCUCCUCUCCCAAGACGGUCUGUCACUCCUCUUUGCUCUUUUAAUUUCUAGUGUUACACUUUUCCAGAUGAUUGCACAUUCACCGAAUAAUCUACACAUGGGAAACAGUUAGAAUUGACUCGUAGAACAAAAACCCAGAUUUUAGGAUUCUACUAGAAUUGCUCUUGUCGGUUGCUCUCAACCAUUUCCAAUAGAAGUUGUUUACGAGUUCCUUAAAUAAUACAAACAUAGAAUUCUUAAAAUUGAAGAUAUGAAGCUGGGCACGCCUCUUAAAUGGUGUGUCCAUAUGUCUCACACAUGCGUAUGACACGUAUCGGUGAAGUGUUCUAUUAAAAAGUUGGACAUGCCUUUUAAAUGCUGUGUCCAUGUGUCUGACACGUACAUUAACAUGCGUACGAUACUCGACAUGUAUUGGUGAAAUGUGUAAUUCAAAAGACAAUUAAACUUAUUGUAUAAGUUUCUAUUAUGAUUAUAGAAAUAAAGAACAAAUUCUAUAUAUAAUAAGAAAUAUUUAAAUUAUAUAUGUAUUAUUGAGAAUGUUUUUAUUUAAUCUCCUAUCAUAUCUUUAUAUAUUGUGUAAUUUGUUAAAGUUGUUAAUUUGUCUUUAAAAAUGAAUUUCAACUAAAAUGUUUUUUCCAUCGAUGAUGAUAAUCUCCUGUCACAAAAUUCAUAAUAAUGUAAUAUAUAAAUCCGUGUCUCCAUGUUCUAUAUUUUAGAGAUUAUGCGUGCCGAGAUAGUGUCCGUGUCAAUAUUUGAUGCUACUCUUCGAUUUUAAAGAAGUUAUGUUUAUAGGGCCAUAUUAAAGCAAUAUUUUUAUUGAUAAGAAAAAACUAUUGUAAACAAGUGGAGAUGUUCUUAAGCAUAUAAGACCAGCCAUUAUUAUGUUAUUAUUGAACCAUCUCGAGAGGUCCAACUUCCCCGUCAUCAACAUGAGGGGUGGGUGUUGUUGAUUGCAUAUUGACCAAUGCUGUAGUAAAAAUAGUUUAUAUCCCACAAUGAUAGCAGUCUUAGACUUUUAAUGUAUCACUUUUUAAUGAAAUAUUGAUCUUUAUAUGUCUAAUUUGUCCCCAAAUUAGUUACCUUGUCUUCAAUAAAAGUAGUGUGUUUAUUGAGAAAAAUAGAUUAUUUUAGUAAAAUUGUUUCAAAGAGUGUUAUAUUUAUUGUUAUUCUUAAUCUAGUUCCGUAAAAAAACUUUAAAUUGCAGUAAAUGUGGGAUGGAAGGAUGAAAAAUUAUGGAUGUAUAUUAACGAAAUAACAGAGUGAGGGUACGAACUGAAAGUAGUAGUAUCAGUGAGUGGGAUUUAAAACUGUAAUUGGCUAUAAUGGAGCAACUAUAGUGACUGUAGAAUCAAGUUAUCAAUGAUCACAAUCAAUCACACCAACAACCUGAUAGAGAAAGAAUUAGAACAAACAGAGGAAACAGAGAAGGAUGAGCUCAAAGAUGAGAGAAGAAUCAAAAGGAAUUGGGCGAUACCACAUGGAUACCCUCUCAUUCUCCAAAGCCUUCCAAUAAAACAUUCCUCCUCCUUAGCCUAGUGCUUCUUCUCGGGUCCCUUUCUCCUGGAUCAUUUGACAUGUGUCUCCUUGGUAUAACAAACUUUCCCACUUUUUCCAUGUGAUUUGGCUGCUUAAAUUCAUUUUCUCUUGUGUUAUUUUGGCUUCAUGUUACAAAGGAGUGAAAAGUAGGAGUCAGUCCUCAUCCUAUAAACUGAAUUUUAGGGUUGAGUUAAACUUAAGUUCUAAGAAGGUAAUGGUAGUUAUUUUGACAUUAUGCUUGGGGCCAAAGGACUUUUCUUGGCUGGUAGCUUCUGCUCUUGCUAUUUCCAGCAUCUUCCAUUUUCUCAUCAUCAAUGCGGUCUCUCUCCUACUUAUUCUGUUUUGUGCUAAUCUGCCUAUGGAUAGGAUUUUUCACCUGUCAUAAACAUUGAUGUCACAACAUUAAUUUCUUUUUGUUAAUAUGCUUCUACAAAGUAGCAGGAAAAAUAAUAUUUUUCUACCUUUGGGGGUGGGCUACAUGAUAAUCCUAGAGGAGAAGUUUAUGGUUCAUUGUUUUCUGUUUAUGAUGGAUACCUAUCAAACGAGCAGCCCAUAUCAAGCCAGUUGGCCCAAAAUGAGAAUUCUGAUGUUUCUCCCCUAGCUUCUAUAAAACUCUAAAAACCUGCUUGUCCUGUGUUAAGUUUGUUAUGUUAUUUUUACAACUUUUAUUUCUUCUCCUCUUAGGAUAGGUUUUAAGCCUAACUCAACCCCAUAAAACCGAAUCAUGGGGUGAGGUUUGCACCCAUUUAUAUACAAUGAAAUAUUCUCAUUUCUAGUGGAUGUGAGAUCUACAACAGGAACAAUCUCCAAAGGCAUGGUUUGAGAGAUUUACAAAAGCAAUGGUUAGGACAUAACCACAGCUAAAGGGAUCAUACUUUAUUCUUAAAAACACUUUGUUACAGGUAAACUCACUAUUGUGAUGGUUUGUGUCAAUGAUAUGAAUAUUGCACGAGACGAUGAAACAAAGAAAUUGAUUUUAAAGGAAAAAUUGGUAGCCCAAUUUGAAAUGAAAGACUUGGGAAAACUAAAGUAUUUUUUUGGAAUAGAGAUUGCUUAUUAAAAAAGAGGAAAGAAAAUAUGUACUUGAUCUCCUCAAAGAAAUAGAUACGCUGGGAGUUGGGAUGUAGAGCUCGAGUAGUUCUUAUUAAACAUAAUCAUAAAAUUAAAAGUGAAGAGAAAACUCCUAUAGAAAAGACCCAAUAUUAGAUAUUGAUAGGGAAACUUAUUUAUCUAUUCCACAUGAGACCAAACAUUACUCAUGCAAUUAGUGUGAUAAGUCAGUAUAUGCAUGAUCAAAGAAAAAAAUGCAUGCAAGAAAUUUACCAAAUUCUUCCGUACUUGAAGUUAAAACCCAAGAAAGGGGUUACUGUGAAGGAAAGAAGACACUUUGACCAUGAAGAUUUAUACUGAUGCAGACUAUGGAAGUUCUAUUACUGACAAAAAAUCUACUUAUGGGCAUUGAAUGUUUAUUGGAGAAAGUUUGAUAACCUAAGCAAGCAAAAAAAAAACAAAAUAAAGAGUAUCUCAUUCCAUUGUAAAAGUUGAAUUUUGAGUCCUUGCUCAAGGUGUGUGUGCAUUUGAAGGAGUUAGGAUGAAAAUCAUACUUGGUGAUCUUAAAAUCAAGGUUGACAUUCCUAUGCAAUUGUAUUGUGAUAAGUCAGAGCCAUGAGCAUGACGCAUAAUCAAAUACAACACGAUAAGACUUUGAAAUUUUAAGAGAGGUCUUGUGGUUACAACCCAUGUCCUUACAAGACUUAUAGCUGAUAUUUUUACUAAGGGGAUUCCUUAGGGUAGAUUCCUUGAUUUUGUUGGUAAGUUGGGAAGGAUCGAAAUUCAUUUACCAAUUUGAGGAGAAGUAAUGUAAAUAGAGGAUUAUUAGGAUAAAAAUAUCCUUAAUAUCUCAUAGUAAUUAGAAGAAAAAUAUCUUUAGAAUUUUCUUAUUCAUUUCAACAUAUUUUUAUUUCUUUAUUUUGGGGAGUUUGAUUGUUACAAAUAGAGGUGCUGAGAAUAAAUUUUGUGUAAUUGUUAUCAAUAAAAUAAUUAUUUAUUUCCUUACAUAGUUCAAGUGCUCCUAAUAUUACAGUAGCUCAGUAUCAAUGUUAAAUUGCUCUAUUCCAACAACCUAGUGACUCUAUUGGCACAAGCACAAGCGACAACACAAUCUAGUCAUGUUAACCUUUCUCACUCUCCACAAAAUAUAGACCCAAGCCUUGCUAACAAUUGCAUUUUUAGUAGUUUCAUUCUUGCUUUGUCCACACAUCAUUUAGGCUCUACUCCAUGGAUAAUAGAUUUAGGAGCUACCUAUCAUCAUAUCACUUGUUCUUUCGAUUGUUUUCAAGCUUAUUUUAAAAUUAAACCUAUUCAUAUUAAGUUUCCUACUGAGGCAUGCUUAAUUACAUUAUUAUUCAUAAUGUUCUUCCUGUUCCUAAAUUAAAUUUAACCUCAUUUCUCUUUCCAAACUAAUUUCCUGCUAAAUUACACACUCACCUUCUCUAAUGAUGUUUUCAAAAUUCAAGAAAUGAACUCUUUGAAGAUGAUUGGUGUGACUAAAUUGAAAGAAGGGCUCUAUCAUCUAGUUUAGAUGGUUAUUUAAGUUGAUUGGUUGAAGAAAUCUAGCAUGUUGCAUUUAAAUGAGAGGAAAGGUGAAGGAAGAGAUUAUCUUGCUUACCUAUGAGAGAAUUGGGACCUUUGGAUUUUGGCUGGAAGUCUGCAAGCUAAGCAUUAUAUUCAGCAAAGAAAUCCCUUAUUUCUUCUAUUAAGAUGCCACAUUUGUAUUAGUUAGUAUAUGGAUAGGAAGGAAAUGUUUCAAGUUCUCAUUUGACCAUCCUCAUCUAACUUUGUAUCAUAAGUCAAUUACAUGAACAAGUACUUUUCUUUAGUGCUUUUGGCUUCUUAUUCUUACAAAAAUGGAAUUUAAGUCUAACUAAAACACACAAAAAUGACUUGUAAGGUAAGACUUUCACCCACUUAUAUUUAAAUGAUUUUGAUACUAUUUUAAAAAAGUGAAAUUUAAGUCUCACUUAACCUCACAAAACCGGCUUGUAAGAUGAAGUUUGUACCCACUUAUAUACUAUAAUUUGAUCAUAUAUCCAGUCGAUAUAAGAUCUCUAAUACAUAUAUAUUAAUGAAUCCAAGUCUGUUUCACCAAUAUAAAUUAUGUUUAUUUUGCUGACUUUUUUCCAUGUAACUUGCUUCAGAUCUCUUGCACAUCUUUUCGUUCUUGCCAAGGGAUCUAAAUUUCAUUGAGCAUACAAGUAAUAUUGGUUGGAAAGAGUAUGUACAUUAUCUGUUCUUUGACAUUGUCUCAAUUUGUUGCUAAACUAUUUGUUCAUAAUUUUGUGUACCUGUAAUAACUGUGGCAUCAGGCAUCAAAGAGCUAGACCGAUCAUUAUAGAUCCAGGCUUAUAUCAUUUGAAGAAAUCUGGCGUUUACUGGGCUAAAGAGAAGAGAUCUGUUCCUUCAUCGUUCAAAUUAUUCACAGGUAUUAAUUAUGCUGCAUUUCCAAAACUUUGACAUAUUUUCUUCUAGUCCUUAUCCCCCAUUUUUUUCUCUUCUUAUUUUUCUUUAUAAAUGUAUGCUGCUUAAGUUUCUCUUAUGCACCUCCUAUUCUAUCUUUUAUGUUUUUUGUUUUGUUUUGUUGUGUUAAAUAUGAAUGGGGGACGAACCCUGGUGUAACACUAACCUUCCACCUUGGUGACCAGUUGGUCAUGGAAACAAUCUCUUUGCAUAUGUAUGGGGAAGACUUCUGAAAAUUACCCUCCCUCAUACCUUGUUGAAGUGGGGACCUAUGGCACUAGGGAACCUUAGUUUAUUCAUUGUCAUAAAGAUCAGCAUCGCAGAGUAACAAUGACUUCGGCAUGCAUGAUAGGCUCUGCAAAUGCUGUUAUUUCUUAUUGACCAUAGCUCAAUAUAAUAGGGGAUUAAGGAAUUAUUCUAAUUAGAUGUGUCAUUACAUGAAUUUAAUGGUCUAACUAGCCAAAGUGAUCUAAAACGUUAUUGAGAAAGUGGUUAGCAUAUUUGUAUUGUCUUUCUAUACAAAGCAUUGGAAUGAAUGCUCAGCCAUUUCAUUGACCAAAUGAUUGAAAUUUGUUUCGAUGUUCUUAUAAAAUAAAUUGACCCCAAGUAAAUGUACUUGAUAUCCAAUCUGAAGGCUGAGUCAUCAAACAUACAAGUUUCUUUAGAAGAUUGCAAUGGAGUUCUCUUAUUAGCUCAUAGGUAUAUUUCUGGAAACAUCACAGGUCUUGCUGUUGCUUUUAAUUUUUUUUGUUUAUUACACAGAGCUUUUGCAUAACAUAGUAAACAUGCUACGUAUACCAUAGUAAUUAAGGAAUAAAAAGUGCAAUUUGGUGCUCCACAAGGAGUUGAGCAACAGUAAAACACAAAUCAUUAGGGUGCGGAUGUUAUUUUUUAGAUAAUUUUGUUAACCCUAGUCAAAUUGACUAGACUGUUUGGUUAGGAGUUAUGAAUCAACCUUAUAUAUAAAGCAAGGUUGAUUCCUAUGUUAGACAGAACAGAACACAUAUCUUCAUUCUUGUUUUUCUUCUCUCUUGAUAUCAAUCUCGGUGAACACCUUCUGUCUGGCCUUCCUUUUCUGUAAUCUUCGAGUUUGCGCUUAGAUUCAUUUCUCCUUCUUCUUCAUUCCUUCAUUCUUCCUUCCUGGUUCGCCACAGUAGACUCUCGUUUUCCACUCGGCGUUGACGUUAUACGUUAUUCUUGUGGUAGACGAUUGUUGGGGUUGGUUAGACGAUCUGGGUAACUCUCUUUACAAGCAUUACCAUAACAUUAUUUUUAAUUCGAGAGAAGCUUCAUUUUACUUGAUAUUUUUUCUUAUUAGUAUUUGUGAAUAAGUCUUAGUUGUUUUACCUAAUGGUAUUUUGUGGCUUUCAUCCAGGUUCUCCGUGGAUUGUCUUGACAAAGUCAUUUCUGGAGUUUUGUGUUUGGGGUUGGGAUAAUCUUCCUCGCACUCUCCUGAUGUAUUACACAAAUUUUCUUUCAUCCCCAGAGGGCUACUUCCAUACUGUCAUUUGCAAUAAUAAGGACUAUCAAAACACGACCAUUAAUCAUGAUUUACGUUAUAUAAGGUGGGACAACCCACCAAAACAGCAUCCAUUGUUCUUGAAGUUGGAGCAUUUUGAUGACAUGGUACGUAGUGGUAUUCCUUUUGCUCGAAAGUUUGCCAAGGAUGAUCCAGUUCUUGACAAAAUUGACAAGGAACUCCUGAGAAAAUCAAAGGGUCACUUUACGCCUGGAGGGUGGUGUUUUGGAAGUCCUCUUUUGGGAAAAGACCCUUGCACAGUUUAUGGAAAUCCAAUUGUAGUUAAACCUACUUUACAAUCAAAGAAGCUAGAAAAACUAAUGGUGAAACUAUUAGAUUCUGAAAAUUUUAGGCCGAAACAGUGUAAAUAGUUGUCACUCCCACGUGGAAUCUCUAUUCAUGAUUCUAUUGGCGUGUUUAUUCAAUCUGUCCAAAUUUAACACUGUGAAUUGCUAUGAAACGUGUCUUUCUUGUCAUGUGUGAACCUAAGUAGGUCUUAUAAAUUCAUGCCAUAAAUGAACCUUUGGUUUCAAGAGAAACUUUUGCUUCGUUUGAAACAUGAUGUGGUAUUGGUAAAGGAACUUACAACAGAAAACAAGUUUUUAUUUUAUGGUCCAUUUUUAAUCAAUGCAUUUUACAAAUGUGUAAUUUACUAUUAUGUCUUUUUUUAAUUUACUAGAAAAGAUAGGUAAUGGUUUAAAUUUGCAUAUUGACCCAUUAAAAUAUUAAAAUUCCUAAAUGCAAUUAUUCAAUUAUAGUUCUUCCUAAAAAAAAAUAUCAAAUCCACAAGAAACAGUUGAAUAAUCAAAUAAAAAAAGUUUGUUUAGGAAGAAACUAAUUUUUGAACAACAACCUAUACCUCUUUCAAAUACAAUUUUUAUUUGCAAAUCCUUGUACUAAUUUGAUCCAAUUCAAAACUCAUGUGUGAUAUCAAUAUUUUAUUUUUUUAUUCUAACAUAAAUAUAUUUUAUUUAAACAUGUUGAUCACCUAUUAUUAAAGCAUUCAAAAUAGUUAAGCUUUAAAUUUUAAAAAAAUUACUUAGUUUCCCAAUUAAAAAAUAAAUUAAUUUUACGAACCAUAAAUAAAUCAAUUAUAUUAAAUUGAUAUUUAAAAUCAUUCAUAUAAUUUACGACAAAAUACAAAAUAUUACAACUNNNNNNNNNNNNNNNNNNNNNNNNNNNNNNNNNNNNNNNNNNNNNNNNNNNNNNNNNNNNNNNNNNNNNNNNNNNNNNNNNNNNNNNNNNNNNNNNNNNNNNNNNNNNNNNNNNNNNNNNNNNNNNNNNNNNNNNNNNNNNNNNNNNNNNNNNNNNNNNNNNNNNNNNNNNNNNNNNNNNNNNNNNNNNNNNNNNNNNNNNNNNNNNNNNNNNNNNNNNNNNNNNNNNNNNNNNNNNNNNNNNNNNNNNNNNNNNNNNGAAAGGAAUGGCAUUUAUGAAGGGAAAGGCAGUGAUCACCAAAGUGGCAGCGUUGGCUAAGUAUGGGGUGCUCCCAGGAACCAUGGCGUUUGCGCUCUUCUACUCUCCACCUAAUUACUCCUCUUCUUCCAACAAACAUGCUUCUGCCACCUCCAAUUAGUAAACUCAUUUUGUUCGGUUCGUUACUUCAAUCACUAUGUCUUCCUUUUUCCAUUUUUUUAUAAUCCAUGUUAUUGUGUUGUUGUACUGAAUACUUUUUGUUUUCUUUUUCGUUGUCAAGUUUAUUCAACUGAGUUUAUUAUUGUUGUGAAUAUUAUAUUUUUCUGGGAACUGGUGUGGAAACAGAGAGAUCUUAAGUAACUCGAAGUUUAAUUUUUUUAUCUGAGGAGGGAUAUGGUCAUCAUGCUAUGUUGGAUCUGUUCUGUAAAUUCUUUGUGCUGCAUAUGGGGCAGUUUGGGUAGCUAGGUUUGUCCCCUUAGCCAUUGAUCUUUCUGUUUAUUUUGUUGUGAUUGAUUUGAUUACCAUUGCUGCUAUUUUUUUAUGUUUUCUUUUUCUUCCUUCUGCCUAUGAGAAAGAAGUUGUGUCUGUGGGGUAUUGACCUUCCUGAUUGCAAGUUAUAUUUGGGUUUCAUGGUUUCAACUGUUUGUAUUCAAAUUUAAAAAUACUGGUUGUUUUUUUCUUUUUUUGCUUACAGUGUUCUGUUGUCUCCUUCAAUUGGCUAUUAAGCUAUGGGCCCAUAUUUGUAUGGUCUAAGGUUCUUAAUAUUUGACCAUGCUGUGCAUGUUAUCAUGUCUACUAAUGUGAGAAAAUUUUAGGAAUUCUUGACUGGAGGAAGGAACCAGAAGCAUUUUGGAACAGAUAAAACUCUGGUCAUGAUUCACGAAGGAUGUUGUUGUUGUACUAGGGCUUACUGGGAUUGUUUUGGGAUGUCUUUUAAUUAUGUUCAUAUUCAGUGUUUUAAAAAAUUGUAAGAAAUAGGGCUUCCUCAUGUUGAUUUGGUUGGUUAUAUAGGAUCUAUGAAAAAAUUACAACCAGGCCUUGUCCUAGUGAGAGGGUUUAGAUACAUUAGUCAAUGAACAGCAUCAGUCUUGAAUCUCUUGAUAAAAAUAUUAUAUUCUUUUUGGUUAUAAUAGAACUGUUCAAAUAAAGAUAGUUUCUAAUGGUUUGUCCUAAUCUUUCUUAUGGUCAUCCUGAUAAUCAUACCUCUCCUUUCUACUUGGAGCCUUUCUAGUUGUCUUCUAUUGUGACCCAACUACCUUCAUUUUUCACAUAUGUCCACUCAUCCAUGUCAGUAUUCUAAUCUCCUUUUAAAUAUACGUUUGCUUCUGUUGGCACUUAACUGCCCAACAUUCUCAAAACCUAAUUCUAUUCUCUACAUUUGGAAGUGUGAAGGUAUUGGGUGCUGGGUAGCUUGGAACAUAGUGGCUAUAUCAAUAAAGUAAUCAUAUACCAACCUAUGAUUGGUUAGCAACUGCUUGCAUUUCUAAAUUUAGACUUGAUUUAUAACUAUCAAAGUGUGCUAACUAACCUAUGAGCUAACCUUGCCCCAUCCAACAAAAAGGUGGAUUGGAUUGGUUGCUGACACCUUGGUUGAUGUGAUCCAGCUCAUAGAACCUUCUGGUUAACCAGGCAUGAACAUGGGAAGAAGUUUUUGACUGACAUAACCCUAACUCUGCUCUCUCCUCUCAGCUUUGAGAUUAAGCUGUAAUUAAGCCUUAGAUUUUUUUCAUCUCAUUACUCCUUUGGUGGCUUAAUGGCAGUAUGAUGGAAUAAUUGUAUCAAGGUUUUAAAUAGUGCCGCUAUAGCAUUGCCAUAGUAGUGUAUGUAGAGGAGCAGAGUAGCCCCCUGCCCACUACAGGGGGCUGCCGUAGUGGAGAGGGGACCAAAUAAUAGCGGGUUGAAUAGCACAGCAGUAGUGAGCGCUACAUUGUGCUAUGUGUUGAUUUAAAAAAUACUUUUGAAUAGAGACAUUUGGGCUUUGUUAGAGGACUAUUUUGGGAUAUUAAUUUCCAAAAUUGAAAUCUAAAGAUGUAGUAAUAGUGAAAAUGAUAAAGAAAACUUGGAUUUACAAAAUGAUGACUGAUAAUUCCCAUGUUGGAAACUUGUAAUUGAACUUUUGUUGGUGUUUACUUCUGUGUCUUGCUGAAGAUAACUUAGACUUUUUAUCGUUUAUUGUUGAUGUUAUUAAUUUUGGGUUUAGAAGAUAUAAAAUCUCCUUUAUUUAUUGUAUUGAUUUUUCUCUCUUAAUAUAAAUAAACCAUUUUUGCUGUCACAGAGAAAUACCAUUUCAGCACAAUGGUUCCUUUAUCUUUAUAUAGUUGUUCUGAUCUAUCCAAUCGGAAAAACACUACCCCAAAUGCUCAUCCACACUUCCUCGUGCCCUCGAACUCCAUGCCAGCUUUGCUGGUGCCUGAUGUUCACCAACCUCUUGCCUAAGUUGCUUCCUCUGUGGACCUCAUACUUGUAGUGGUGGCACCAUCAGAGUUACUUUGGUGGUUCUCCCUUAUAAGAGUAGAACCAACGAGAUAAUAGAAACAAACCGAAAAAAAAAAUGAGGGGAGAAUAAGAGAAAAACCAACAAGGUAAUUGAAAAAGAAAAAAAUUAGAGCCUUGUAGUUUGGGCUAGGGGAGUGCGUUGGGAAGCGUACAAGUGGUGGCAUUGCUGUGGUUGAUUGUGGUGCUACAAUGAAUUGAUAUCAACGAAAAAGGUGGCAGGUGGCGGUGAAACAGGUUGCAUGAGGUAGAGGAAUAGGUUGCAUGCAGUGGCAGUGUCUUUGGUGGCUAACUGCAGCUACCGUAGUUGGGUUACAAAUGGUUCACGAAGGUUGGCUUAGUUUUUUUUUUUAAUUUUGGGUUGGGUUUGGCUCAGAUUGUACAACAUAGCCCGUUUUAUUUUUAAAUCUAUUUGAGGUGGUCGGGUUAAGGAAUCCACCAAAUCAGGGUUUCUUUUGCCUUAGGUCUAGGCUGGGUUGCAUUGAACUAGACUUCUUCCUCCUUGGGGCUACGGCGUGGGACUAGUGUGAUUUCUGCCAUGAGACAUAGAUUUCUGCCAUUGCAUUGCCAUGAUCAUUUUUAAUAACACUUGUAUAAUCUAUCUGAGUACUUGUGCCUUCCUAGUGCUAUGAAAUGCUUUAUUACUUCCUCUUGGUGAUGAAUGGAUCCCUUAGAAGAGUUCAAUAUAGCCUUGCAUUUCCCUUAGAAAAGUUCAAUAUAGUCUUGCAUUUCCCUUAGAAGAGUUCAAUAUAGUCUUGUAUUUUCUUUCUCUGGUGGUAUCUGUUUUGUUAUAAGCUUUGGUAUAGUUAUGACUCCUGAGGAAGCCCUGUUGUCUUCUAAGUUAUUAGAAACAAGGACCAUGUCUCAGUGUGAUGAUUCCAUCAUACAUGAUUGAGUUGCGAAAACUUUUGGAUAGGUAUCCUACAUCUGAAUUGACUUCUUUUUGGUUAAAGAAUCUCUUUCUAGUUGCUCUGGAACAGUUAGAAUAUUCUCUAGAAGAAAUACGGAGUUUUGCUUUUGGUGGCAACAUGCUAUGGGGUGGUGGUCCCGCUUAUGGGGUCAAUUUGACACUGAGUAUAAUGAUGUACACUUGACAACCUUGUGCACUAGUAUGUGAUUCUCCAUUAUUGGAAACAAGAGCCGUUAAAUUUCUUUCACGGCGAGUUUGUAUGCACAGCAUCCAAGUUUGUGUGAGACUGACAAUAUUAAAGUGAAUUUGGGCAUUCUUUUCAUGUCAAAAGAAGAAUUUGAAAUAACGUUUUGUCCUAAUGGUUUAAUUUUCUAAUGGAACAGGAGCAUAUGGAUUGCUUGUUGAUGCAAGUUAGCAAUGGGGAGCCGUUAAUAAAGUAUGAUCCGUAAUAAAGCUGGUGACAAUGUUUUUGAAACUUCUACGUUCAGGUUGACUUGAAGAGAAUUUGUUUUUUAUGGAUUAUGUGGUCAAAACCCAUAUUUUCCAUACCAUUACUAUAAUAACAAGCAAUGUAAGUAGCCUCAUUAUGUGGAUUCGAUUUCAUAGUUUAGAUUGGGCUCUUUCUUCCUGCUUCCAUAGCUUAUUGUGGCACUUCCAUAUUUCUUAAAAUAUAAAAAAUACUCUUUAUUCUAUUGAUGUUUUUCAUUUGGAAGGGGUGAUCCAUAAAAACUUCUGAUUAAAGAAUUAAGAAGGUAUUCCAAAAUGAGUUUCUUUAAAAUAAAUAUAUUCCAAAUUAUUGAUUUAGGAAUAUCUUCCGGAUUUUGUAUUCUAGAAUGUAUUUUGUUAAAGAAAAAAAAAAUUCUGAAUUUAAGAUGUAAAUAGAAAAUAAUAUAUUUUCAAAUUGUAGAAUCCAGAAUUUAUUUUUUUAAGGACAAAACAGUCUUUUGCAUGACUUAUGGGGUGCAGAGGAAGCUCUCUAUGGAGGUGCAGGAAGAAGCCUAG